UUGAAUUACGUCACUGAAAAUAUACUAAAAUGUUUCUAUUAUACACUUCUAACUUAAAUUUUUUUUACGCGCUUUCUCAAGUAUCCAUUAUGUACAUAAGUUAAUCAAUAAAUCGAAACUACUUGUAUCAAAACUAAAGUUUCAACUAAACACAUGAUAAAAUAAUCUCACGAUUAUUAUCCUUACCCUUCAUACCAAACGAACCAUACGGACUAAUAAAUGUGUGGAUCUCCCAUUGCAAUGUAUGUACGGUUGAUCGAACGUGACCUCACUGAUGAUAUGUGAAUUACAAAAUACAGCUGGAGAUGAAAGAGCCAAAAAAUGUCCACACAUCAAGGUCUUUUUUCUUGUCUGGCAAACAACAACAUCACACCUUUUGUAAUAAAGACAUUACAUUACACAUAUUAAUUUGUACCCCAAUAUACAUAGGAAAGUGAAAAAAAAAUUGUGUUUCCAGAACCUGUCUGAAUACAGAACAGAACCAAACAGGUUGGUUUUUGAAAACAUAUGAGCUGUUUUUUGAGCUGAACGCCACAACACUAAUCUAUACAUUAUUAAACAAAUUGAAGUUACUACUAGUUAGUGGAGUAGUAGUAUAAUAUUAUCACACACAUAUUGAGAUGAUAGAUUUAAUCCAAAGUACAAAUUGUUUAUUGUAGCACUCGUGUGAUACUGACUUGCUUUAAUUUUCUGCAUAGAUUGUUUGCCAGCUAUGAAACAGCUUCACACAUAAUGGAGAAAUCUGUGCACUAAAGUACAAUCCCUACCUUGUGUAUUUUAAAUAAUAAUAUUGCUUUCAUUUCACACAUACAAAAAUAUGAAUUCCAGUUUUCAGAAUUGUCUCACAUGCAAGCAAGCUUGCGAGUGUUCUUUCCAUACUCCAAAGGGUGUUAACUUAACGAGAUAUAGUUUCAAUUCCUUCUACGUUUGUUUGCACUCUGGAUCAACUAAACUUGUUUGAAUUGUGCGUUUAGAUUUAUAAUCAGUAAUAAAUUUAAAAUUUAAAAAUUAUAAAUUUUUUGUACUAUUGAAGGGCUGAAUGUAUACUUUUUUUUUUCUUUCACAUUUUUAGAUAUAAGAUUUAACAUUGAAACACUGAAUAAUCGAUACAUAAAUGUGGCAUUGUUAUUUUUUGUGUUUAUAUUAUGUGGAAGAAUUGUUUAACGUGCGAGCGUGCACGCACGUGAUUGCCACACAGUCCGUACGUAGAUAAGUUGACUUCAUUAAAUUGUUCAUUUGGUUUACUCUCAUUAAUUAAUUUUGGCUUUUGCGUUUCUAUGUCUGGCCAAUUAGGUCAUAUUUGAUACGAUUAUAAUAUGAGAUAAUUAAUUUCAUCUUUAAAAUACAGAUUAUGGGAUAAAAUGAUGUCAAAAUUAACUAAUACUUAUAGCCAAACAUAAAGUAGAAUAAUUUCACAUCUUAUUUUGCGUUUCUAGUUAAUCUCAAAAUUAGCUUACUUUUCAAAACAACAAUUUUGAACUAGUCAAUAUUAGUGUAAUUUCUUGUCAACAAUUUCUACAUUUUCGAAACUUGGUCAACAAGAGUGUAAUGUGUUACUAUUAGAAUUAACUUAAAAUUUGUAAGUUUCUCGACCUUUAACUAUUUAUAGACUCAAUUACUCUUUAUUGGUGAAUUUUAAUUUUAGAUAUUUCAAUAUUUUAUAAAGUACAUUUGAUUUUCAAUUAAUUGAAAUAUAAUACUUGAUCAUUUUUCUUAUGAACAGUCAUAAAUAUAUUAUAAUUAUUAAUCAUUUAGUCACCUAAUUAUCCAUGUAUUAUAUGAAGCUUAUAUUAUUACCCAUAAUAGGCAGUAAAAUAGUUACAAAAGUAUUUCCUAUAUAUAAAAUAUAUAAGGGCAAAAAAUAGUAGUAUUUUUUAAUUAAUGGAAGAUUAUACGUUAUUGAUUAAUAAGUACUAUCAUAAAUUUAUUACUAAUAAUUGAAGGACCAAAUGUGUUAUUAUACGAAGAUCCGUUGAGUAUAACUUUUAACCCGAGAAAUAGUGAUAACAGUACAGUAAUUAAACUUCUUAAUCUAUAUUAUUAUCACUGCAGAAAUUGAUUAAUUAAUUCCAAUAUGUAAAAUUCAUCGGCUUCCAUUUUUUUGAUUCUUCAGUUUUCUUCAUCUUUAUAAUUCUCUGCAUCUUCUUCACCAAAAAGCUCGAAUCCUUUUUUUUUUUGCUUUUUUCCAGAUUCUGAAUUUCAAAUUUGGAUUCUUAGCGAUGGAAGCACCAGAGAACGACGCCGUAGCGUUCGAGUCAGCUGAGAAGAUAAUUCUCCGGUGGGAUUCUACGGUGUCGGAAGAAGCUAGAGAGAAAAUGAUAUUUGACGGCGAUCGUUACGAGAUCAAUCGGUAUUUGCACGCCGUCGAUGAAAUCCAACGGUCAAUGGAGUCCACAACACUCUCCGACGACCAAGAUAAAGCUAAUAGUGCGAUCCAGAUCGCCAUGGCUCGGCUUGAGGAUGAGUUUCGCAGCAUACUUGUUGCUCACACAAAUGCAAUCGAGGCUGAUUCGUUAACUGACCCUAGUCCUUCUCCAGUCCACUCCGGCGAAUUCCAGGUGCCUGAAGAAGACUACCAUGAUACUCCUACUGACGAUGAUUCGUUCACCAAAGAUUUGGAACAUCAAGAGAGUAGCAGCAGCAGCUAUCGAUCUACUAGCAGCAUCCGCGAAGUUGAUCUCAUGCCGCCCGUAGCAAUAUAUGAUCUCCGGAGUAUCGCCGAGCGAAUGAUUUCCGCUGGAUAUCUCCGGGAGUGUAUUCAGGUCUACGGUAGUGUACGGAAGUCCGCUGUGGAGUCGAGCUUCCGCAAGCUUGGAAUAGAGAAACUCAGCAUCGGAGAUAUCCAGAGACUUGAUUGGGAGACUUUGGAAACAAAGAUCCGAAGAUGGAUACGAGCUGCCAAAGUAUGCGUUCGUAUACUCUUCGCUAGCGAGAAGAAACUCUGUGAGCAAAUCUUCGAGAGUUUGGGCACGGCGACUGAUGAUGCUUGCUUUAUGGAGACUAUUAAAGGACCAGCUAUACAGCUGUUCAAUUUCGCUGAAGCCAUUAGCAUUAGCCGGCGAUCGCCUGAGAAGUUGUUUAAGAUAUUGGAUCUUCAUGACGCUUUAUCCGAUUUACUGCCUGAUGUUGAAAUUGUUUUCGAGUCAAAAUCUUCAGAAUCAAUUAGAGUUCAAGCAGUAGAGAUAUUGUCUAGGUUAGGGGAGGCUGCUAGAGGGAUACUGUCGGAAUUUGAGAAUGCUGUACUCCGUGAACCUUCGAAGGUCCCCGUUCCAGGAGGGACAAUUCAUCCCUUAACUAGGUAUGUGAUGAACUAUAUAAGUCUAAUUUCGGACUAUAAGAAGACAAUGGGUGAAUUGAUUGUUUCACAGCCAUCGACGGGAUCAAGGUAUUCAAGUGAUCCUAACACCCCUGAUAUGGACUUUGCGGACCUAGAAGGGCUGACACCAUUAGCGCUUCAUUUGAUUUGGAUUAUUGUCAUUUUGCAGUUCAAUUUGGAAGGUAAGUCUAAGCACUAUAGAGAUACCUCUUUGGCUCAUUUAUUCAUGAUGAACAAUGUCCAUUAUAUUGUUCAUAAGACUAAAGGGUCACCUGAGUUGGGGGAAAUGAUUGUAGAUGAUUUCUUGAGAAAAUUAACGGGGAAAUUUAGACAAGCUGCUACCAGUUACCAGAGAGCAACCUGGGUGAGGGUUUUGCAUUGUUUGAGAGAUGAGGGACUACAUGUGAGUGGCAGUUUUUCAUCGGGUGUGUCCAAGAGUGCAUUGAGAGAGCGUUUCAAGACGUUCAACGCCUUGUUUGAAGAAGUGCACAGGACUCAGUCCACAUGGUUGAUACCAGAUACACAGCUCAGGGAGGAGCUGCGCAUUUCCAUAGCCGAAAAGUUGAUUCCUGCCUAUAGAUCAUUUCUUGGACGGUUCAGGAGCCAUAUAGAAAGCGGAAGGCAUCCAGAAAACUAUAUCAAGUAUACUGUGGAGGACCUAGAGAAUGCUGUCUUAGAUUUCUUUGAGGGGUACGCUGUGUCACAGCACUUGAGAAGAAGAUCUCAGUGAAAGAAUACUAGUUUCAACAGUUAGUACUUUAGGACAUUCUUUGAAUUUUUUUCAUGGAGUUAUUCAGGGGCUAAGGUUAUGGCAUUCUGGUGUUUCUCGAGUUUCUGCUUUCAUUUGUAGUAUUCCAGGGUGAUGGGCUGCUGAAAACUUCAGGAAGAUCAGCUGUAUCUAUCAAGAAGGGUCAGUGCCUCCUGCCUCUGGAUGCUCUGCCCUGUAAGCAUGUUGUUGUUGUAUUUCUUCCAUACUUUUAGACUUUAUUUCAAUUUGUCCAUAUCUGAACUGUUGUAUUGAUUACUUUCUUGAAAUUUUAUCAUAAUCAUGAUUUUGUUAACUUGAGUCCAGAAUUUAGUUUAGUUUGGAUGACUUCUACGCUGCUGCGAUAUUGUCCUUUGGAAUAUAUCCUCUUGUAAGUUUAUCUUAAAUCAAGAAUGUAACAGAUUUUCCUACGAUGGCAAGGGCCUCAGUAGGUGACAAUAAAUAAAUAAAACCAUGGUCUUGUGAUUGUAAAGACUUGAAAUUACCAAUUGUUGCUUACUACUGUCUUCUUAUUGUGUUUUAAGUCUCCGUCUUUCUUAGAAAUGAAACAAUUGUCCGUGAAUUUUUAAAUUUUACACGGGAAAUUCGUGGGGCAUGACUAAUUAUCUCAAUGUUUCAUGUAUAACCAUGCUGAUUCCUUGGAAUGUUUGUUGUUAGUUUGUACUUAUUUUGUUUUCUCAACUAAGACGAUUGGUGCUGUGGUGCUUAUUCAGCUAUUAUGGGUAAAAGCUACUAACUAGUUCUGUUGACAUGAUUUUCUCAAUCAUGGAAUACUUGAACUGGACAUAUAUCAUGAAAGUUGUUCUUGUAAACUAGAAAUUGAAUUCCCCGUUUGUUAUACACUGUCAUGAUAGAAGUGGCUAAUCUGUGGUUACAAGCCACAAGGAGCAUCUGAUUAAUCCAGUAGAUUUAGUGCAGCAGAUUCAUGCAAUCUUUGUUGUUUAUCCUCCAAAUAUUUCAUCUCUACAGGCCUUCUGGUUGAAACACUGAAGUGUGCUGCAUCUGAUGGUCAGAACUUACAAGGUGUGCCUUCCAAUGUUACACAUCUUUUUGCUACCUCUUCACUCACCAAGUACUCCCUGUUUAUGUAUUCUCAAAUGUGGUUAUCUGUGUCCAAAGUAGAAAUCGUCCUCUAUUCUUACGUAAUGGCAGAAAAUGUAGAAUAUUUACUGACCAAGAUGUUCAAUUACUAAUCUGUUCAAAUACCAUUUGUAGAUUUGAUUACUACACCACUUGGAUAUCUGUUACAUAAAAUCCAUGUUUCUGUUUUUUUCUACUUUAGCUGGUGUUGCCACUUUAAAGUACUUAAAAUGGCCUUUUUCCCAUUUAUGAGGAGUUACUAUGAAAAACUCUUCAAACUAAUAAUUCUUGUGCCGUGCUUAUUCUUCUAUUUCAAUAGAAGAUAUAGGAAGAUUGAGUGUGGAGUGUGGAUGUUCAUUUUGACUUGGAUUUAAAAGUGAUAGACGACCUAAUUUGUGUCAUUUUUCAACCGGGAAACUAGAUCUUUACAGUUGGUGUGAUGCUUCAUCUGCCAUCUAUUCCUACUUUUCAAUUAUUGUGGGUCCUUAUUUAUCUAUUUAGAUAAAGAGCCUAUGUGUCCCAUUAUUAAAUGAGCUCUUAAGGGUCACAAUGGGGACCCAAGGGAAAAAACAGAAGGAAGAUCAGCUUUUAGUAUGGGUUUUUGAGAUGAAUGUUCCAUUGGGAAUCAAACAUCUAUGCCUUUCUGUAUAACUUUUGUACUUUAGGAGUUUGUAAAACUUGGUCAAUUAUUUCUUCUCUCGUGUAUAACAGCAAAACAACUACGAUGACUAAACAUAUUCUCAACUAAUUGAUCUUUUUAUUUCAUGGAUUUUAAGAGAUUGUAGGUCUUUGAUACAAUUUUCUUUCACAUAAUGUUAGGUCUGUCUAUCUUUUGAUAUCAUCACUCAUCAUCGAAACCGACAUAACUAGACCAAUCUCAUAUUAUCCUUGGUAUACUUAGCACUUUGUGGUGAAUGUGCUCGUCUAUUGCUUUAUCGUGUAUGGUUAUGCUUCCAUAUUAAUAUGCGCUUCUUUGUGACACUUAACUUCUAAACCAUUUUAACUAUAAGAAUAGUUGCAAGAGAGAUCAUAUAAGAUAAAUGAGCAUUACUUCUAAAAAAACAACAAUUACAAAUUUGUUUUACCUAAUAAAAACUUCUCCUGAUUAACAUUCGUACUUUUUAUACAGACAACACAGAUUACAUGAUUCUAACAACAAUUUACUCAACUGGCGGUACCUUUCUUUACCAUACUGUAAAAAGUUGUGUCUUGCUUUACUCAGUCUUGUCUUCUACGUCAUCGCCAUUAGAUAGUUCACUGUUACCCAGCGCUGGUCUCACUUCAGGUUGGCUUCUAACAUCCUUUGGCAGCAGAGGGGACGGCUUUAUGAGUGUUAAUGUAGCGUCCUUGUCGAACUCUUCACCAUCAUCAGAGUAGGCAUAUCUGUUAUGUAAGCAUAUAAAAUAAACCAGUGAGUGUUGAGAUUUGCGUCGGAGAAAAGACUGAAUAUUGCCAAAAAUAAAGCCGUUAUAGCCAGCUAUUAUUGUAAGUAAGACUCACUAUUAUGAGAUUUUGACUUCUUAUAGUGAUGAAAAUAGAAAGAUGCUAUGAGAUGUUUGAACAGAAUGAUUCAGGAUUUAUAAAUUUGAAAGUUUGCCGAGUACAGGAAAAAAAUAACAAAUAAAGGUUUGGAUCCCAUUUAAACACAAGAUAUAAAGCUGCAGAUAUGACGAAAUGAUAAGAACUAGAAGGGGGUUAGAGUAGUGAGAACUCUGUAAAAUGCAUGUACAUACACAAUAAGGUGGAAGGUGGGUAGUACCUCAUGGAGUUUUGAGAUGGUGCCCAAAGAACGCAGAUGAUGCAAAGGAGAGAGAAAGAUAGCACUUGCCAGAAGGCAGGAAUAAUCCAGGCAUUUCGCCAACGCUCAUUGUACACAUCAGUGGACUUGAAGUACAGCUGCCAAAAGGGGUGAAAAUGGUCAAUGCUCAUUGUAUACAAUAUCAGGAACAGUUGAGAAAAUAAUGAACCCUAUGCCUGAUGUAGUUGGACGAAUAUAAGAUAUGAUCAUGCUCAAUUUCUAGAAGGUGCCCUUUCUCUUGAAGGUAAUACAUGGAGUGUCACAACCCAAGUCGAACCUGAAUUGAGUUGUGAGGCAAAUGGCAAACCAAGAAUCACUUGUUGAAGUUCCUUUCUUGACUAGUAAAAAAAAAUAAAUAGGGAAAAGAACAAUUGAUUUGUGAUGCUUUGACACAUUUCGUGGCAUAAAACAUAUGAAAAUGAAUAACAGAAUGAUUGCAAAACAUUAUAAAGGCCUAUUUAUGCUUCUGUUUCCCGUAUUAUUGGAAAUUAGGUCCCCUCUCCAGAAAAUUGGAUUGCAGGCCAAAUUUGGUGGAUUAUACAUGUUCCUUUUUUUGGUGUUAAGUCAUUCUGCAAAAGUAAUCCUGUUCACAUCAAGCAGACCAGUCGACAAUAAGGUCCUUAUAACCACUUCCCUUUAUUAACUCAGAUUCUUCGAACAGGCAACAAAGAUACUUGACAGAAGUUACUAAAAGAAAGAACCAGCCACAUCAUGUAGGAAUUGAAAAUUACCUCAUAGCACGUCCAUCCAACAGAUACAAUAACAGUGACAGCCAAUGCAUUUGUGAACUUCCGAUAAAUGUCUAAUUUGGCCAACAACCUUCUAGCCUGUCAGACACCAAAUCCAGCAACUGAAUUAGCACUAAUGGAGCCUAAAUUGAAUUAUACUAAUAACUGAAUGACGUCAUAUCAUGAUCAAUCCCAGCCCCAAACGCCCUAAGAUAAGGCAAAGGAAAAAGCUUCCUUUAUUGCAAGAAUUAGGCACUACAACCAACAAAAAGAUACCAGUACACCUUUCCGAAUGAACUUCAUGAUUAAUAUAAUAUGUAACACAAAUAGAGCUACUUAGGUUAUUAGUCACAAGUGUAAUAAGAUCUCUGCUCAUGAAAGUAAAACCUGAGGCAAGUAAGGCGUAAAGAAACGAAAACAUUCUCUAAACUAGCAAUCCACAAACAAAUGAAAUCACAGUAACUAAUAGAAGCCAACAAUUUACCUGAAGCUUAUUCACAGUUGCCGACAAGGAGGUGAAUAUCCAAAGGAUAAAGAAAGCAUCCAAGAAUGCCACAGGAAGUACAAAAAACAACCUUGCUUUUCCUGAGAAAUCACUGACAGCCCCAACAUUUUCCACCAGUUCAAGCACUUCGGAAGCCAAAAAGAAUGUUCCUCCAAGCAAAAGGACCUUUGAUGUGAGACCACCCAGAGUAGGUCUAACGACACCAUAGCCCAUAGAGACUAUCAGAAUGACCAAACGUGCAACUGUGCGCUUUACUGUACCAAAUGUCACAGCCCAUACAGUGGUACCAGUGGGCCUGACUCCAGUUUCAUUGAAUUCAGCAUAGUCAAAGUACCAAAAGGCCAUUUCAAGCAUGCCCAAUGUUAUAACGAGUGUAAUACAAUUUUGUAAAGGAAUAACUUCUCUCCAAAAUCUUGCAUACUGCGAAAACCAAAAGAUCCCUAGUAACACGAAUGCAAGAGACAUGUACCCAUAGAAGUUCAUAAGGGGAGCCAUUCUACCAGGUAGGUAACCAGUAGGAUUCUUCCAUAUGGUUUUCCCUUCAACAGUAAUUUCCUUAAGAUUUGGUUCACAGUGAAUAAAAUACACGUUAUACAUCCCAGUUUUUGUAAUGGGGAUUGAUCUCGACUGCAGUGCUACAUCAACUUCAUCAAUGCUGAAUGAGGCACUAAAAACUUUAGGCCAUCCGGGAUUACUAGCAGAUGGGCGGUGAAUUAUUUGCCCUUGUGUACAAACUCCAAGUUUUGCAAGAUCUGCUGUGCAACAAAUAGCUCUUUGUCCACCAUAAGCAGAGCCCCCAAUUAACUCUCGAUCAUCCACCUCAAAAAUAAUUGCAUGAAUUGGGUCUGAGCUGAAGUUUGAGAAUUCCUUUGGCCUCCGAAAUACAAUCUUUUCAAACCUGUUGAACAUGUGAUCGUCAGAAAUUUAUAGACUCUUACGCAUAAAACUGGGAAAACACAUGAAUGACAACACUCAUUUCCAGAGUCUGGCAUGACUGAGAAAAUGCAUAAGAACAAGCCCAUUAAUUUCCAUGGAGCAUGACUUUUAAAUAGAAAAAACACGAAAGUUAAUCGAAAUACAAAGCAGUUGGAUCAUCUGUAUGAAUCCUCUUAAUCCAUCUGACUCUAUUCGGCCCAAACUAAGUACAGACUACUUAAUAUUGUGAGAAAGCAAAAUUCAUUUAUCUUCUUUCGCUCAACUAUGGAUUUCAUACAUAAGCUUCUCAUUAACAAAAAUAAUUCAACCUUAAUGGUUGAACUAUGGUUGCUUUUAGCAGCAGAAAUUUAAGGAAGACAGCUUUAAUAGUAGUGCUAAAUUGUUUUGGCUUUUGGUAAUGGAUCACAUAAGACUUAAGAGUUUUUUACUAACUAGGUAACUACACAGAUCCAAAUUGAGCAGCGCCACAUUGAUGGUUGAGUUAGCCAUGUUUUUAGCAGCCGAAUAUCAAAGAAAAUUUAGCUUCAAUUGUCCCUUUGACUGAUUUUGAAGCCGAAACUUGAAAAUUUGAAUUUGUGAAAUUUAAAUUUUUGGAACUUUUAGUUGUGUAUGGACAUGCAUUUUACUUGGGAAAAAUUGAAGAUUAGCGAGUGUAAGUCCCAAAAAUUGCACUGAGCCCCUUUUUGUGAACUUGAAAAUAUUUGACCAUCAGAUUUUCAAUAUAUGAUAAAAUUUCAUGGUCAAACAGAUAAUUGAAGAUAAUUUUUCAAAAACUACUCCCAAAAUCUAUAAUGGAGCAGAACAACACUAGUAGCUUUACUAUCUAAGUUUAAAAAAAGACAAAUAAAUAAUUCUGCUCCUUCCAAUUUAACCUGAACACAUAGAAUGAUACCGUCAUUUAUAAUUAACAAUUCUCACAACAGAUCUCGAUAUAUUUCAUCUUAAACCGUACCUAAAAACAGUUAAACAAUUGACUGGAGAGAGAGAGUAAAAUUACCGAAUGAAGGAGUCGGUGUUGGAAGAAUAGGAAGGAGAUUCAGUGAGGUUAGGAACAGAGGAGUAAAUUCCUUCGCUACCUCCGUGAACCACAAAUGCAUUGCCCUUGCUCACAAAUUUCUCCCCAUUGUAGUCAUGCACUGAAGCUUCAGUCGUCUGGAACAGCCAUAGCCAUAGUAGAAAUAGUACUCCUGAAGCUCCAAUUGACUUCAACGAUAGCAUUUGCCGAAUUGAGAGAUCAGCUCAGUGAGUGAGAGAGUAGCAGAUCUGCUGUUGCUGAAGUAACAGCAAUAGGAACAUCCACUACCGGAGUGAACGAGAUUGGACCCACCGGCGACUACGUUUCACUAUUAAAUAUAUUCGUUUAAUUGAGGUAAGCUUGUGUAAUGUGUACGCCGAGCAAAUGAUUUGUUUAUUGUUCACUUACGUUUAAAUAGUGAAAAUGCUUUAAUCAUUUCUCGAUUUUGAAUUUCAAAUAUUAAAAAAAUAAUAACAUGAAGGAUAAUUUAUUAGAUGUUAAUUUUAUGUAGAAAAAAAAAGAUAACGGAAGAAAGUUCUUUUUGUAAAAAUGUUGUAGUAUUCUUUAUUUUAAUUAGUUCGUCUUAUUUUAUUUUAUUUUAUUGGCAAUUUUGAAAAUUUAACUUUCUACUUAAUAUACAAGAAAAUAUACGAUUAAAGAAUAUUUUAAUAUAUUUUUGAUUUACAAUUACAAAAUUUUUAAAAAAUAUAUUUUUUUAAAAUUUUAUAUUAAAUUAAAAUCAAAUAAAUUAAUUAAAACGGAUUAUUUUUUUCCAGUGACUGUAUUAAAAUAACAUUAUAUAGUAUAGUAUAAGAGUACAUGUUGGAUGUGAAUAACUGACAUGUGUAACUUAAAAGUAAGGUGCAUGAAAAAAUAGAGAAAAGAAGAGGUGAAGAAUUUUUUUAUUUAAAAAAGAAAAGGUGAAACAAGACACCUAGCUCAACCUCUUCCAUUCCAGAAUAUGUUUUUGUUGAAUGACAAGUUAUGUAAUGAAUAAUAAUACAAAUAUUACUUAGGCACGAAUUGGUAAUAUGUAAAUUAAAUCAAUUACGCAAGGAAUAAUAAUCUGAAUAUUUGUAUUGUAUAAUAACAACGCAAAAAAGAUUGAAUUGAUAUAGCAAAUAAUAUCUUAUAAACAAGAUCAAGAAAUCAAUCUACUCAUCGUACCUAAUAUAGUUUAUACCUCCUGAAUUUAUCUAACGCAGCGGAGCCGCUUCAGAUUUUCACUGUCGGUUAGCUCGGUGUUAAAGUGAUUAUUAAUUGUCACUUGUCCAUUUUUCCACGUACUACGAUACCUCUGAAUUGAUGAUAUGGAUCAACAAAGUCGUUGUCGGUUCAUUGCUUUUUCUUCACUUUGGCACUUGCUGGCAAUGUUCCGGUAUCAUUACGGCAGAGAUACUGAGAAGAAGUACUAUUUCUUGCACGUGGUCUCACCUCCCCUUGUGUAAUAUGAUAUACUUAAAACAACUCGACUUUCUUCUAAUGUCAAACACUAGUUUUUCACUUGACAACUCUAUGGUGUUGAGUUAAGACGGGGCCAAACAUGCACCUUUUUUUUCCAAUUAAUUUAAAUCGUGCCAAAACCAUAAAUAUACCUAAAAAUAAAGAGGGUAAGAUCCGAGCAAUGCGCUUGAUUAAAUAGUUUGACCUAAAUAAGAAAAGGAAAUACACCAGAACUCCCAUUUCACAGCAUAUACAGCGUCUAACAUAAAACUACAGUUCCUCCAGGACUAGCAUAAAAAGGAAAUGGAACAACUCAAGACUUGUUUCACCAUUCACCAUGUCUAAUACCAGUAACCUUUACUCAAACAUCAUAAAAGAAACAGAUGUUACAAUGAACACAGAAUAUCCCAAGAGAAAAGGAAAACCACGCAGCAACUGCGAUAAUAUUUGCAGAAGACAUGGAAUUAUCGUAAACAACAGGAAACCUCAAUCCAUAUCAAGAAAUUCCAUCCUCUUCCUCAUUGAGCCUUUAAGAUCUGUAGAGUCCCUUUCUGCUUUCUGUGCCUGAUGGAUGGAUAGGUGAUAUGAAUUAGAAACAAAUCACAAGUCUCAAUAAGAAAUGUAUACGCACAAUAUAAAGUGGUCCGGGUCCUCAACUCUAUAAUGUGUUAUGACUAAAUAAAUCAGUCAACCAUCAACUAAUGGUUAGCCUCAAGUUAAUCAUGAUUUUGCACUUGAAAGAAUAGAUUUAUAAACUAGAAAGAUGGAAAUGUUAUCUCUUUAAAAAGCAUAUGAAAACAUGCACACAUAAAGAUGCAAGUUAUAUACAAGAUACAUUCUAUUAACAAGGAUUACUGUUUUUUCUUCAGCUUUAUAAUUUCUUUCUGUGUGUUGCAAAAGGAAAAAGGCUAGCUACAUACAGUAUUUCGUGUACAAGCUUAUCCUUUUCUUUUGGACAAAGGGUUAAUUUCAUCGAUAAAGAGGCAUGUAAAAGCUUAACCUUUUUGCAACUUCAUACCUUCAUCUUUAUCUUUUCCACUCCCCACCCCCCAUUUAUCAAAAAAUAACUUUUCAUCCCUAAAUUUCCAAAACUAUGCAAAAUACCUACAGCUUUUUUUCCUUCCAACUAUAUAUUCACCAAUAUAAGUUGCUCCACACCCCAAACUUCACAAGUCAUACACCUGCAACAAGUCCAUUAAGCAUCUGGAAGAGUGAAACUAAUAAUAACAGGAUCUUACCCUUCUUAUCUCAGCUUCUGAAACACGUGUCAUAUGGGGAGGAAGUUCCUCCUUAUCCACGUCCUGACCAAUCAUUACAACAUUGUAUUAGCCAACGGGUAUACAAUUAUGGGGAUAGCACAGAACUUUUUGUAUUGAGAGAGAAAUCAAGACAUACCAGUUCACCAAUUAACACAACAUUUUCCCCACGUAUAAUAUAAAGACCUAAUGGGAUAUCACAAUAUAGAUCACCAACAAUAGCACGCUCACAUGCACUUUCAAGAACAGCAUUAGCUACAAAUAACAGAUGGAAUUUUUGUCAGGUGGUUAACCGCGGCAGUGAUAUGGAAAGUAAUGACAGGAGAAACCUACCAAAUUGGUCAAAAGAACGAAGUAUUCCUAAAAGCUUUCGCCCAUCUCGCAACAGCACAAGAAGUUUCUCUGUGAGGGAUAAUGAGUCAAGCCAGAAAAGCAAGAAAUAGAUCCAGUAAAUCAAUAAACAGGUUUAGUUAUUGCUAUCAAUCUAUGAGCACAUGGACAUAUAUAUAAGAAAAAGUAAAUCAAUAAACAGGUUUAGUUAUUGCUAUCAAUCUAUGAGCACAUGGACAUAUAUAUAAGAAAAAGUAAAUCAAUAAACAGGUUUAGUUAUUGCUAUCAAUCUAUGAGCACAUGGACAUAUAUAUAAGAAAAAGUAAAUCAAUAAACAGGUUUAGUUAUUGCUAUCAAUCUAUGAGCACAUGGACAUAUAUAUAAGAAAAAGUAAAUCAAUAAACAGGUUUAGUUAUUGCUAUCAAUCUAUGAGCACAUGGGCAUAUAUAUAAGAAAAAGUAGCUCCCCAAUUAUUUCUUUUAGUACCAGGCACCCCAUGUAUUAUUGCAUUAGCUUCUACUAGAGGCGGAUCUAGAAUUUGAAGGUUGCGGGUGCCACUGCAUUUAAUAUAAACUUGGUGAUGGAUAUUGAAUUUGGGCGUAUAUUCAUCCAAUUCAAUCCAUUUUGAGCUAAUAUGGGUUGAUUUACGAAUUUUUUGGUACAUAAAUAAAUAUACGAUUAUCUAAUCAACAUGAAUUUUAUCUGAUUCAAUCAAAUUCUGCUGCAAAAUGAGAAAAAUAUGAACAAGAAAACAAAAUUUUUUGAAUAGGCAAUUGCACCCCUUCUUAAUCAUAAGAUACUUAAAUCAUAAAUCAUGAUAACUAACAAAUUGUAACUUAUAACGAAUUCUAUAAAAUAAUUCUAUAAAAAAGAGCCAAAGCAUUUUGUAUAAGGGAUCUCUCAUCAACUUAAAGUAAAGACAAUGUUUUCAUUACAAAAAAUCACAAAUUAUCCAUAUUAAAAAAGAAAUUAAUUUGCGAACAAAAACAGAAACUCGUAUUUUUUUUAAAAUUUUUUGGUAACAUUAAAACAAAAACUCUUAAUAAUAAAGUACAAAAAGAAGCCAAUAAACUAGCAUAAAACGACCCUUGGCUCUAUUGCUUUCGUUUAAAGGAUUAAGAAACGAAGUAUAAAAUUCAAUAGAUAAAAUGUACUUUGAAGGGAUAAAAGAGGAAAAAGAAUAAAAUCACAUCCAAGUAAAUAUUUGGACAUUUUGAAGAAAAAAGAAGAAGAAAUAAUUUAGAUAAAUAAACUAAUUGAUGGGUUGCAAAGGAGGAAGAGUGUAAAUACAAUUACUAAGCUGCUCGGACUCGAGUGCGGGUGUCCAUACGGGUGCGGAUCUAGAGGUCGGAUCCUUCAUGAUCUAAUUUUUAAGCUUCGGGGAUAUGGAUCCAUGUACGGAUAUGGGUGCGGGGAUUCGCCUAUAAAUAAUUAAAAUAUCUAAAAAUAGAGUUAUAAAACCUAAAUUAUGACAUAUUAUGUGGAGAACUUGAGAAGAAUCACGAAAGGAAAUUAAGGAAAAUGAGUGACAUAAAAAUUUCUAUAUAAAAGGUAUUCUAUUUUCUUCAAUUUCACCUUUAGCUUUUGUAUUGAGCAUAGCAAUCAUUAAAAUUGUCCAGACUUUCUCCAUCGAUUUUGGUCAAAGUACCCAAAAUCCGUUGACCAAAUCAGACACAGAUCCCACACCCACACCCAUGUCGUGUCGACACAGGCGGCACCAAAAGUGAAGAGUCCGAGCAACUUAGAAUACAAAAAAAACACUAUAAAGGAAACAAAUAAAGAAAGAAAGGAUAUCCCUAGUAUGUUAGAGUCCUUAAGGAGUUCAUAGGAAAACAACAUCACUUUUGUAUUUCUGAUUGUAAGUAUUACUGGAAUACGUCCUGAGUAUUCCUGUGUUUAUAAUACAAGUUACCUUUUCAAAAAAAAAUAAAGAAAGAAAGAAGAGAAGUAAAGGAAAAGGCAAAAAAGGAAGAAAAAAAGAAAGAAGAAGAAAACCAAAAGACAAAUUGCAUUCCAGGAGAUUCGAACCACAGCGUUGGGUGUGGCACCCUGUCAGUUGACCAACUGAUCAGCAGUCACUAUGCCAUUGUGGGUGCCAACCUUUAAUUAUAUAUCAUACUCACUACAAUUCCUAUACAUAUAUAUAUGAAAAAAUUAAUCGAGCACCGGGUGCCGUGGCAACCUCACCGUAACACAUUAACUAAUUGCUCAAGAGCCGGAAACAACUAAUCCUUCAAUUUACAGGAACAUGCCUCUUUGGUAGAAUAAGUAGUACCAUAGGUUCCUCUAGAAGGAAUAGGGACCACAUAUACCUAUAAUAAUCGUGGUUUCUAUCAUUUAAGCUGCCAAGACAAGAACACAGGAGGCAUAGGAAAAAAGGGUGCAAUUCAUUUUUUUAUAAUGUUGGUGUCCAUACCAGCUUGCUCUCACCUCAACUAUUCAACUAGGUAUUUGCUACUACCUCCCACAGUAAACCAUUGGAUAACUAUGCUCAGUUGCUCACUGAGACUUAAAUAGAAGGGUAAAAAUCACCUAAUAUUUUUUGUUUCUAUUGGAUUUUGAACCUUGGCCUCCAAGGUCUGCACACACUUCAUUGAUCUAAUCACACCCUUGGGUGCAAAAAAACAUAUUGUGAACCAUGUAUUUCUACAAUUUGCACAAAUGUCAAGAUAACAGCAAGACUUACUAAGAAAGUUGAUUGCUGAAUAAGGUAGGCUUUCAAGCGCAAGCCCUUUGUAUAAUUGAGUGCUUGACUGCACCUUUAAUUCUCUGGAAAAAAAGAAGAAAAAGUGGUACUCAAGCACUCAAAUAUGUAAGUGGCUUGGGCUUGACAGCAACUUUCUUUUAUCAUUAAGGCUUUCAUUUUGAGUUGUCACUACGAGGAAACACAAACAAUGAUGAACCUUUUGUGGCUCUUUGACCCAUGCAGCAGUAGAAAAGAUCUAUUCCGCCUUAAAAGAAGGAAGCACUCCUCUUCCCUCGCAAUAUAUGAAUCAGUGAAAAAUCAGCACUUUAGUCAUUAUGAAGUAUACAUCGGACAUCGCCCAUAAAGCACAUCUACAGGGAAGGCAACAUGGUUGCAGCUGGCUUAGCAAAACAAGGUUCAGAUUUAGACUAAUAAAGGCUUAAAAAUCUUUGAUUUUUCCUCCUUUUGUAUCAACACUUUGGAGAAAAUCUACCAGUGGUAUAAAUAAGAUAUACUCCCUUGGUUUCAAUUUAUUUGUCUUAAUUUCCUUUUCAGCCCAUUUCAAAAAGUAUCUCUUUUCUUUUUUGGCAACUCCUUAAUUCUAGCUUUCCACGUGGCAUGUUUAAUACUACAAGAUUAAAGAACAUUAUGGUACAUUCUACGUAUCUUUAGUUAAAGAUUACAACAUUCAAAAAUCUUUUUACUUCUCCAAACUUCAUGUCAAGUCAAAACGAGACAAACAAAUUGAAGCCGGAAUUUAUCUUUUGAACCUAAAAAAGAUGUGCACUCUCAACUUUUUCUCAUAAUGCAACCAACAUCUUCUAGGUAUUCUCUCUCCCCAUAAACGAAAAAUCAAUUACAUCUCAGUUUUAAACUAAUGUACUAUGAUCAGAAUUCAGGAAUCAACGCGAGAUUACUAGAUACGAACAGACAACCAUCUGUGUUCAAUUAAAAUAAAUAAGAGGAAACAAUCCAAUACCAAAACAGCCCAAAAGAACCUUGCAAGUUUAGCAAGACUAGAUUUUGAACACCAAAACUACUAGACAACUUUAAUAGUACUUAGCAUAUCGACCUUUCUUUAACAUAUAAUUUAUAAAGAAAUGAAGAAAAACUCACUGUCAAGAUAACUUGCAAGAGAAGUGGAGGUAUAGAUAUCUUCUGGACUUGCCCAAGACAUUGAUUUGCUUUCAAUUUAACGUUUUCGGUAUCCCAAAAAUCACCGAAACUUCUUCAGAUUUCAAUUCAAUUUGCAUUGGCAGAUCCGAUUACCCGCUUUACAGUGCCCUAACAAAAGCUUCGCCGCUUCACUGAGAACAUAUAAACUAAAAUCCUACCGCUAAAUCAAGAAUUAGAAAAACUCCAAAGCCCUAAAUCUGAGAGAAGUUUGAAAAGAAAAGAAUUUGUUGACUUUUGGUUGCUCAGAUCGGGAGGAACCCUAAAUUCGGCCUAUCCCCAAAAUUUUGGGGAGUCAUACGGUCUACUGCUCUUUCCGAUUCUUAAUUUUGAGAUUUACCCGGCCUACUUUUGUAAAUUUAGUUUUAGUUGACUCCUUGAAAUAUGAUAGUACUAUCUCUUUAUGUGGUCUCUUACUUCUUCAUUUUUUUGUCCGCCCAACGAUGGAGAGCUUUUGCAAUCAUCAAAAUUUGAUAUAUUUCUAUAACGUAAUUUUUUACUUAAGGGGUCUCGCUUAAUACCUAUCGGACAAGGGUAGCUCUGCCCCAGGUCACAAUGGUGUGGUAUGCCACAAAGCGAUUUUUUUAUCUUAACUUGCUUUCUAUUGUCGAUUGAGAACUUUUGCAAUCAUCAAAAUUUGACAUAUUUAUAUAACGUAAUUUUCAUAUGAAGGGGAGUCGCUUAACACCCCUUGGACAAGAGUAGCUCUGCCCUGGUCACUAUGACGUUGUAUGUCACUAAUAAGUAUUUGAUCUUAACUUGCUUUCUAUUGUGUUGUGUUAAGAUUCGUUAUUUUUCGAUACUAGGGUACAAAAAUAAAAUGAUGAUGGAAUUAAUGAAUUUAUUAACGUUCGAUUGAAUUAAGAUUCAUGUCAUAAACAUUUUUCUUUAGUUGAAACGUACUACGAAUAUAAGGAAAAGUAUAAUUUAAAUAUUGAUAUAGGUUUAAUUAGUUGCCUAGACAAGAAGUUAUUCGAUAUUUCUUUCCAAAAUUAAUCGUUUGCAUUUAGAAAUAAGCCAAUGUUGGUGAAUGAGAGAUUUAUUUUUAUUAAAUUAAAAAAAAACUACAUAAACAUGAAACUGUGUUGACAUGCAUUAUGAACUAUUCACACAUUUCACCAUGAAUAAAAACAUGGCAUUUGGUAUUAAAAAAAGAUUUUCAGUAUUGUGAUGUUUUAUCUUUUAUGACAUGUAGAUAGUGUAAAAAUUACUUACGCUGUCAGUGUAUAUAAAUUAAAUCCAUAUAUCAGCUGUGGACUGGUCCAUAGACAGAGAUCAUAACGACUCGUAAGGUGAGUGCUCUCAAGCUUCUAUAUUUUAUCUCUUUUAUUUCCUCUAAUUCUAUUACAAGCAGUUCACUACAUCUGGAAUGAAACACAGUUAUACAACUAUACAUAUAAGUAGUGUGACAGUCCAACCACAUUUCUGAUACAUCUGUGGCUGUGUAGCUGCUGAUAUAUUAGCCACAUUCUCCACAUACUUCACAACAAAAACUAAUACACUCAAAACAAGCAAGCGCUGUACAGAGUUGUGCUAACGUCACAGCACAUCGAUCACUAACCCGAGAGCAGAACUGUAUGAAACACAUGCAACAGCAAAAGUCACAUAGUUUGCCACAUAAGUUUGAAGCAGCGGAAAAUACCAUUUCUGAUGUUUCAUGCAACUUAGGUUCUGCUGCUUCCACAGGAAGAUUGUCUGCAGUUGCCUUCAAGUUACCAAAACCAACACCGAGUGCUCGAAGGUAUAUGAUCUUCUUGACAUUCAACUGAUCAGAGGCCUUCUGCAUAUACAUUGGUUAUCAAUCAAUACGAGAGCUUUUAUUUUUAUUAACAAAUUCCGCUUGUAAGCUUAAAAGAAUGCAUUACUGUUGUUUAAACAAAUCUAUUCUUGAAGUUCCACAAGCACAAGAAUGCUAGUUUAUUUUUACACAAGUAUAUGUCUAGAUAUAAUUACCUCAUACAGGUCAAAAUAUAUACUUUAUGAAUCAGACGUAAUUUAAUGCACUUAUCUACAUAUACUUGUGUAUUUGGUAUGCAUGUUUUGCAUACAAAUACACAAAUUUUACUUUAAGGAAGUGAUGCACGCGAAUCAUAAAUCACAGAAGAUGGAUAGUGUUAAAACCUCAAAAGAUGAUUUUCUCUAAUUUAAAGACAGUUAACCUAGUACAUUGACAAACCAACCAAACUCAUACCUCGUCUACUGUCUCUAAUUUAGACGUCUGCUUCUCCUUUAAAUUUUCAACCAAAACCAAGUUGGUGUACUCUGAAGGCACCCCAGUUUGCAAGCUCAAUUUUGCAACCUAGAAACAGAUAUAUAGUUUAAGUGAGCAUAAUUACCAUCAAGAAAAAAUAAUCAUGAUUUUCAAUAGUAGAAGUAACAGUAGUGCAAGGGACUGGAGUAUAACGAAUAUAAAUCUCUUAAUGUUGCAGGGAUUUGCAAUCACGUGAUUGUGUGAAACUUCUUUAUGCAGCACUAUAGGAAUUAAGAUUCAUUAGAACAGACCAUCUCCUCUAGUUGGUUGUUUUCGGAAAACCAGGCAUUGGCAGUUAUUGUUUCAAUUUGUCUCCUUGCAAAAACCUGCAUAAAGGGAACAAGCAUAAGUUCUAAUUGUGGAAGAGUGCAGAUUUGUACUUUUCCUGCAAGGUACAUGUAAGCAUGCACAGACCAAAAAAAAAUACAAACGUGAUAUUUGUUUGAUUAAUACGGGGAAUAAGAAUGCUAGAUAGUUCAUAGAAUCAACCUGUUCUCAUAGUAGAGAAAACGUGUACAAGAACAGAAUCCAGGUAAAGCUGGAACACCACAUACACAGUACUUUUUUCUUAUAACUUUCUCCGCAGCAUAAGUAAAUCAAAUUAACAUUUCAGUAAGGAAUACAAGAUGAAAGACCUUACUCUUUCCAAAGGAAAAUCCUUUGCUUUUUGUACUUUGACAUCGACCACAAAACUGCUCAAAUCUGCUAAUGUGCCACUAACUUUAACAGAACCAGAGCAGGUCCCGAUGAAUCUGCCAGAGACAAUUAGUGGUCUCGAAGAUAACAGGUCCGGCAGAUAACAUGGAUAUAGCUGCAAUAAGAACAUUGAUUAGAACUGUCAGAUAAGCAGUAAGGGGCACGUAUUAUACACUUUAUAUCAUAACUAUAACAUGGGAAAAGAAAAAUAAUUAAGCAGUGUAUUAUUUAGUGGAAAUUUUGUGAAUCCGUGAUAUUUUGGAAGGCAACAAUGGGGCAUAUUUAGCUAUUUAUACUGCUUUGUACAUCCUUUUCUCUCCUCAGAAUAAAUAAGGAAUCUGAAGGUGUAUAUACCUCAAAUGAAUCAAGACUUUCCAGAGCUUCAAUUUUCAGGUCUGCGAGAAUAACCGAUGAUGUGCCAUUAAGUAGUCUUUCCAGCCGAGAACUGAUUGAAUCUGACCAUGGAAAUUGAUGUGAAGAACUAAAAUCAUAACUCGCAAUUCAAACUUCUGCCAAUCUGAUGUGGUGUUAAAUAGAAGUUAAAUAAUACUCUAAUAACUUUUUCGGCUGAGGAAAAUAUGAAAGUAUUCCCAUUCAUAGUGAUUUCCAUUUUAAAAGAUAAAACUCAAAUACCAUUAUUACUUAGGAAAGGCAAUGAUCAAUACCAAAUCUAAUCUUAAAUACCAAAACAUAGAGUAGCCGCUACNNNNNNNNNNNNNNNNNNNNNNNNNNNNNNNNNNNNNNNNNNNNNNNNNNNNNNNNNNNNNNNNNNNNNNNNNNNNNNNNNNNNNNNNNNNNNNNNNNNNNNNNNNNNNNNNNNNNNNNNNNNNNNNNNNCAUAGUGAUUUCCAUUUUAAUAGAUAAAACUCAAAUACCAUUAUUACUUAGGAAAGGCAAUGAUCAAUACCAAAUCUAAUCUUAAAUAUCAAAACAUAGAGUAGCCGCUACCACAUUCGUCUUGCCCGGAUGAUAGAGAAUAGAGAGGUCAUAGUCCUUCAGGAGCUCAAUCCAACGACGCUGCCUCGAAUUAAGGUCCCUCUGGCUCAUGAUGUACUGAAGACUCCUNNNNNNNNNNNNNNNNNNNNNNNNNNNNNNNNNNNNNNNNNNNNNNNNNNNNNNNNNNNNNNNNNNNNNNNNNNNNNNNNNNNNNNNNNNNNNNNNNNNNNNNNNNNNNNNNNNNNNNNNNNNNNNNNNNNNNNNNNNNNNNNNNNNNNNNNNNNNNNNNNNNNNNNNNNNNNNNNNNNNNNNNNNNNNNNNNNNNNNNNNNNNNNNNNNNNNNNNNNNNNNNNNNNNNNNNNNNNNNNNNNNNNNNNNNNNNNNNNNNNNNNNNNNNNNNNNNNNNNNNNNNNNNNNNNNNNNNNNNNNNNNNNNNNNNNNNNNNNNNNNNNNNNAGCUCAAAGGGAGGAGGAUUGUUCAAGCCUUGUAAGGAGUCCACCCAUCUCAUUAACCACCGAUGUGGGACUUUUGUCAUUCUUUAACACCCCACCUCACGCCCAGUGCUGCUUAGCAUCUGGUAUUUUUUUUUUUUUUAGAUGCAUCCAGAUGAAAUUGAAUUUAUUCAAUCAAGAGAACAGAACCAGCAAGCCAUCAAGAAAUCGUUAAGACGAUGAGUCAGAAUGAGAAACACGACAAACAUACUUAAACCAGGUCAGAAAAGUUAUAUCAUCCACUAUAUUUGCAAUUGCUCCUAUGUGUUAAAAUAUUAUGGUUGUUAAUCAAGAAACUGUGACUGUAGAAGGUUUAUCUUGGAGGGAAAUCAUCGUCUCCAUGGUAUCAGAGCAGGGCCCGUCUCACCCGAUGUUGGGGCCCCCAAAAAUCAAAAAUUGCCCACGCACCACAUGCUAAGCAGCACUGGGCGUGAGGUGGGGUGUUAAAGAAUGACAAAAGUCCCACAUCGGUGGUUAAUGAGAUGGGUGGACUCCUUAUAAGGCUUGGGCAAUCCUCCUCCCUUUGAGCUAGCUUUUGGGGUGUGAGUUAGGCCUAAGACCUAAUUUAACAAGAAACCCUCCACAAAUCGUCUGACUGAGGUGGGCUUAGCCCAAUCACGAAUAGCCUCAAUUUUCGCCGGAUCUACCACAAUGCCCUCCUUAGAUACAACAUGCCCCAAGAACGCUACAGAGUCUAACCAAAACUGGCACUUUAAGAACUUGGCAUAAAGCCGCUGAUCUCUCAAAGUCUGGAGCACAACUCUCAAAUGCUACUCAUGAUCACCCCUACUCCGCGAGUAUAUCAAAAUGUCAUCAAUGAAGACUAUGACGAAGGAAUCAAGAUAAGGCCUGAACACGCGUGUCAUCAAGUCCAUAAAGGCGGCAGGGGCAUUAGUCAACCCAAAUGACAUCACCAAGAACUCCCUCUACCUAGGAUUGAUGACCUAUUUGACCAGCUACAUGGAGCUUCAGUGUUCUCUAAGAUUGAUUUGAGGUNNNNNNNNNNNNNNNNNNNNNNNNNNNNNNNNNNNNNNNNNNNNNNNNNNNNNNNNNNNNNNNNNNNNNNNNNNNNNNNNNNNNNNNNNNNNNNNNNNNNNNNNCCAGUACCAGUUACCAGCGGUGAUUAGUUCCAGCCUUCUUUUGCAAUUGUGAUUCGGAGACGAGGGCGAGCACUUGGCGUUUUGGGGUUUGUUCUGUCUCCUUCUUUUGUUUUAGCUAGUCUUGUUGCCUUUGAGACACGCUCUGUUGUGGUCCACUUUUGGGACUUGUACUCUUUAUUAGAUAGCUCUGUACUAGUGACUUUCAGGUUCUGGGAGGGAUUUCUGUAUAUAUUUAUUUUGGGUUGCUUCCGCCUUGUUAUCCUUGUUUAGAUUAUUGUUUUCGUUAGUUUCUGCCCUUUUGCUCAUUGCUUGAUGUUCUGGGUUACGGGUUGGCUUACCUACUGGUAGGGUAUAGUAGGUGCCAUCAUGACUCGAGUAAGAAACUCAAAUGUAAAAUAAGUCUAUGAAUGGAUUUUUUUACAACAGUUCAGUAACCAUCAGAGAGUUUCUGAGUAGGUUGUUGAAACUUGGGCAGAAAAAUAAAUUCUUACAAACUACAUGCACUUAAUUGCAUCGUAGUAAACAGAAAUACUAAGAUGCAUAAUUGUUAAAUUAAGCGCACCUAAAUCAUAUGCAGCAUCGUAGUAACCUCUUCCGAUUUGAGCAAGCAUUUGCAAGAAGUAGUGAUUACAGUAUAAACCUGAGAGACAUAAAUAUAGUAUUGAAAAUUUCCAUUGAAGCAUGGGAGAGAAGCGUCAUUUAAAGUCGUAAAAGAAAAACAAACGCACCAAUGCCAAAGGUCGAAAUUCGCGGAGCAUUCAAGCCUCUCUUCAUCAACCGUCCUCUCAAGGCUUCACAAAUUUCUCUUUCAUCUCCAACAGACCCAUCGGUAAUUAGAAAAACAAGAGGAAUUGAAUCACCAUUUUUCGAUAGCAUCUCUAUUGCCUGACUUGGAUGAAUUUGCAAGAACAGAUUAUGAGACUUGGGUAAAUGCACCAAAAAAAUGUGAAAUCAACAUAAUACUGCAUUUUUUUAAUCAAGUAAAUACUACAUGUCUGGAGCAACUAAAAAUUGGAAAAUAGAAGGAAUAGAACGGUCAAAUAGUUAGAGCUAAUCAACAUAAUGAUGCAUCAUCCACAUGAACUUAUUACUCAAUUUAUUACAUGUAUCUUCUACACAUGGGUAGAGGUAAAAAAAACGUUUUGUCACUGAGUCUACAAGGACCAAAAUAGAAGUUUCUACUUAAUUUUGCUUUUCAAGCAAUACUCAUCUCUGGAAAAUAAUAAGCAGUAUCAUACCAGUCUGUAGUAAAGAAAAGUCAUAUUUCUAACCUGGUUAAGAGGCAGGGAAAUGUCGGUACCUCCCUCAGCUACAAAAUUUUGGUCAAUCCACUGAGUUGCUUUUCCAAUUGACUCCUUCCCUGACGGCUCCAUGGAUGAUGAGAACAAUAAGCUUUUUCCGUUGAAGGCUAUGACGUUAAAAGUAUCCGCUGGACUGAGUUUAGAGAGGGCAGCCAGUAGUGCAGACUUAACAUUCUCAAGUGGCCUCCCUUGCAUGCUCGCACUUAUAUCAACAACAUAUACCACUUCCUUCCUGAAAACCUAAAAAUCAACAAAAGGAGAGUACAUGUGCCAUUUAAGUACCCAAGAGAGAUAACAAACAGGUAAAUAAAUUCAAAAGCUGCAUUCGUAUUUUGAAAAUUUGACAUGUGCAAAAGUAGACAUGAAUUGAUUAUAAGGUAGUUUAGAUGUCCUAUAAAGCAUAGAUUUCAAAAGCUGCAUUUGUCAAUUGACAAUUAUCGCCUAUUUUUCUGAUUUGGCAUCUUAGCUUAAUAUGUAUGACAAAAUCAAGAACAACACUAAGCUGAACAUGUGUAGUCUAACAAAACAUGAUAUGUUUAGAAUUCAAGGAUCACAGGUCAAAAUUACAUUUUGAUCAAAAUCUGGAUAGCAUUCAAACCAUUAAGAAACAAGGCUAACAAACCUUCAUUGCAUUGACGGUCGGUGGGUAUAGAUUGAAGCAAAACAUUUCUCUCUGAUCAACAUCAAGCAUAGACACUCGGUUCAGGAGCACGCUCCCAAGGAUCUCACUUGAAUGAACCUAAAGAUAGAUGCAGCUAUUAGUGACGAUUUCUGAAGCUCAUCUAAAUAAAUGAUCAAUAAAAACAAAGAGUACUUCAUAAAGCAGGUCCAACCGGAAGUGGUCUUACUUUGUAGGAGAAACUGAAGUCAUCCAUUGACCAUGCCCGAACUUCACUCUCGUAUAAAAAUCCUAAACUACCAACCAAACGUCUUGUUUCCUGGGAAGAAAAACAAAAAGGGGUGGGUUUGUUAUCAAUUGUUAUAUUCAUGACUAGAUAGGUUAAAAAAUGUUCACCUUUAAAGGAUGACUGCAACUUCCGCAUAAAAUCUCUUUCCCCAUACCAGAGUUCACGUUCAACCGAAUCCUCUCUUUCUUGCACAAUAGUUUUGCAAUUGGAUUGACAUGCCACGGGAAACUGAAAGGUAUAUUUAAGGAAAAUUGACCAUCUUGAUACAGUAGUUUCUGUGACCAACUGACUUUAACGGAGAGAAUAGAACCUCCAGCAACCUUGAAAGAUCCAAAAGUAGACAAAUAUAUCCCCUUUCUUGAAACUCAACAAGGAAUGAAGAAAAGAUAGAUAAUCAAUUUGGUAGUGUGAGAUGGUUACCUGAGGGACCUUUAAUGUGUAUAUCCGGCGAUUUAGUAAGAAGCCAUCUUUAGCAUUGGCUACUAAACCAGCAUCUUUGGUAUCAUUUGAUUCUAUCAACAAGGUGGAAUACGAUCUUGAUGGUGUUUCAAUCUCUACACCUAGAACUGAACCCUGUGUUAGACAAAUGAUAGUAUUUUAAGAACAACAGAAUGACCAACAUUGUAUGCUAGCUAGACUAAUCAAAACUUAAACUAUACAGUCAAAUGCUUAUUAUCAUAUAGUAUUCGUUUAGUUUGUUUUAAUGAUAUGUCUAGGUCAUGUAAACAGUUGGAGUGACAUGAAUAUUUCGUAUAUUCGAAAGGUAAGGGUAUGGACAUGUAAAAUUUAUAUGUUGUCACCUUCCAUAUAUGAUAUAAACAAAAUUGGGAUAUGCCAUAGUUUUCUUUUUUCUUUGACUAUUUCUCUCCAUUGCUUCAAUGCCUAUAAUGACAGAGAAAUCUUGUUGAUAGGCCAGCUUAAUUCAGAGCAAACAUGAUUCUGACCAAUGAGGAAAUUAGCUUGUUUACUUUAGUCCAUCAAGAAAUCUCAGACAACUAAAAGUCUACAACCACUAAAACCUUCCAACUGAUGUGUGCAUAUCAAAAGAGAAACUGUGGGGCAUUGCUGUCUGUCUGUUUUUUUUUUCCUUUCUUUUGAGUACGAGUUAAUGCAAAUAUACAAUCGAAAAAACAUUUUUUGGUACAAAUGGUUACGUACCAAGUAGAAAGUCACUAGUAAAACAUAAAAAAGGGAAAGACAGGAAAAACAUAAGUACUAGUACUACUUAUAUUCCUUAAAUGCUCGUCUCUCAAGGAAGCUUAAUAGUUCAGUUAGUUGACUAAAUUGAGAUUUGAACUUGGGACUCCUCAACCAUUGAGCCAUCUCAGCCAACCUCCAAUCUUAUGUUUACAUAUAAAGGAUAACUAACCCAAAUAACCGUCCAGACAACUGAUUAAACUAAAAUAGCACGCAAAUAUAUAAUAUAACGACUAGAAAAAGUAAACAGUAAAUCUGACCGGCUAAAGAAAAAGGAGGAGGAACAGAACAAUUUCGAGAAACAAAACCUGCUCUCCCAUUGGUACAGCGAUUCGACAAUCGCAGUAUCGGCUAGAAGCAAUACAGUGCAUCCGCCAAGUUCCGUUGACCGUUACAAAAGCAGUAUCCAUAUAACAAUCAACCUCCAUUGCAAUCCCCUGCAUGUCAAGCGGAAUCAACGCCGGCGGAUCACUACGGCCAUAAACAUACGGUUGAUAGCUCGGAAUAUCAGGAUUAUCCACCAUCGACGGGUCCUUAACGACGGCGUACACCAUAGGUGCCGUCGGCAAGUUAUUAAUCUCAGAUGAUUUCUUCUCCAUUACAAGUGGCUUCGGCGGAUUUUUACCGUAGUAAAUUCGUUUAGUUAACUGAAGUCCCAUAUCUACCGACGUUGCAAACUCAUCCGCCAUAUUUUCCGGCGAGUUGAAAAAAACAAAGGAAAAUAACAGAAUCAGAUGAAGCAGCUAGAAAGUGUAGUGUUGUAGUACAUUAAUGGAGAUAGAGAUAUGUGGAAGAUGAAAGAUAAAAUGAAUCUUCUUGUCAGGUCUCUAUUAUGAAUUAAAUUAAAAGUUAUAGUACAAAUAAUUAUGGGAAAGGAAACAGGAGAACUUGAUUAAGACAUAUGGAAUCGUUGUGGUCAACUUUAAGACGACAAGUUAAGCAUGUUCACUAAUUAAGGAGAGACUUUAGCAUAUUGUAAUAGACUAAUAGGUUAAACAUAAUGGAACCACAUUCUAGUAAAAGUUAUCCUCUUAUAAUUUUAUGGAGGACAUAUAUAACAUUAUAACAUUAAAAAAUAUUUUAAUAUAUUUUACGUAUCUUUAUAUUAUAUUAUUGCAAUUUUUUAUUUUUAUUUUUUACUUUUUAAAAUUUCAUAUGACACCACACACGAUGUUGGUGUUUGCUUUUGAAGUCUUGUGUGAUGAAAAAUAACAUUAAAACUUUAAGGCAAGUUACAUAGAGUGAUGGUUAUAUCAGUAAUGGUAUAUGAAACAGAAUAUUGUUAACAAGUCAAGAACUCACAUAUUCAAAAGAUAAAAACAUUGAAGAUGAGGAUGCUAAGGUGAAUAUGUGAACAUACUAGGAGAGAUAAUAUUAGAAAUGAAGAUAUCACGACAAGAUAGGAGUGUUUUCUAUGGUGGACAAGUUGAGAGAAGUAAUGUUGAGAUGGUUUGACAGAUGAAGAGGAAAAAUACAAAUACCUAAGUGAGGAGGUUAGAGAAGUUGACAAUAAUAAGCAUAGACUGAAGAAGUAUAUAUCAGGGAGAUGAUUAGGCAAGACACAACACAUCUUACGCCUACUAGUCGAGGACAUUACCUUAGAUAUUAUGUUUAGAGGCCACGGAUCAGGGUAAAAGAUUAAUUGAUUAUUAACCAUUCUCUUGCUUUCUUUGCGGAUAGACUUGGUGAUCGUACUUGAAUCUUCUUUCUUAUCAAUAGUAUUAACACUAUUCCCGUAGUUAUUUUUGGAUUUCGAUUAUCACAUUAUUUUGUUGUCAUUGUUGUUCUUUCCUUUGUAUAUUGUGUAUUGAUCUUCAUUUCACGUUAUUUCGUUGUUGUUACUGCUUUCAUCUCUAAAAUUCCAUUUUCAAACUAUUUGAAUAUGCUUUAUUUUAAGCCCUGAAUUUAUCAAAAAUGAAUUUAUAAAAUUGAACUUUAUUUAUAAAAUUACACUAAAUUUCUUAUUAUUAUUGUAGAGAAUAAAAUGCCCCAUUCUCAAUCUUUAGAGUAUGGGCUUGUAUUUAUAUAAUUUUAAAUAUUAUAUUCUUAAAAUUUUACUCAUGAUUUAUAUUUUUAUUUUUAAAAAGAUAUUUAAGACAUUACUGCAUUAUUUCAUAUGGAUUCCUACUCUGAUAUUAAAUAUCCCAACAACCAAACUACUAAUGAGUAAAAUAUUCCAAAAUAUCUUUUAAGAAAUAAAAAAUGUUAGAAUUACAAGAAAAGGACAAGCAAUUUUUUUGCUGUUAUUGAAUGGACAAACUAGUAAUUUAAUGAAAGAAGACUUUAUACACAUGUAAUUAAGAUAAACAUAUUCCUCGUGUCAAAUAAAGAUCGAUCUACAACACUCAAUAAUUGGUGCCACUUUUUCACCUACCCGUAAUUAUUUGCGCAACUUGUGAUAUCAUGCUGGUCAGUGGUCAAUAUAAAUUACUACAGUAAUUUUUUUAUUCUUGAUUUUUUAAAAUUGUUUUGUUAUUUUAUAAAGAAACAAAAACUCAUUUCCCCCAUAAAAUUUAAGUUAUAAAAGAAAAGAAAAUAUUUAAAAUUAAAAUAUAUUCAUCUUUUAUUUAUUAAAAAGCUUAAAUCUAACACAUUAUUAAUAUAUUCAUAGUAUAUAUGUUUUUAUAACUAAUUGAAAAUUAAAAGUUAUCGAGUUUCCUGUCUUUUUGUGGCAAUAUGACGCUUGAGUAUUACCUUACUUUUUAGACAUUUAAAAAGAAUGUUUUUUUUUUUCAUUUUUUAGUAACUUUGUGAUUCAAUUUUUCACAUGAUAUGUUUAAUACUAUAAGAUUAAAACGUAUUUAAUAUAUUCACAUAUCUCUAUUUUAAUAACAAAAUAUUUAAAUGUCUUUUUUUACUUUCUUAAUAAUGAUUUGUUGUUAGAGAUAAAAUUAUGUCAUAAAAAAUGUAAUAUGAAAACUUUAUUAGUAUUGUGAAAAAAAUUCAUAUUGAAUAUGAAGAUACAUGGAGAAAUAAAUAUUAGUGGGCACGAAGACAGUAGGAUCGAUUGGGACUUUGCCUAUGACUAAAAAUAGGAUCUUGUGGGACCAACCUAUCACUAACGUUUGUUUUUCUGUAAUUAUAUAGUAUAAGAAACAAAGUACUUUUUAUUUUUAUUUUUUGACAAAACUGAAUUAUUAAUUUAAUUAAGAAACAAAGUAUAGGCCGUUUGAUGAAAAUAAAAUCAACGCUGAAAUUCAAAUGUGCCAGAUAUUAUCACAGAAAUAUCCUACUCUCAAGAAAAUAAAAUAUCUGAAAACAACAAAUUUACGUAUUAAUGGAUGCAUCAAAUCAUUAUAGUAAGAGAAAGAUAGGUCAACAAGCGGAUCAGAUCGAAUAUAAAUAGAUUAAAUAAAAAUAAAUAAAAUAUUUAAUUCAUUCAUAGUUAAUAUAAAUAAUAUAUUAUUUAUGGCUUUAGAAAUAAUUAAGUGAGGCAUAAACUAAAAAUGGUUACAAAUUCAUUUAAUUGUGGAUGUUUUUUUUUAUCAACAAUCUACUAACACAUUUGGUUUAAGAUUGUUAACGGAUGAUUUGUACAUCCUAUAAAAGAAAAAUAUUUACACUUGUGAAAGACACACUUGAAGAGAUUAAAUAAGAUUCUCUUCUUUAUACUUUCCAUUACUAUUUGUCUUCCUUUCUUCUUUGAUAUUCUUGUAUUUUCCACUCAUUUUACAACAAAAAUUAAAAUAAGCUUAGAUUGUUAAAAAACAAAAAAGAACAAAAAAAAAUUGCAAGCAUACAAAUAGGUAUCGAUAAUCCAAUAUUCAUAUUACUCACCUGAAAUCUAUUUUUCUAGUGGAUAAUAUGAUUCUAUAUUUGUAUUUUUUUUUAUAAAAAAAGUAGAUCAUUCUAUCCAUAUCCAUCGAGUCACGAUUACUAUUUCUCUUUUUCCCUUCCGUUUUAAGUAUAUACUUUCUUUUUUAAGGGCUUGCAGUUUAUUACAUCAAAGGCUUUUUGUGAACCAUUGAAACUAUCGAGAGAGUAUCAAAUGUUGACGGUGACGAAGGUUGCCGACUUUCGGUGGACGUCGAAAUCAACGAGUUUGGUCGAACAAUAUAACGAGUCUAAGGUUACAGAAGUGUUCACCAACUUUGGUAGGCAUAGCAUUGCAAACAAAUAGAGCAGAUAGCUUACCCUUAAUUUCUCUCUAUUAGAGUCGCGAGCUUUCUGUAGUCGUCCUAAGGGGAUAACCUUGUUGCUUACUUGCUAUUUCCUUGCGUCCUUGCACGGCUCGGCUCAUUCUUCGAGCCCUGCUUCUCCCUUCCCCCUCUCUCCAUUCCUACCGUCCAAAACAUGCCUAUGGAGUAUAGCCAAGUGUUAAGGCAUCGAUUUUUGGUACCGGUAUGCAAAUGUUCAAAUUUUAUCUUACUUUUUUAAGUUUAUUUUUAAAAAAAUGUCAAUUUCUUUUUAUGGUGUAUAACUAUUUAAUUUCAUCUUUACACAUUAUAAUAUUUCAAAAAUUAUUUUCAAUUUUUUUAACUCACUAUUAAAUCUAAAUAGAACAAAUAGAUUCAGACAGAGAGAGUAACUCACUUCUUGUUAAAUUUAAAUAGGAUAAAAUAGAUUCAAACGAAGAGAAAGUAACUUACUGAUCAUUGUUAAAUAUAAAUAGGAAAAAUAAAUCCAGACAUAAAGAGUAACUACUUUUACCAUCCUAAUCACCAGUGAAGGUCAAGUUGACAUCAGAAAGCCAAAAUAAAAAUAAAAAAUGUGUGAAAUGUGUAACAAAGAAAGUUGGGGAUGGAGAAAAUGAAAACAAAAAAGAAGAGGUGAUGGAGAGUGGGGCACAUAGUUAUCAAUUUGUUUGUGAAAUAAUUGAUUAAUAAGAGUGGUAGUAGUUGAAAAUUAAAAUCAUGUGAUAUCAUGGUGCCUAUAUUUUUAGAUUUGAUAAGAGUAGAAAUCAAAAUUAUUGGAGUGGGGGGGACCUGUAGUAUAAUUAUAUGUUCCCAUUAUAAUAAAACUAAACAUAACGUAUGACGAGGGAGAACCACAAGGAGUGGAUAUAUUUGACCCAUUGAAAUUAAUUAUUUGUCCUAUAUAUUCAUGUGAGAUGAUCAAUCAUAUAAAUCCUAGGAUAAAUUUAGAUGUUGAUCAAUAGUCAUCCUACUAUGUAAAACAGUAUUUGAAAUUUUUUAUCUGAGUUUAUUUUUGGAUGGAAUAUUUAUAUAUAGAUUGUCAUGAGGCUCACAUGUCAAUCGUUAUCGUGUGAGGUUUUUGUUUUAAGUGUUUGAUUUUAUAUAUUUUUAUUUUAAUAGGCAUCAAGGGCUCAAGUCCAUCUAGCUGGUUCUUUUUCUUCUUCUUUUUUCCACCCAAAAAUGCGAUAUAUUAAUUCAUUAUAGACAUAUAAUCAGGGCCGUCUUAACCCCUAGAUCAUUAAAGUCAUCGCUUGGGACCCCAUAUUUUUUGGGGCCCCCAUUUUAAUUUUAAUUUUUACUAAUAUAUGUUUUUUUUUAAAAAAAAAUAUAUCUAUGAGUGCUAUGAUUUCUACUAAGGAAAUUGCACAUGAGAUUAACAUCGAACCUGAAUUUCGUAAGAAGCAAUUUGAUGAAAAUAUUGCUAACAAAAUCACAAAGUCAUAUAUAUAUAUAUAUAUGCUCACGUAAUAGAUCAAGCUAUUUUUCACUUCAAAAUAGAUUUGAACCAAUUGAAGCAUAUGAAAAUAUUUUGAUUUCUUAUUUAGUGGUAAAAAUAUUGAGAUCACUAGAUGAUGAGAACUUAAAAAAUAUUAUCUUAACCUUGAACUUUCUUUAACAUAGUUAUUUUGAUAUUGAUAGUUUAAAUUUAUUUUAUGAAUUAAAUGUGUUCAGAGAAAUAAUACAAGUAAAAGAUAAUGAUCUAAUGAAAACACUCAAUCAAAUGAAAAAGUGUUGUAUUUUUUUCCAAAUAACAUAAUGCUUAUAGAAUAAUGUUAUAUGUUCCUGUAACCGUUGCCUUAGCCGAAAGUAGUUUUUCGAAACUAAAAUUGAUUAAAUCUUAUUUAAGAUCAACAGUGUCUCAAGAGAGAUUGAAUGAAUUAGCUAUAUUAUUAAUUGAAAAGAAAUUAUUAAAACAAAUCGAUUAUAAAACAGUAACUAAUAACUUCGCAUCUAAAAAAACUAGAAGAGUAGAUUUUAAAUAAAAAUAUAUAUGAUGAAAAAAAAUAGGGAAAAUUAGCAAUUAAGUCACAAUACCUAACAUAAUUAGUCAAAAUAACAAUACAUUAAAAUAUUUAUUUAAAAUGUCAGAAUGACAAUAUUUUAGAAAAUAAUAUGUAUUCAAAUUUUAGUAUUUAAAAUUAAUUUUAUUUAUGAAAACAGUCCUAUAUUGGACCAAAUUCUAAAUCAAUAACCGUUUUUAAAAAAAAUAAUUAAACCAAUACCCAUUANNNNNNNNNNNNNNNNNNNNNNNNNNNNNNNNNNNNNNNNNNNNNNNNNNNNNNNNNNNNNNNNNNNNNNNNNNNNNNNNNNNNNNNNNNNNNNNNNNNNNNNNNNNNNNNNNNNNNNNNNNNNNNNNNNNNNNNNNNNNNNNNNNNNNNNNNNNNNNNNNNNNNNNNNNNNNNNNNNNNNNNNNNNNNNNNNNNNNNNNNNNNNNNNNNNNNNNNNNNNNNNNNNNNNNNNNNNNNNNNNNNNNNNNNNNNNNNNNNNNNUUUUUUUUUUGCGUAAUUGAACUAUAAUGCCAAAAUAUUUGUAUUCAUUAUUAAUCUAUACCAACAGUUUUUGUAUUUUAAAUUGUACAUAUUCUAAGUAGUUCAAACAAGUUAAUUUCCAAAACAGAGGGCAUUAGAAAUUGAAAAACAAUUCCACUCUAUAAGAUAUCAAUUACAAGCACAACUAACUAAACAAUAAAUACAACUUAUUAUAUGUAUUAUGUAUUCACCAAAAUUGUAUUUUCAAUAACAACUUAAUUUACAAUUAAUUUGUAUUUAUAUAUUAUAUAGAUUUCAAAGUUGUAUUUUGUGUGUGUAAUUGAACUAUAAUGUCAAAAGAGUUGUAUUCAUUAUUAAUCUGUACCAACGUUUUUUUAUAUAUGAUUAUGUAAACCUUAGUUUAUGUCGAACUAUCGUGAAUUCCGUUGAACUGUAUACUUUGUAGUAGUGAAUUUUCUAAACCUUAGUUUCAAACAUAUGUCGAAUACAAAGCGAAGAAGAUUGGAUGAGAUCAGUGUAAUGAUUCGUAAGGAAAAAUAUUGUUUUCAAAAACUGGAAUUUUUAAGCAACAGUGGAAAAAAAACGUUCGGCCAAAUAGUGGCGACAUAUGCUCCUUCAAUAUGUAACUGAUUUUAAAUUUAAAUUGUUUUUAAUUUUUCUUAAAUAUUCUGUCUCAUGAUUUUCUAUUGUUUAAUAUUUGUAUUCUUUCAUAUUAAUCAAAAUAAAUUUUUUUACAUAAAUCAAAACUUAACAAACUAAAAUAUUGACAUUUUAAAUAAAUAGUGAAACUAUUGCUAAGGGGUCCCAUAAGAAGCUAAAAUAUUGCUAUUUUGAAAAAUUUCCCAAAAAAAUAUUAGGGCCUCUUUCUAUAAUUUCGCUUUAGGCCCCCAAUCUUGUUGAGUCGGCCCUGCAUAUAAUAUGUCCAAAAAGGAUCGUUUACAAUCCAGCUGGUUCUUUUAGUAAUUGCAACAUUUGACAUUUGGGUCACUGGACCACAAAUGACUUUAAACUCUCUCCAAAAUUAACCCAACUGUACAUAUUCCCUGGAAAAUAUCACACCCAAGGGCCACUGGGGGCUUACAAAAAUAGUAUUCCCUUCGUCUUAAUUUAAAUGUCUUAUUUUAAUUGAGCACGAAAUUUAAAAAAUAAAGAAUAGUUUUUAGAUUUAGUGAUCUUAAAUUAAAAAUAUACAAUUGUACAUAAUCUUUUCAAUCUCAUGGUUUUAAACUGAGAGAGUAACAUUUCCCCAAACCAUGACAAAGGGGAAAAAAGUGAAGAUAAUGAUAAUAAGAUUAAGGUAAUAGUAUUAUAAUCUCAUGUUAGAAUUUCAUACAAGUUAAGUUUUUCUCAAUCAGAAGCGCUAAAACACUUAUUGGAAUUUCAUUCGUGGGGAGUUCACUUCUCGAGCACUAGUAUAAUGUGAUAAAUUUCACUUGUAACAACAACACACUCUGCUUUUGAGUUUUUUUUUUUUGUAUUUUAGUUAUUUUUGUCUAAAUAUAUAUUUCUCACUAAAGAGUGGUUAAAUGUUGUUUAGUUUUGAGAUAGUGGCUAAUUUUUUUUAAAACAUUUAUACGUAAAUAAAUAAUUUAUUUUACCAUAUUUUCUAAAAUUCUCUACCAUUUGAAAAAAUUACAAAAAUCCCUAUUCUCGGAUACAUCAUUUUACGUGAUAUAUUGAUCGGAUACAUUACUUUACGCAAUGUAUCGGGACAUAUGCAAUGUAUCAGGACGUUGAGUGAUGUAUCCAAAACCAAGACGCAAUGUAUCGGGACGUUUUGGGAUGUAUUCGGAUUCCACCAAAUUUAAGAGUUUUUUGUAAAUUAGAAAAGAGUAAGAAUAAGAUGUAAUUAGCUCUUAAUACUAUGAAAUUUGUGUAAUUAAAUUCCUUUUUAAUCAACGGUGUAAAAGUGGGUAUUUGAACAUUUCUUUCGACCCAGUUAGGCCCAGUUGAUGAUCCAGUUAAAUUGGGCUCUAUUCCAUCUGAGAAGAAGUAGGUUCGGCCCACUUUAAGUUGGGACUUAGGCCCAUUAUACGGAGGCUUCCUCCACAUUUCAAACCUACAUUUUACCGAUUGUAUCAAAAUGCAUUUUUAUAAGGAAAAAUUAUGCAGUACGGCAAACAUCUUCUACGUAAUUAGUAAAAUCCAAACUGAUCAAAGAUAUCGAAAAUAUCCAAAGAAGCAUGUAACAAAGCUCUUUUCCUUUCUCAUUGAAGUAUGUAACGAGGAAUCGAAAGAAUAAGACCCAAUUCAACUAUGUGAAUAAAUCAAAUCAUUUCUUUCGUUAGUUUAUCGAUUGUAACUGACUAUCAUGUCCAACGAGAGACUUUUUUUAUAAUAAAAAUGUUUUAAGAUGCAUAUAAUAUCUCCUUUAUUAGCCUUCUCAUUUUUAUUUCUCGAAUAAAAAGAAUCAUGAAUAUUCAUGUUCAUAUAUAAUAAAAUUUACAAAGGUUUUAAAGACAUAGUAUCUAGAGAUCUCUUCAAAAUUGAUCUCCACUUCAUUUUUUGAUUGAUUAAGUUCAUAAUUACUUUACUAUUUAUAAUUAAACAUUUUAUUUUUUUUGCCAGCCGAAAUGAAAUAAACAUACGAGUGAUGAUUGAUCGGGAGAAUUCGACUAACCAUAUUGAAAAGAAGAGAGAGAAAUAUGAUAUUGUUUAUUAAAACUAUUUUGUAGUUGUAAUUUUUUCUUAUUCAGUUCGAUAUCCGCAUUGAAGUUUGAUUAAUUCAAAUUCAUACUGCGUAAAGCCCUAUUCAAGGAGAAAUACUUCUAACCAAAAAAAAAUUCAUAUCAAGACUUAAAUCUAAACCCUUAACUACUAGACUAAAUCUUUAACUUGUGUCAAGAAAUAUCAAUACUCGUAUAUAUAUAUAUAUAUAUAUAUAUAUAUAUUUAAUUAGUGACUUCUCUAUCAUUAAACUAAGCCUUUUAAAAUUGAUUGUAACUGCACUCCGAAAUAAACUAAACGUUAACAAAGAAACCAAACAUAAUCUGAACAUAAUUUAACAAAACUAAUUUUACAUCCCUAAUAUUACUUCCCGAAUCUGUUCCAAUUGUCAAACCAACUCCUGCGGCCGAGUCGGUUUAUUUAGUCUACUUUGGGCGUAAUUUUAUUCCGCAAAAUCCACGUGUCCAGAAAUUAAAUAAAACCAUCGUUGUCGAGGAUUUUUUUUUUUUGUAAUCCGAAAAAUUAAGAAGGUCCCAGUUUAUGUACGCAAAUUCUAAAUCAUAAUAAUCCGAUACAAGUUUCGUUUCAGUUUGAAAGAGAUAGUCCACUUCCCAUUUAAGCCAUCAACUUUAUUUAAUUUGUCAAAAUUCCGAUACUGUACUUAUGUUCUCCAAGUUUUUGAGUUCCUUACAAUUGAAGUAAUCAUCCCAAGAUUCAAUUUUUUCUGCUACAAUCGAUCUCCGCAGGUUCCUUAAUCUAAUAUCACGCUUUCAAUCCAUUCUUUAAUCACCCUAAUUGAUUUAUUCUGUCUCUUAAAUUAUUGGAUUAUAGUACUGUUUUUUUAAUCUGUUAGAUGGUGACCAUGUUCAGGUUAAUUUCCGUUACUUAUUAGUAGUUGAUUUUUGAGGAUGGUUACGGUUAAUGAUAAGGAAAAAUGAAAUCUUUAUUGGAAGAAAAGUUUGUUGAUGAAGUAAAAGAGAUUGUUUUCUUAAUAUCUAGGGUUUUACUUUUUCCAAACAAGAGGUUUUGCCAUUUCUUAGAGAAAAAAAUGUUCUUUUACGUCUCUUGUGUUACUUUAUUUAGUGAACACAUCAUUAGAAACUUACAUUGUGGUGCAUUGGUACUAUGUCUUGAUGUUUUGUUGUCAUUUUAAGAAACAGUCUAUCUACCUCGCAAAGGUGUAGGGGUAAGGUCUGCGUACAUCUCACUAUCAUCGGACUCCCACUUGUGGGAUUACACUGGGUUGUUGUUGUUGGUUCUAUGUCAUUCUGCAAAGAUGAGAUUUUGUUUUUGUUAUAAAGAGAUGUAUUGAAUUCUAAUGAACUUUGUCUGUAUUUGCUAUUAAAAACCAGGUUUCGGAAACUGAUGGCGACGGCAACUAUCGCCACUGCAGCAGGUGCUGCUGCGCUAUUGUAUUAUACGUUAAAUAAGAAGUUGCAAUCUUCUCCAACAACGGAUGACGAUGACGAUGAAUGUGGCAGUAGUGGCCAAGAUCAUGCUCUACUAGGAGUUAAUAGGGUUUCCAAUAGACUUAUACAGGCCCCUGCUACAUGGUUGGAGACAAUUGCAACAUUGUCCGAGACUCUUAGGUUUACUUACUCGGAGACCCUGGGCAAGUGGCCUAUUGGGGAUUUGGCUUUUGGCAUCAGUUUUCUUUUGAAGCAGCAGGUAAUCAUGAAUCAGUUAUUUAGUUUGUUCCCAGUAAAGGCAUUGGGUUGAUGUGGAAGUGCUUUAUGCAAUCAUAUGUUUAAGUAAAUAUGCAAAUAAUUGCACUAUGUUGCCUCUAUGUUGGAAAGGGGUAUAUAACAUGAAUGCAGUAUGCAAAUAAUUGCACCAUGGAAUAAAAUAAGGGGAAGAAGAUGUUAGAUCAAGUAGCAGUUUGUAAACGUCCAAUAUAGAACACCUGUAAAAAAAAUUUGUUCCUGUUUCCAAUAGAUUUUCACAUUCCUUUCUUUCUACCCAGACAGGCAUUUAUCAACAAUAUCUAGCCAGAUGAUUUUGGAUCUUGUUGGUUGCUUUUCUGAGACUGAACUCAGGGUUCUAUCCUGUUUUUUUUCAUUUCAUUUUCUUUUUAAUUAUUAUAUAUUAAUGCUUUAUUGAUUCUUUACUUAUUUAUUUCUUUUUAUUCAUAAUAACUAGUUCCUAGUUCCUCCAAUUUCAGUUCUUGUUACAUCAACCUUUAUCUUUAAAACAACAGUCGUGUAAGCUUGGUAGACUGUGACCAUCAUACAACUAAAUACUGUAGGCUCAAGGAGAAAAAGUGCCUCGAGAGGGCUCCCUCCUUUUGAUUGUUACUUCUAUGCUUUUUGCAAUAGAUUUUUUUACUGCAGCUAUUAGUUUCUCCAGGAAGGUGUCAUUUUAACUUAAUUGCCCAACAGUGAACUAUCAAAACUUAUAUUGGUCUUAUGUUGUUUUCAAUUAUGUCGUGUUAGUAUCCACCUUGAUUUUGACUUAGGACUAACUUACCGAGCUUGGUCACUAAGUAGGUUCAUGUAAUGUCUGCAGGGAAACAUACAUGUUAGUAGCAUAUUCUGUGUCGAAGACAGUGCCCAGUUAAAAGGUUCUGAUAUUGCUGCAGAGCUUAAAUGCCUCUUGCACUUGUUGACAGUUUGUUGGCAUUUCUCCAAAAAACCUUUCCCAUUAUUCUUGGAGGAGACAGGCUAUUCCCAAGAAAGUGUACUACUACAAGAACCCAAAGCUGGAGUAAGUCGCGUCCGAAAUUCUCAAGCUCCAACUUAAAAUAUAUAUUCCUUUCUUCUAAAUGCACAAAUUUUAUUAUGCAGAUUCUGAAGCCAGCUUUUACAAUAAUCGCAGAUCACCGAUCAAGAUCUUUCCUCCUUGUAAUACGUGGAACUCAUAGUAUUAAAGAUACUUUGACAGCUGCUACUGGUGCAGUUGUGCCUUUCCAUCACACUAUGGUACAUGAGGGAGGAGUUAGCAAUUUGGUGUUAGGCUAUGCACAUUGUGGAAUGGUGGCGGCUGCUCGAUGGAUUGCAAAACUUGCAACGCCUUGUCUUCUUAAAGCUCUUAGCAUUUAUCCUGAAUACAAACUUAAGGUGCUUGAUAUUUAAGUCUCAUUUCUCCUCCUUUCAUGGUUGCUUCCUUUUUCUGUUUUUAUCUUGGGGUUGGAGGUUUCUCUCUGGUUUUUUUUAAUUGAAAAUAUUAAUCAUAUCGGGUGGAUCUUUUCCAUUGCAACCUGGUAUAUUUUUCAUGUGACUAAUUCUCUAUUUUCUUGAUUCCCCAGUAAUUUGUUUUUAUUCUUUUUUGGACUUUGUUGCUCUUUAUCCUUCUCUUUCUCUUGGCAUGCAUCUGCAUCUCUAUUGAUUUUAUUUGGGGUGUGAGUUGCAUGGAGGGUAGGUCUGCUAUUCCUUUCCAAUUAGUGUGUAUAUACCUUAUUUUAUUAGGGGCUUUCUUGCAAAUGCCUUCAUGGUGUUUUUUGGCUAAUUACCUUGUAAAAUUGAUCUUCUUUUGGCGCACAGAUUGUGGGACACUCCUUGGGUGGAGGAACUGCAGCUAUUUUAACUUAUGUACUUCGUGAGCAGAAGGAACUGUCAACAGCUACCUGUGUAGCAUUUGCUCCAGGUGUCAUAUAUAAUUUUUGUUAACUUAUGCAUACAAUCUGGAAUGUUCUAAUUUGACUCUAGUCAUCUGCCUACGAUUGUAUGCAUGUGCUUAAAUAUAUAUAUCCACAUUCUACCAUUUUGUUCACUUGUCAUCAGUCGUUCUCACUUAGCGAAAUAUCCUUUGCAGCUGCCUGUAUGACAUGGGAAUUAGCUGAAUCGGGGUGUGAAUUUAUUACCUCAGUAAUCAAUGGAGCUGAUUUGGUCCCUACAUUUUCAGCUGCUUCAGUGGACGAUUUGCGUUCUGAGGUUAACUUCUGGAUCUACUUAACAGAAUUUCUGUGGUUGCUUUAUGUGCAAAUUGGUGCUUUCCGUUGGUGUCUUUUCCUUCUUUGGUAGGUUACUAGCAUAUUUGGUUUUGUUGCUGGACUAGCAACCUGUUUCCUUGGUUGGUGGACUAGUAUGUUUUGUCCUGAUGUUGGACGUAUCUUGCACUUCAAACUUUUGGUUGUCAUGUUUGGGUGAAUAUGAAUUUGAAUACUAGUCACAGUUCUUUUUCCAGUUAUUCUUCUUUCAAUGGAAUCAAUUGUCUGAACUAUGCAGCCGGAGAACCUUUUAUGGUAUACCUUGGACAAGGACUCUCUCCCAAUGUAUACAUCAUAGAGAUACAAGAGUUAGCAAAUAUCACUCUAAUACUACAUCCUCUAGCCAGAUGAUGUUGGUCUUAUCUUCUAAUCCAUCCUAUUCUUGCUAGCCGACCUUAAUUAGUUCAGGGUUGAUGCAUUGUUAUUCAUUGAUUAAUUGAUGUGUUUGUCUUAUAUUUGCGUUUUGGUGUAAGAUCCAUUUAGAUUAGUGUCUGCUGUUGCUUUCUAAACUUCUAGAGGAUUCAGUUUUUGGCCAAAAACUCGUCUAUUCCACCUUUGGAGAAAUUGAGUUAAUUCUCUUUGGUAUAUAUUGGUAUAGUUUGCAUUGGUGAUCUUGAUUGUCAAAUUUACACACCACUGAUGGUUCAGAGUAAAGGGUUCUGAUUAUGAUCCCUUGUGUUGCUACUAUGUGCGUAGUUUUCUUAAUAGCGUCUGGAAGCUUGUUCUUUUUACCAACAUUGCACCUCUGCUUCUAACACCUCAUUAGUUUUAAGGUAUGGUCUCUCAAGAGGGGAUUGUUCUUUUCAUGUUGCAGGUGACAACAUCUGCUUGGUUGAACGAUCUAAGAAAUCAGAUUGAGCAUACUAGGAUUCUUAGUACUGUUUAUCGUUCUGCAUCAGCCCUGGGGUCUCGUCUUCCAUCUAUCGCCACUGCUAAAGCUAAGGUUGCAGGUGCUGGUGCAAUACUGCGGCCUGUUUCCAGUGGUACACAGGUGUGACAAUAGUUUACUCUGUUAUUUCAGUUCUCCCUUACAUUGUGAAGUAAUGUAGCUGUAAUAUAGUUUGGUUAUGAGUGAACUUGUCUGACGAUUUGGUUGACCAAUAAUCAAGAGAACCUGUUUAAUAGUCAGUUCACUUAAGGUGAUGUCUGUAAUAUGUAGGAUGGGACAAUAGGGUGGUGCUGUAGAGUUUCUUGCUCUGUUUAUUUUGUAUCUUGUACUCUGUUGGAGUCAUUUGACCAUAUUUAUCAGUCGUCGAGGUGAAUUGGUGAUUGACAUUGGCAGUGAUCCGUAGGUUGUCAUGAAGAGAGCGCAAAGUAUGGCCCAGGCAGCAUUGUCACGACCUGCCAUGCAACUGUCAUCAUGGUCAUGCAUGGGUCCAAGACGUCGAUCCACAGCUAUUCAGGUUAAUUCUGAAGAACGGCAAAUCUCCUGUGGAACUUCUUCCGGCGAAAAUUCUGAAACAUUCAUUGUGGAAUCCGAGGAGACAAGAAGUUCGACUGUGAUGGAACUUCCUGUAUCUUCAACCGAGGGAGUCACGUGGAACUCGGAAAUUGAUCAAUCUUUUGCAGAUGGGAUUAAUAUCCAUAAUAGCCUGGAUCCCGAUCUUGAUGAUAGUGAACAUGGACCUGAAGACCGAAUGACAGAAGUUGAGAUGUGGCAACAACUAGAGCAUGAACUGUAUGAUCAGUCUGAAGGGGAAACUGAUGUCGCGAAGGAGAUUAGGGAAGAAGAAGCAGCAGCCAUUGCAGAGUCAGGUCAGAGCUCAAGUGAAAGCUCUGUUCCAAACACAAAGGAGGUGCACAGAUUCUUUCCUCCUGGAAAGAUAAUGCAUAUAGUUACUCUCCUCUCUGAGGAAGUCGAUCAUGAAAGUGACAGCGAUACAUUGAGUGAGGACCAUAACCAACCCAAGGAUACAAAGGUUGGUAUCUUUCUCACUCCGAGAUCAUUGUACAGUAAAAUAAGGCUGUCACAAACUAUGAUCAGUGAUCAUUUCAUGCCGGUUUAUAGAAGGCAGAUAGAGAAACUAAUUAGGGAUCUUGAGAACAACGAUGCUUGUGACAAAUCAAUGGAAUCUGAGGUUCAGUGUCAGUGAUGGGAUAUUGGUUUCGUAUGGCAUGAAAGAAAAAACUCGAAACCAGGCCCUUGUCGCUUGUAUCGUAGCAUUUUUUUUUCCUUUCAAUUUUCAUGAUUGUAGAGCUCGGGGUCAAUGGUUGCAGCCUAGUCAGGGGUUGCUUACUGAUGAGUUUCUCUUUAGCUAAACCUUGACACAGCCUUAAAGGUGUUUAGAUUGAUGUAUAUAUCUUGGAAGAGUUUUUAUUCUUUAAUAGAACAUUUUGUUAGCAUAAGAUUUAAAUAUUAGAUACAGGAGGCAAGAUGUUUAAAUCAGCCAAAAGUUUCGUUACCCUCCGUUUAUUUUUUACUUGUGACACAUUUCUUUAAAAGUACUAAUAAAUAAAAUGACAGUUUUACUUUAUCAUUCACUGAAUGUAAUAAAUUCAAUGUUCUGAAAAAUGGAUAGUAUACAUGGAGUAAUAAGGAUAAAAUAGUAAAUUAUUUUAAAUUAGAUAAAUAAAAGUGAACAUCUAUUUUUAAUAUAAUGGACAAGUAAAAAGAACACUUUUACUUGGAUUGUGAUCAAGUGGUGAUUGACUUAAGAGCAACGUGCAAUCAUCUUUAGCAAUUAUUGGUGUGAAUUUUCCAUUAAGCAACGUUUAUAAUUGUAACAAUGUGAACCCCACUGCUUCAUUAAUUGUGAUUUAAAGCAUCUCAAAUCUCCCUUGUUAUUGAGUGCAAUACUUGGUCAAAAUGUCACCACUGCUCGAACGUUGUGGGUCGUAGAAAUAGUGAAUUAUUUGUCAUUUUUCAACCAUGUCUUUUUUUAAUGUCACUGUUUCAGAAUUUUAUUCGUGAAUUUUGAAACUUCAAGAUAUUGACUAUUUUUGAAUUAUGAGAACUAAAAAAUAAUUGUUUGUGAAAUUUAACCUCAUUGUAUAUAAAAAGUAUUUCAAUAAGAGAAUAUUAUAUCAUGUGGUUUAGAUCUGACAUAAUUCGCAACUUGCGUGAGAAAGGUAUAUACCUCACAUCUUAUCUUAUGGAUAUAUAUGGAAGGAUUUAAGUUACAUAUGAAUUAUGAUAGGUUGUAGGUAUUUUUUUCCUUACAUUAAAUCAUAUAGAAUGGUAAUAUAAUCAUCUAGAAACAAAUUGCAUUUGCGCAACUCAUUUGCUUAUAGAAAUAAUAUUUUGUUUUAAAUUAAGUGACAAUUUCAACUGCAAAUUGAGGCAAAACAUCUCCUUUUUAUUUUUAUUUUUAUAUAUAUCUUUUCUUUUUCUGAAAUAUUAAUAAGAACAUGGCAAUAGUGCACAAAAAAGUGUGAAUUAGUAUGUCUGUGUUUUCAUGUCAAUCAUUAAUUUCUUGUCCUAUAAAAGACAUGUGAGUGAAGGUUGAAUUGAAUCAUAGAAGAAAUAACUCAUGAGAUAUUUCUGGAAGGUACACUAAUAAAUACUCCAUGUGUGGGUCAUUUUUAUUGACUAAUUUGUUAUCCCAAUUAGUCCCCCACAUCUUCCUAGUCUAUUUGUUUGUUCUUGACAUUUUUAAUUCUUCCUUUUUUAAGUAAGCAAACUCCUGACAUGAGAAAUCAUAAUAGCUCAGUUAAUUGAUUAUCUGAACUUUAGUUUUGAUAGUGAGAAUUUGAUUCCCCACAUUAUAAUCCUUUCUUAUACGGCGGCCUACCCCCGAUUAUUUAAAAAAAAAAAAAACUUCUAUUAUAAUUUAAGAUGAACUAUAUAAAUGAAAAUUGUUAAGUUAUUCUUCGAGAUAAGAGUAUUGUCUAUGGUUGAGUUAAGAACAUAUAUUAAACUUGGCAUUUCGUUUAUUUAACUUGUAUACGUUAUAAGGAUAAUCUAAUUUAACGUAAUUACUAAGUAAUUAGUUUAUCCUUGGCCUAACUAUUAACAAUGAAACGGAAUAGCUGGAUAUUGGCCAUUUUUUUGAAUUUAUCAAUCGAUUUGUUUGAUUAAUUAAAUUAUUAAGUAGUUUCAUUAGGUAGAGUGUGAUCAUAUAAAUGAAAAUGACAAAGCAUGUGAAGGAGAACCACAUAAAAGAAUAGGGUCUAUUAAUAAUUAAUGAAUCAUGAAUAUGAUAUAUAGGGUCAAUAAAUUAAAAGAAUGGACAUAUGUUAAAUCUUUACUCAAUAUAUUGCAAUUUAGAAGUUUCUGGAUGAAUUUAAAGAAAUGAUAUAUAUAGAGAGCCUCAGUAGUUAGUUACCACGUGUCUCCUACCAGUUCCAAUAUUAUGUUCCUUAAUUUUGGCUAAGAGUAUAUAUAUUAGCUCACCUCAUCAAAACAACUUUGAUGGACUCUAAUGACUAAAGAUAACGACAUUCUUAAACAAAAGAAAUAAUGUCUUCAUUUUAUGAUUAUAUAUAUAGGUAGAUACAAAUUUCAAAAGAAAGAAAGAUUACAUACAACUAGUUUUCCUAAAAGUUAUAGUUUUUAACUUGUUAUAACGUGUAUAUAUCAGGACGGAGAUAGGAUAUUAUAAAAAAUUCAUUUAAAUUUUAUUUGUUGAAAAUCUACAUGGUAUAUAUAACGUUAAAUUACUUUUAAUUUUAUGUAUAUAGAAAAUGUUGAAUCUUCUUAGUUUUUUUCUAGAUUUAUUUUCGUUAUAUUGUAAAAAAAUUUAAUAAAAAUUCUAAAUCCAAUAUUAUGUAUAUAUUGUAUAAGAUUGAAUGGUCACGAAGUUAAAGCGCAUAUUCCGCAUUUUAUGCGCUAUUUUUAAAAAAAAAAGUUUCUCUAUGAUCGUAUGAGGUCACUCUUGACAACCUUGACAUGCUUUGCAUAUGAUUUUAAAAUGAAUAAAAACUAUAGUGUUCAUCAAGUAAUUAGAUAUUAGAAAAUUGCACACUUGAAACAUUAAAUAUGUAUAAAAUAGUAGUGCAUCAACCAAACAGUCUCAUUCUCAUUCAUGCUUACGAAGAGUUUAUAGUUUUUGAGGUAUUAAGUUUCUAAUUUUGGAUUAAACUUUGAAAGAAUAAGUAUCAAAACAAGAAUAAAACCUAUGACUAGUCUUAAACUAAAUAUAAAGAAUAUGUCAUAAGAUAUGCAGAGGCAACUUUUGAUUAGAAAAGGUUUCUUCUCAUCUUUUAACAAAAAAAAUAAACUAAUUCCCACUUGGCAUAAGCAAAAUACAUAUAUGUAACUAAUUUGAAGCGUGGAUGACAUAAUAAUAAAUAUGGAUGCCCAAUAUUAGUUAAGCGACCAAAUAUUAGAUCAAUCAAACUUAGAGACCGCAUAAAGAGAGUUUAACUCUAUAAUAAUUCACCUCCUCAAUCAAUUUGAAAAAUUUAAAACAUACUUCUUUUUUAGUGAUGGAUUAAUUUAUCCACUUAUUGACAAAAGUCAUGAGUUCACUACUACUUCUAUAUUAUUAAAUUAGUAGUAUCUCGUUUGUUUUUUCGUUUUUCUAUAUUGGUAAAAACAAAACACUCAAUUAUGUGUAUAAAAGAAAAAUUGGUGUCAAGGAAUGCAGUCACUGAUCGACAAGAAAAGAAAAAUCAGAUCCCAUGUUAGCUAUAUUUGUCCUCAUCUAAUAAUUGGAAGAAGAAGCCUAUGGAUUCAGACACUUUAUGUUCUUUAAUUUAUAACUUCUAUAUUUAGCUAGUUGUUUCUUUUAUAUCAUUUGUAAUAUGAUCCAAUAUAUAUAAGUUGUAAGUUGAGCCUUGAAACACAAGACAUUUGAAGUGAAAAUUAACUAACUAGGAGAACAUAUAUAUAGGUAUAGGCCCUCUUGAUACAUUUUUAUGAAUAGUUGCAUAAAAAUAUUUGAUUUGUAUGCAUGAUGGACAUAUAUCUAUUUUUCUAUCAAAUGAAAUUGACAAAAGAAGCGUGAAACAUGAAAAAGGGGAGUAAUUAAUAUGUCCUAGUCUAAACACAUAGCCAUGUGAAUUGAUGCAUAAAAUGUCUUAUUAGAGCAUUCCCUUUCAUUUACCUUUGGGUAUGACCUACUUAAACAUUAAAGAUGAUUAAAGAUGAGAGGAUGCUUUCAAAUUUAUUAGUACGUUUUUUCUUGUUUUCUUUUAUUUAUUUAUUUUGAUUAAUUAUGAUAUGGUAUUUAAUUAAUUAAUAGAUUUAUUAAUCUAACUAAUCUAGUUUUGCGACGUAGAAAGUUUACUAUGGGAGUUUUAGCACUUUCUACUAAAUGUGACUCUAUUUCUAAUGAUUGAAUUCCAGACUUCUAGUUUAAAAUAAAGAAUUUUAUACAUUUAAAUUGUAUAUCGAUCCUUGCCGAAGAAACCUCUUACUCUUUGGAUUUUAUUUAUUUUUUGACUCUAUAUAUGUGAUCACCUAAUAUCUUUGAGGGUUAACUAAACUCUAGUUAGAUCAUAGAGCAAAUGUUUAUUUCUACGACAAUUAUAAAUUCAUUGUAAUCACACAAGUAACUAUGAUGAGGUAUAUAUGAUGUACACAUAGUCACAUACCUUACUCCUAUUUUUAUAGAAGACGGUUUAUUUUUAACGAGCUCUUGACAACUCUUUUUUUUUAUUCAGAGCUGAAAUCGACAAUGUAAACAAACUCACACACGCAAUGUUAAUUCUUUUCAAACUACACUAUAAUAUUUCUUUUCUGCCGCAUUGCUUCUAUAAUUUUAAAAGCAUUGACCAUCGUAGGCUUGUAGCUCAUAGUUCGACGUGUAGGUUUGGUGAGUUCCUUUUUUCCUAUUAUUUUGGCAACUCUUUUUUUCUUAUUAUUAUAUUAUUUUUAAGUGGGGGUCGUUUUCACAAUUAUUCCUCCCACACCCCCUUCAUUCAAACAAAUAAAUAAAAAAAAAAGAUAGAUGAAUUUGUUUGUUCACUUGGUCCAUGCACUACAAGUAAAGUAAAAAAUGAAAGAUAUAUGAAUGUGAGUCGUCUAAUGGUCAUUAUCAUUGAGGGUAUAUUAUAUUGUAUGUCACAUUCCCAAUUUUCUCUUGGCUUAUAAAAAUAACAAUAUUGCCUAAGUGGUCAACUUUUGUAGCGUAAAAUUCACUCUUUUUUCUAUCCAAUAAUUGACGACUCCAGCUGGACACACAGUCAUCCACCAUGAGUCGACGGCCAAUGGAGCUACCCUUUAUACUAUAACAAAAUACAAAAUAAUUUAUCGGAGCAAAAAAAGUCAUUUCUAUUAUUUUCUUCAUCUAAAUUUAAAUAGCUUACUCUUUUUUUUUCUUCAUCCGCUUCAAAGAAAAUAUCUUUUUCAAUAUUUUAAAUGGCUAAUUUAAGAUUACAUAAUUUAAAUAUUUUUAUGUUUUAAAUCUCGUGUCUAGUCAAAAUAAAAUACUUGAAUUGAGACGAAAAGAUUAUUCUUUUUCAUCUACCAGGUCAGACUAAAUUCUGAUUCCGUCGAGGAGUUGGCAUUAUUGGCGCAUGAUUUAGCGGCGGCCACCUAAUAAAUCAGCUUUCCGCUUCCAGCCUAGCACUAGCCUUGUUGGAAUAUAUUGUUCAAUCAAUGAGUUGAUUAUUGCCUCAUUUGAGAAAACUAUGCGUUCUUCGAAUUCUUUAAAAAUGAUGUUAGACGUGUGUUAAAUUUUUAAAAAUAAUGCAUUUUAAAAGAUUAGACAUAGAUAGUUAGAUAUAAUAAUAAUUUUGAAGAGUCCAAACAAUAUAACAGAAAAAUAAAAAGUAACAAAUUGCAAAGCAUACAAAAAUAAUACUCCCUCCGUCCCAUUUUAUGUGGCAACAUUUCCUUUUUGGUCAGUCCCAAAAAGAAUGUCACAUUUCCUUAUUUGGUAAGUAUUUAAAGGUACAAUUCCUCUUUUAUCCUUGUUGGUCCCACUUAAUCUUGAAAAGAGUACUCUAAUACAUUUAUUAGGAGAGAGAAAAAUAAGUCUAUUUUUUAAGGGCAAUUUGGUAAACAUUUCAAAGUCUUUAUCUAUUUCUUAAACUCCGUGCCCGGUCAAAUGUUGCCACAUAAAAUGGGACGGAGGGAGUAAUAAAUACAAAUCACAGAAAUAAGAUGUUUUGCUUUGCUUUCAAGUGUUAAAAUACUUACCAUCAAAGAUUGUGGACUUAUGAAGGUGAUAUUUAGGACUCGUUGGGCCAUAGAUUUCCCAAGUAAUAUUUAGGGGAAAAUUUGGCAAAUAGUGUUUGUCCAUACAAUUUGUCAUUAUUUGACAAAUAUCUCAAAUUUCCAAAUACUAGUUUUUUCUAGUAUUUGGGCCAAAUCUCAUUAUUUGGAAUCUUUUAAAAAUUAAAAUUUUACACCAAACUUUUAUCUUUUACAAAAACACCCUCUAUAGUAGUUGUUGUGUUGUAUUACAUAAUUUUUUACGUGAACACCAAAGUAGUGAUGAAAUAUUCAUUUAAUAUGAAAGUGAUGAUAUGGUUGUUGAUGAAAAUGAUGAACAAUCGGUUCAGGGUAACAAAGUCAUGUGCUUUGUCUACUUCACGAUAUAUGAAAUGAUGCUUGUUGCACUCACUCCAAACUACCACAUUGCUCUAGUGUCAUGGACACUACUUGUUAUUUGUUGCAACGAAGAUCCAAUUGACUUGUAAUACAAACUUAUGGUUAGUUUUGAUAGUUUUUAAAACUUAUGGGUAUAAAUUAUAUUUUUCUAAAAAAGUGAAAUAUGUUUCCCAAAUACUAUGGCUAAACACAUGGUGAAAUUUCACCCAAAUUUUCACCAAAAUAAUAUUUGCCAAGAAUAUUUGGAAAUCUAUGGUCAAACGCUAGCUUACUCUUUCAUUCUUAAUAAAAGAUUUUAGGUUUAAAUCUUUAAAAUGGAAUAGUCUUUCAUAGAAAUAGCUUUACACUAUCCUCCAAAUAUCAGACAUGAAUCAGAUUCCAAAGUGAAUAUCAGACAAACAAUAAAAAUCAAAGUAAAAAGUCUAAGUAACUAAUCCAAAUACAUCUUGUAAUUGUUUUCACAACCCUGACCCCUACCCAAAAAAAAUUCCUUUUCCCUUCUCUUUUGUGUUUAUUUUCUUCACUUCUGUUUGUUUUCAGACAUACCAUAGAUUCUAAUAUGGAAAAUUUGCUAUAUUCAGCUGCAAUCAAUUAUGUUUGUGGUGGAAGCAUAUUCCUUUUCCUACAAAAAAGCAAAUGGAAGUGUAUUCCUUGUUAUCCUUUUUCUCUUUUUUAAAAUCGUUAUGUUUGUUCGUUAAAAAAUAAUAUGUGCAUAUCUUCUCAAUUAGUUGUUACCACCCACCCCCUCCCUCCCCAAAAACACUAAUGUAUGAUAUCAUUUAAUUGGACACUAAUUUUUUUUUAAUAAUGAUCAUUUAAGAGACGCAAAUCACUUCAAAUUUUAUUCUAUCACACUCACUUUUUCGUAAUUUAUCGAUAUUAUGUCUACCUUUUUUAUUUUGAUACUUUGAUUUGAUAGAAAAGGAAUACAAAUUAAAAUUGAAAUAAAUGAAUGAACUAAAGUUUAUAGAAAUUUGCUAUAUUAAAGUUGUAUGUAAUAAUGAUUAUGUUCUUUUUAGAGAAAGGCAAAUUGGAUUCGGGUCAAGCAAGUUGCAUAAGGUAAUUGGCGUAAAAUUGGAAACAAAAUCAUCAAUUUUAAGAUUACUUUUCUUUUCCAUGUCUCGUUUUAUAAUUUACUUCUUUCUUUUCCUUCUCAAGUAAGCAAAAAGAAGUACUAUGAUUCGACCUUUUUAUUUAUUUUUAUAUAUAAAAAAUAUGUAAUAGGAUAUACUCUACCUCUAAGUAGAAGAAACACGUUAUUAAAAAUUGCGAUGAAAUCGAUAAAAUCUCUUUCAAUUUUAAUUAAAAAAUUAAGAUUCAAAUUUUCAAAAAGGAAAAAAAUACUACAAGAAACAUUUUGAAUAAGCCUUAUAGUCUAUAGAACAUGAGUAUUAAAACACCAAUGGAGAAAAAAGGAAACAAAUAAUUUUCGGCAACCCAUUGAUUAAGUACUUAACGAUGGAAAUUGAUCUUAUAGUCGUAAAAAUACAUUAUGUCCUUAAUUUUAGAAAGGAAAUAUGACUCUUUCCCUCCUCCUUUUUGAAAAACAAAACAAAAUUAAAGAAAACUAAUGAAAUAUUGAGAUCGGAUCAAUAUAUGAAAUUAAUUUGAUAUGAUAAUAAUAUAAUUUUAAGAUAGUCUAUCAAAAAUAGUUUUUUAAAGAUAAUUAUAACAUCUGCGUACACAUUACUUUUCAUCUUACUUACCAUUUAUUAAAUUAAAAUUGCCAUUAAAAUUUUAAUACCGUACAACGUCAAACCCCUAAUUACAAUACAUUUACAAGUACAAAAACGUGUGGAACAAGAAGGGGAAAAAAAGUCAUUAUGGCUAAUUCGUGAAGAGUGAACCGAAGAUUAAGUCUAAGUUUAAUGACAUCACAUAUUUACAUUGCCACGUUAUUUCACAUUAGGAUCUUUUUAUAAUGAAUAUUUUCCUAUUUACAGAUUGGCCUUCCACGUCGGUGGUCCACAUGUGCUGAAUUCUUAUUCGUUAAAAACUUUUAAAAUAAAGGUAAGAAAAUUUCCCAAUAUUUCUUAAAUAUUGACAUUUGAUAAUUGGAUAAAGAAUAAGAUGUAAAAUGAGAUUUAUUUCCAUACAUACAAGAGGUAACGCCUAGCUGGAAAACUAUUAAUAUACGGCCUAAAUUUAAUUGCCAGCACAAUCACUGACGUGGAUUCUCCAAACCCUCACUCAAUCAUUGAGAGUUUUUCUUUUUAGACUCCCACUCCUCCCUUAUUUCUCACUCUUCAGAAAAAGAAAAAAAGAAGAUUAUAUACUUUUUGUCAGUUUCUAUCAAUUUAUGCAUUUUUGUACAAAUUGAUUCUGUGUGAAUAAGCAAAUUCUUCGUUAUCGAAUUAGAAUUUUCAGAGACUGAUUGAAAAGUUUUUUGAGUUUUGUGAUGUCUUUCAUGGAUACUUUUUUUGUUCCCGAAGAAACAAAGGACGAAGAAGGCGAGUGGGAGAAAGAAAGAUAAUUAGAAAAAAAAUACGAUUUCUGCUUCUACUAAUCUUCUUCUUCUCCGAGAAAAGUAGAAGUAGAGCGAAUCAGAUCAUUACUAAAAAAACUUUGUAGUUUUGUAUUUUCAUAUAUAUAUUUAUCUCUGUUUCGAUCUCUGCUUUGCAGGUAAUUUUUUUUAUUUUUCUAUUUUUGUUUUGUAAUUCUUAUCAUUGAGAAGAUAUUGACGUUUUUGUGUGUGUGUGUUUUCAGUUUGACGAUAAACGAUGUCGACGACGGUAAUCAGUGAGUCGGCGGUAGUGAUGAACGCUGCGGAGGCCGGAAAACUUGCGGCACAGACAAUCGAGGUGGAUUUCGCGAAAUGCGAUUGUUGUGGAUUGACGGAGGAGUGUACUCUGGCUUACAUAGAGACGAUCCGCGAGCGGUAUCAGGGGAAAUGGAUAUGCGGACUGUGUGCGGAAGCAGUGAAGGAUGAGAUGAUGCGGUGUGAGAGGUUGAUCAACACGGAAGAAGCCUUAACUCGUCAUCUCAAUUUCUGUAAGAAGUUCAGUUCUUCUACUCCUCCUCCAGAUCCGACUGUUCACUUGAUCGCUGCCAUGAGGCAGCUUCUGCGAAGGAGCUUGGAAUCUCCUAAAUCGCUCAGGUCGAUGCCCUGUAGUCCGACGAGGAACAGUAGUGAGAUGCAGACUAACGUUUUAGUUCGAGCUGAAAGUUGUAUUCCUACACUUUCUUUGGUGGUUGAUUCUGCUGCUUAUCAUGCCAUGGAAAUGGAUCCCGAUUCCGAAUGAAGGUGAUCACUUUAGGUUUAAUUUCAACCCUCAAAUCCCCGCCAUGGAAAAAAAGAAAUAAAUUAAGUAGAAAAAACAACUCUAAUAAUGCUUAAUUUCCCUCAAAAAUGUAAACACAAUAGAACUGGAAUCGUUUGGCGAUGGAUUGUGAUGAAAUGGAAUGGAAUGAAAAUCAUGUUCAUGUGAUUAGCGUGUGAAUUCUGUGUGCUCAACUGAUUUUACAAUUUUGAUUAGCUCCACUCUUUAUAUGCAUCUGUAAAUAUAUAUUAGAAACUCAUGUUUUGAUUGAAAUGCUUCUAUUAUGAUUCUCUUCGUGUUUUUGUACAAUUUAUGACUUCCAUUUUCAUAAUUCUUUCUCGUUGUAUUUCAGAUAUCAGAUGGUUAAAAGUGAAAAAUAAAUCUUGAAAAUAAUGUAUAGGGGAGCUAUAGUGAGUUGAAAAGUUCACGUGGAUGAAGUAGGAACAGUUAUGUUACUGUAAGUGUUUCAAAUUUAGCUGAAAAAAUUGUGAUGAGUUUCUCUCCAAUUAAAGAUAAGAUGAUUUGAAAGAGGAAGUUUCUGGCUUUUAUGGCUUGUGAAAGAUAACAUGGAAACUAUAAAUUAGGUACCAAGAAUCCAAAAUUGGGAAAAAGACAAUGCUUGUGACUUCCCCUUUGUACGUGAUAAUACAGAGUUUGAGAUUGGGGGGAAUGGGCGUGUUGAUGAAGCUAAUGGAAUGUCCAGUAGAAAGUACUGUAGUAGUAAUAUUUGUGGGCCUAAGAUAUUGUUGUUUCUGUUUGACAUGCUAGUUCUAGUGUAAAGGAGAGGGAUGGCCAUUUGCGUGUUAGUGGUGAAUAUAUUGAUCAAGACUUUGUGAUAAGGAUGUACCACCAAGGAUUUGUUAAGAUGGACGUCAUUCAUCUAUAAUUUAACUAGUGUUUUCAAGUUCGAGUUUUGAUAAUAUUAAAAAAAAAAGGAUCAUAAAGAUUAAUGAAAUGGGUAAAAUUUCUUGCAAAAUUUGAUAUUGGUUGAAACUAAAAAUUGAUAUUUAUGUUGUUUGCCUAAGAUUUCGUGGGGAAAACUAAUUUUAAUGCGUUUGGUGUAAGAUAGUGAGUAUCCAAUAAACUAGUAAGACAUACAAAAAUGACUCAAUAACCACCUUCAGAAAUGCACUGAUGUAGAUUUUGAAGAAGAGUAUAUAUAUGAUUAAGAAAUUCAGAAUUUUAUUUUUUAUCAUAAAUAUUCACCAACAAAAAAUUUAUUCUUUUUACGAACUUGACUUCUAGGAGUACUAUUAUUUGACUACGAGGAAGCAUCGCUAAGGAACAGACCUGACUGUAGUCUGAAAUGAUAAAACACGACGUUUUCAUAAUUAACAACUUAAAUAAUCUCAGAAUCAGGCAUACAGCUAAUAUCUCAAAUCAAAUAUGGGAUAAAAUAUAGCCCAAAUUUUAUUCCAAAAUUAUCAUAUGCUUAACUCACGUACCAAAUGACCUCUGCCGCCGAUAUAUUCCAACUUUUACAACUACCAGUUUUUUUUUUCUACAACUUACCAGUUUGAUUUUUCAAAUAUCAACCAAAUUUGUCUAUACACGUCAUGAAGUUUCCAGAGGAGGAUCUCGAGGACCUUAUGUGGACAAUAUAAUCAUUUGCAUUAUUGGAUGUAACAUAUCACAAUGAUUGACUAACAUAAACCUACUAGUGGUUUACAUAAGAUUAGGUGAUUAGGUAGUUGACUAUUAGUGCCAAUAAUGCAAGUGUUCUGUUUUAGUUAUGAGAGAUUAGGUUAGCAACUCUUCAAAUAAAGUAGAACGGCCAAGUAAACUCAUUGAUUAGGCAACCUGGUACUGAUCACUGAGAACACUAGAUUCAGAAUACAUUAUUUUAAUUGAGUUGCAAGGAAGGUACAUUAUUUAAGUGAUUCCGGGGCAAUCAUAAGCACCUUACAGGAUGAAUUCACGAGCGAAACGGGCGUAUCUGCACCUGAAACAACAAUUGCAUUCAUUAGAACACGAGAAUUUUGAAAUGCUGUGAGAUACUUAAUUUAUCAUAUAGUAAUGCAAUGACUCACCAAUUUCAACUAGCCAAAAUUGAUUCCUUGAGCCAAUGGUAAUUCACUCCCAUAGUUGAUUGUACUGCAAUGGUGGGGAAUAACCCAAGUAGGUCAGCGUAAAAUGUUAUCAGAUUUAGACAUUGAGUAAUAAGAAUUAUAAGAUACUGAAUUGAUGAGCUUCUGCAAAUGUAUUAAAUGAGAAAGGGAUGAAAUGUCUUUGUAGUUACCAAGUUGAGCGUCUCAUAUAUUGUUUCCAAGAAUCACUUCCUGCCUCACGGCCACCACCAGUACCUUUCUCACCUCCAAAAGCACCGCCAAUUUCAGCUCCAUUUGUUGGGAUAUUCACAUUGACGAUGCCACAAUCACUUCCUUGAGGUCUGCAUCACAUAAAUCCAUGUCAGAAUCAGGGUUAUUUAAUGAAAAGGGAAACUCGUCUAAACCACAUUCUCAAGAACAUAAUAGAUUGCUUACCCAAUCCACUUAAAUAUAUUUUCUGGAUUUCGGGUGAAGAUGGAACUACUUAAACCUUGAGGGACAGAGUUGUUGAUUUCAACUGCUUCUUCGAAAGUCUGCAAGCAUAAAGUUUGGAAUGAGAAACUGAAUCAAGAGAAGUUCCACCAAAUAUGGGGAGACGACGCCAUUGGUCAUCUCGAAAAUUCAGUGCCUUUGCGAGGGAAUACCUUAAACUUCAUUACAUACAGAACUGGAGCAAACAAUUCUUCCUUCACAAUUUCAGCUUUUGAAGAAAUUUCAACAAUUGUUGGAUGCACAAAAUUACCCUCAGAUUCUACGACUGAACCACCUGUAAGGAUCUUUCCACCCUGCAAAAUAUUCAUUUUAAGAAACAAAGUUCUACUCACACUUCCCUUUCUAUUGGAAAAGGAAAAAAUUCAAAUCCAGCUGAGUUAACAAAAUAUGUCUCCUUUUCUUUUUUUAAAUAUUAUGACCAGACAUUUACUAGAGCUAUGCUCACAUUGCUCAGGGGGAUAAAACUGUGAAACUUUAACAAAUCAAAUUGUUAGACAAAUCUUGUCCAUGUGGGUACAAUUGUCCUCACCAUCAACAUAUAACAAGGGGUAGGGCAAGACCUAGGAGGAGAGGCAAAAUCAAUGUCAAUUUAGAAAUAAUUUGGAAAUGAAAGUCUCAAGAAACUGAACAUACCUGGGACUUGAUAUUGUGGAUUCCCUUCUCGAAAUUUUCCCUAGAAGUACAAGUAUGCAAUGGCCCAAGUAAGGUACCUUUUUCUAAAGGAUCCCCUAUCUUAACUUGCUUGUAAACAUCAACUAGUGGUUCAAGUACCUUCUCAUAUAUUGAUUCGUGCACAAGCUUCACACAGAAAAAGAUUUGUGAAGAAAAACAGUAAUAAGUUUUGGAAGUGAAAGCUUUAAGCAGCAACGUGAACAGACUUAAAACAAUUAACACAGUACCAGUCUCCGGCAUGUUGUACAGCGCUGACCAGCCGUACCAACAGCAGCAAAUAAAACAGAGCGAACAGCAAGUUUAAUGUCCGCAUCAUCCAUUAUUAUGAUGGCAUUAUUUCCACUUAAUUCUAAUAGACAUUUUCCAAAUCUCUGACUUACUGUUUGCUGAACUGCAAGACCAACCUAUUGGCACAAAAGAAAUAAACCCACAGAAAUUCGUUAGAGCAAGUUUGUAUUUCUAUAUGUAACUUUUAACAAAACCAAAAGACAAGCUUUAUCAGAGUAAUAGAAUAAUAAAUUGAUAAGGAAUUUGAAAAAUUCCAGAUUCUUCUUUUCUUUUUAUUUUCUUUGUUAAUAAGGUCCAUGAUUCUCAUUACACUCUUUGCUUGUUUUAUUUUGAGAUUUUUGGUUGUAUGCACAUGUAUAUGGUUGCUGUCCCAUUGGGUGUUUUUCUCAAAUAGAACUUAUUUGCUUAUCCUAGAAAAGAUAUGCUUUUAUUUUCACUUGCACCAAGAAGGAAUGAAAGCCAAACCACUUAGUUUAAUUUUGACUAGCAGAUUAAACUCAAGCUUGCAUAUCCAUUUAAUUUUAGAAUUGACUCCAUAACAUCGUCUUUUCAAGUCCUGUUAAGAUUCUUUGAUUCAAACUAGACAGACAAUGUAAAGUCAAGGUAGGAAUGUAAAGUAAGCAAAAAAACAAGAAGUUUUUGUACUUAUAUCGUGAUUUUUGGAGAGACUACAUCAAGUUAAUCCAACAAAUAUAGAAAAAUUAAAAAAAUCAACUUAUUACUUUUUAAUAUCAUAUCAAAGAUAGCAACGGAAGCUUCCUAGAGAUGAACCAACAAACCAGACACUCUACGUUUUAUGCCUAGUAUUGGAGAGGCUGGAAAAUAUUUGAAAGGGUAUAUCCAAGUCAAAGUAAGAAGCAAAUACUGACACAGUAUUAGUGGCAACGGAGACCGCCUUGAUGAUAAAACAAACAUACAUGUUAGGUUAAGGACAGAAAAGUCACCUUUGAACUCCCAGUGAAUGAAACUAGAGGAAUUCGUGUGUCCUUUGCUAUUGCUUGACCAACAUCAGCUCCACCGCAGAAGGCAGUAAAAAUUGAACCAGGUAAAUUGUUUUUCUCCAAUACACUAGCCACAAUUUUUGUCAUCGCAAUGGUAACCAAUGGUGUUGUUGGAGCACCUUUCCUGUGAACAUGGCAUAAAAUCCCAAGAUUAGAACACCCAAAUACCAAACUUGAGUUAUCAGACAUACUUGAAGAGCAAAUUCUCUUUUGGAGAUUGAGUAGAGAGUUGAGAGAUUAGGCAUUAGCAUAAUCCUAAAGAGAAUAUGCUCUAUCCCUCCCAAUUCAGUUGUGCUUACUUAACUUCGUAAGGUUAAUAAGACAGGAACUGAAACUCUGUUUUGUUUAACUUAUUUGGAUGCAGAAGAAAUUCUGUUUUAGAGCCAGUACAGUAAUAUAACUUAAUUAAAGAUUCAGCUGCAACACAUGAAUGCUUAUAUUAUCAAGUUGGCAGGGUUCUAAGGUAAGAGAGAUUCAAUACUCCUGCUUUGAAAGAGAAACAGUAAUUACUUUCAACAUAAAUCUGCAUAUGAUGAUGUUCAAACUAUAGUGUGGCAAUAAUACCCAAUCAAUUUUAGCUCAGCUAUAAGUAUAUAUAAGCUCAAUUUAUCAAUCUGAAAAGCUGUUCAACCAUCUAGCUCAACUAUCAUUUGGAAAAGCCAUUCAAUCAUUUCUACUAUGGACGAAUUCACUUUACACCUUCGAAAUAAAGUGAUGGACUUACCAGACAACACAAUUGCCACAGACCAGUGCGAUACAUGCAUUCCAUCCUGGAUAGAAGAUGACAGAUAUAUUUAGAACAAAAUAAGGUGGAUAUUGACAAGUACGGUUACUUGGAAAGUCGGGUCAAAGCAUUUAAAGCAAAGUGAGAAAUUGCUUGGUAUAUGAAAGCAAAAGUUCUCCAAAUAAAACAACAACAACAUACCCAGUGAAAUCCCACAAGUGAGGUCUGGACAUGGUAGAAUGUACGCAGACCUUACUACUACCGCGUGGAGGUAGAGAGGUUGUUUCCCAAGGACCCUCGGCUCCAGAUACAAACCCUAGAAUCUUUCUACUAAUUUUCUUUUUUAGAUCAAAAUACUUCAGUGGAAAGACAGCAGUACAAAAAAUACAAUCUGAACAUAGCAAGAGAUAUACUCCAACAUUUGAGGCAAAAAGCAAUUAACAAGCACGAAUGCAUUCAGAUAAGAAGGCUUUUGAGUUCUUGUUGACACCAACCAACUGCCUUAGGGAAAGAGCAAGAAAGGUGGAAGACACAUAGGCAUCAUGUAAUAGCACAAUUUUAUCAGAAUACAGCGUAGUAGUGUACUAACAAAAUAAUAAUAAUAUUAAAGGAAGAGGAGAGACAAAUUCAGGGAUUCAAUUCUUGAAUGAUGAUAGGUAGUUCUAUUGUAUUGGACAUUUAUUCUUGUAAAUUGACCAUAUUCAGCUCAAGGUUCCAUGAUGAUCCAUUGCUAUGUUACUACUGUCCAUAGGAGAGAUAUCUCAUGUCAAAAAUCUCAAUGGCUUACCAAGUACAGCACAUGGGAAGUUGAAAGCCGUGAUUACACCAACUAUCCCGAGAGGAUUCCACAUCUGUGCACAAAAAUUACAUGAAAAGAUCAAAAACUAACAUAAACCAGGGUUUGAGAAAUUCCUGAUUUUAGAGCACAAAUGUCAGCACACCUCCAACAUCAUGUGGUUAGGACCUGUCAACAAAUAAACAUUGUUAACAAAAGGAAGUUAGAUAAGAAAAAUAAUCAGAAAAUAAACAUCUCCAAUAACAUACGACUGUAAAUCUUCUACUCUUAAAAAACAUUUGUAUCCCAAUAGUCAGCAAAAGCUAAUCAUCCUUUCAACCAGGAACUACUCAGAUAGCCAGAAAGUAUGUAAAACUAAAAACAAGAAAUUACAAUUGCAAAAAAAAACUGCUUAAAAUUGCAAAUUCGGCUAUUCUGAAAGCAACAUACUCCCUUUGUCCCUAUUUAGUUGUCCACUUUAGAAAUAACACACAGAUUAAGGCAACAAUGAUUAGCAUAGUGAAGUUACAAUUUUACCCUUAUAGUACAAUUUACAAUUCCAAAAUAAAUUCACUCAAGAUAACUAAUCAAUGCUAAGAAGUUCAUAAGUUUAUUUACUUUAUUUAUGACAAUUUUAUUUAAAUAAGGGUAUAAUAGGAAAAAAAUUGUUGUCUUUUCUUGAUUUGUCAAAAUGGACAACUAAAUAGGGACAACUAAAAGAGGAAAUAUGGACAACUAAAUAGGGACGGAGGGAGUAGUAAGGAAGCGAACUCACGUUCAGAAGGAAUAACGGAUCCAUUCAGUUGUCGACUCAAUCCCACAGCAAAAUCACACAUAUCAAUGACUUCCUGCAGAUUUAAGCCACAAAAAAGUUUCCAAUUGUAAAGCUGUUUUUCAAAAAAAUUUAGGACACUCCCUAGCUCUAUAGUGAAUCGUGACAUUACAUACUUGAACCUCCCCAAUUCCUUCUGGGAGUAUCUUUCCCAUUUCAAGUGAAACAAGUCGACACUUUAGAAAUGGCACACAGAUUAAGGCAACAAUGAUUAGCAUAGUGAAGUUACAAUUUUACCCUUAUAGUACAAUUUACAAUUCCAAAAUAAAUUCACUCAAGAUAACUAAUCAAUGCUAAGAAGUUCAUAAGUUUAUUUACUUUAUUUAUGACAAUUUUAUUUAAAUAAGGGUAUAAUAGGAAAAAAAUUGUUGUCUUUUCUUGAUUUGUCAAAAUGGACAACUAAAUAGGGACAACUAAAAGAGGAAAUAUGGACAACUAAAUAGGGACGGAGGGAGUAGUAAGGAAGCGAACUCACGUUCAGAAGGAAUAACGGAUCCAUUCAGUUGUCGACUCAAUCCCACAGCAAAAUCACACAUAUCAAUGACUUCCUGCAGAUUUAAGCCACAAAAAAGUUUCCAAUUGUAAAGCUGUUUUUCAAAAAAAUUUAGGACACUCCCUAGCUCUAUAGUGAAUCGUGACAUUACAUACUUGAACCUCCCCAAUUCCUUCUGGGAGUAUCUUUCCCAUUUCAAGUGAAACAAGUCGACCAAAUUCCUGAAGGUUCGCUCGGAGUGCAUCACCUAUCUGUCUAACAAUCUCACCUCUUUUUGGUGCAGGAACCUGCAACAUAAUACAUCAUCAUUAUAGUAGAAAAAUUGAUCCCCAAACUAAAUGCCAUCAAUUCUUAUCUAAUAUGCAACGGGAAGAUAGAUUUAUGAUUUCAGUGAGGGAUGAACAUACCUGCACCCAAAUCUUAGCUGCUUCAGCGCAAGCUGACAUGCCUUCCUCAUAAUCUUGAGCAGAAGCUUCGACAACUUCGGCAAUGAUCUGUAUACAUUAUACAGUUUAAAUCAUACAUAUAUUAAUUUGAUGAAACGAAACCGAUUCAGUUUCCCACUUAUAAUCAAUCAAAAACCCUACGAAACUAAAAGUUGGGGAAAUUAGAGAGGAUAAGUGAAAUUAAGAAGAAACCUGGUUGUUAGCAGGAUUAAAAGUGGAAAUGACGGGGCCAGUAGCUUUCCAGGUGCCAUUAACAUAACAACCGAGAUUUUGGGGGCCAAUUCCGAGCUCUUUGAGGAAUUCGUACUCUUUCUUCGUGAAACUAGUCAUGAUUUCACACAAUGGAGGAAUAGAUAGAGAAUGAAGAAAUAAUGAAAUGCGAUAGAAGUGGCGAUCCAACCCACUGGAAGAAAUAGUAUAUAUAUUAGUAGAAGAGACGUAGAGAAAGAGAAGUGUCGAGUCACGCACACGGAUGUGUCGUUGGUACAAGUAGAGAGAGAGAGACGUUAUCUUUCAAAUCAUAUGAUAAGUACAAUGAAUUAGAGUAUGAAAAAUUUGGUAUUAGCGAUUUCAUUUUUUCUAUUUUAUGUAUAUAUAAGUGAUCCUAAUUGAUUGGUUUUAUUCUGAUUUGGUAUUAUCUCGCCUAAUGAAAGUAAGGUCUUGAAUGGACCUUUUGAAACAUUUUGGGACCUCUUUGUAUUAUUUUAGAAGCUACACAAGAGUAGUUCUUUUUCAUGAGAAUGAUGUUAGGAUUAAUCUGUGUAAACCUUAAUUAUUUCACUAUCUUGCUAUUUAUUGAGAAGCUAGAUUUAUUUUCAUCUUUUUUUUUAUGACAAGGGAAACCGCAGUUGCUUGCGCACAGAAUAAAACUCUCGCUCCUAUGCAAUAACUCGCAAACCACAUAGAAGAGGUAACCCGCACUAGGCAAGCCCGGUGAGAUGAGCUCGAUCCAGGAAGUUCCAAGCCCAAACCACCCGAAGGGUAUUUAUUUUCAUAUUUUAGUUUUAAAUUUUACAAAUGAAUUUUCUUCUUUAUACCUUUUAUUUAGGAACUACUUUCGUGAUGUUAAAAGUUUAUUAAAAUAGGGAGUCUGAAAUUAGUUAGAACUUUUUUACUGUGGUAAUUAUUAUUUCUUAUAUGUAAAUCUAGUUAAUAAAUAUUUUUUAAUUAAAAAUUAAAAAUUCAACUUUUUAUAACAAUAUUUAUUAAAUUAAUCUUAAAUUGCCAAGUGGCAUUUCAUUAAUUUGCCACUUGGCAAAAUCUCAUUACAAACUAUUCUCCUUUAUUAUAUAUAUAUAUAUAUAUAUAUAAUCACGUAAUAAUCAAGAACGUUUAAUGGUUAAAAUACUAGUGUAACUCGUAUAAGGAAUAUACACAUGCCGCAAUGACAAAUAAAAUAAUUUCGUUAUUGCAUUGCAUAAUUUGACACCUGCUUUCGUCCCUAGUUUAUGGCUAAAUCCCACUGGUCCAUUAUUGUGGUCAUCAGUUUCUUGACCCAUUUUGUCAUAUGAAUCACUUCCCUUCCAAUUUGGUGCCGCUCAACACAACGAAAAAAUAAAUCUACUUUUUGCCGGUAGUAAAUAACUUUCAUUCUUUAAUCAGAAAUUUCAAAUACGGGCUCAAAAACUGAAGCUACAUUUAAUAGAGAAAACGUUUUACUACUCCAAAGUGAGAUUUUCAAACACGGAUCAAAUUAAUUAUUGAACCCAUUUUUGAUACUUAUAUCAAACCAAUGACUACACUACAUAUAUGUAUUCACAAUUUCACUAAAUGACAACUAAUUAAUGUUGUUUUUAAUUCAUCACAUACAACAACAGGGGGGAGCUACAUUGAUGCAGGAUGUCCAAUUUGUCAGAAAAAAAUAUUGUAUAUACAAAUAAAAUGAAACAAAAAAUGAUUAAAUAACAUGUUUUGAACUCCUUUGACAUAAUAGGUUGUUGCAUGUUGGUUUCAAGCGCCUCAAAUGAGCUUAAUGCUCUUGUGUUUGAAUCUCCUAGCAGAUUAUUCCACUACCUGGAGUCAAUUAGGAUGAUCUCACAAAUAGUUUUUUGAGUAAUGAAAUAGCAGAAGCAUCAUUGGCAUGAUUCACGACACUCCAAUUCCAAAAAAUAAAAUACUCCUAGUACGGGCAAUAAUGGGUUAAUAACUAAUGCCUAUCAGAUACUAUCUAAAUAUCUUUUCUGAACAUCAUGUCUCUUACCUACCCACCUGAGCUACCCUUCCAUCCUUCUUUACACGAGAAAUGGGCCCAAAACUUACAUGGUUAUUUGGGAAUUGCCAAAAGGACUGAAAAUGAACCAACAACUAUCUAUAACGUGGCACAAUAAAGCCCAUCAAAUAUCUCUCUUAUCUUCCCAGAAACUAGUUUCUCUUUAGCGAUGGCACUUCCUUCUUCUUCUUUCUCCCCCCUAGUCUUCCUCUUUCUCAGCUCAUUGGCAAUUUCAGUCAAAUCGGAUGGUCCUAAAACUUUCAUAGUCCACGUGUCCAUAUCCCACAAGCCUCUUAUUUUCACUACUCACCAUCAUUGGUACUCCUCUAUUCUCCGAUCAGUCUCUCAACACUCUCCCAAUAUCUUGUAUUCUUAUGAUCGUGCUGCCCGUGGCUUCUCUGCCCGCCUUACAUCCGGGCAGGCUGACCAGCUCAGCCGCGUUCCCGGUGUGGUCUCCGUCAUCCCUGAUCGCGUACGCCAACUUCAUACCACUCACACACCUACCUUCUUAGGCCUUGAAGACUCAUUUGGGAUUUGGCCCAAUUCUGAUUAUGCUGAUAAUGUUAUUGUUGGAGUCCUUGACACGGGUAUUUGGCCAGAAAGGCCGAGCUUUUCUGACAAGGGGCUUUCACCGGUGCCUUCAGGUUGGAAAGGGAAAUGCGAGAGUGGCCCGGACUUUCCUGCAACUUCAUGUAAUCGUAAAAUCAUAGGUGCUAGAUUGUUUUACAAAGGAUAUGAAGCUGAUCGUGGAAGUCCAAUGGAUGAAUCUAAAGAAUCCAAAUCGCCAAGAGAUACUGAAGGCCAUGGAACUCACACUGCUUCAACUGCAGCUGGAUCUGUUGUAGCCAAUGCGAGCUUUUACCAAUAUGCAAAAGGUGAAGCUAGAGGUAUGGCUGUAAAAGCUAGAAUAGCAGCCUAUAAGAUCUGCUGGAAAACAGGGUGUUUUGAUUCUGAUAUACUGGCUGCAAUGGAUCAAGCUGUUGCGGACGGGGUUCACGUGAUUUCUCUCUCUGUUGGCGCAGAUGGUUAUUCUCCUGAGUAUGACGUCGACUCCAUUGCUAUUGGAGCUUUUGGUGCCACAGAACAUGGCGUUGUCGUCUCUUGCUCUGCUGGAAAUUCCGGUCCUGGUGCUUCUACGGCGGUCAACGUUGCCCCAUGGAUUCUCACUGUUGCUGCUUCAACCAUAGAUCGGGAGUUUCCAGCGGAUGUUAUCUUAGGAGACGGUAGAAUAUUUGGUGGUGUAUCCUUAUAUACCGGAGAUCCCCUUGGCAAUGCAAAACUACAGCUUGUUUAUUCCGCCGACUGUGGCAGCCAACUCUGUUAUCCAGGAAAGCUGGACCCUUCAAAAGUUGCUGGGAAAAUUGUAUUAUGUGAUCGAGGAGGCAAUGCCAGAGUAGAGAAAGGAAGUGCUGUGAAACAAGCGGGCGGUGCAGGUAUGGUCCUAGCAAACUUAGCUGACUCUGGAGAAGAACUCGUUGCCGAUGCACAUCUCCUCCCAGCGACCAUGGUGGGUCAAAAAGCUGGCAAUAAAAUCAGGGAUUACAUCAAAUCUGUUCCAUCACCAACAGCGACGAUCACUUUCAAGGGAACUGUUAUAGGAAAAUCGCCAUCUGCUCCACGCAUUGCUGCGUUCUCAGGCCGAGGACCCAAUUAUGUGACCCCUGAGAUCCUUAAACCGGACGUUACUGCACCGGGAGUCAACAUAUUAGCUGGAUGGACCGGAGCUGUUGGUCCAACAGACUUGGAAAUCGACAAAAGAAGAGUGGAAUUCAACAUUAUAUCCGGGACAUCCAUGUCUUGUCCUCAUGUAAGUGGAUUAGCUGCGUUACUCAGAAAGGCUUAUCCUAAAUGGACCACAGCAGCCAUAAAAUCAGCCCUCAUGACAACAGCUUACAACGUUGACAACUCCGGCAAAACAAUCACGGAUCUUGCCACAGGUCAAGAAUCGAGUCCUUUCGUUCGUGGGUCGGGACAUGUGGAUCCAAACAGAGCACUGCAUCCGGGUCUGGUUUACGACAUUGAGUCGAGUGAUUACGUAGGUUUCCUAUGCGCCAUUGGUUAUGGCCCCUCCAGAAUCUCACCAUUCACGAAAGAUACUUCUUCAGUGAAUUGCAGUGAACAUAGUUUGGCUAGUCCAGGGGAUUUGAAUUAUCCAUCAUUCUCAGUUGUUUUCAUGAGUGAGAAUGUUGUGAAAUACAAGCGUGUGGUUAAAAAUGUUGGGAGGAAUGCAAAUGUUGUGUAUAAGGUAAAGGUAAAUGCACCUUCGUCCGUGGAGGUGAAGGUGACUCCGAGUAAGCUCAGUUUCAGUGAGGAAAAGAAUAGUUUGUCAUAUGAGAUCAGUUUUAGCAGUGUUGGAUCGGAGAGAGUGAAGGGUCUUGAAUCAGCAUUUGGAUCAAUUGAGUGGUCUGAUGGAAUUCACAGUGUGAGGAGUCCAAUUGCAGUGCGUUGGCUAUCAUCCUCUGCUGCUGCUUAGCCUGUUCUAUGAUCAUAACUGUGCAACAGAAUGUAAUCCGUGAUGCUCCAAAGACCGACAUAAGGCCAAGUUCUGAAAGGAAAAAGGAAUUAUUGAAAGACCAUCUGCCUAUAGAAAUAAUGUUAAGAAUUUUGUCGUUGUCCAGUUCUAUUGUUUCUGAAUGUUGGUAAGCCUGAUACAUUUGAUCAUUUGAAUGAAUCUUAAGAGGUAGAACGGUUGUGAUUCACCUACAUGCUAUCAAAUUAGAAACUUGUUGGCAUUGCCAUUUUAAGAUCCCACUACAUAGAAAGAAAGCUAUAUGCAAUUGUGCAUCAACACAGAACAAAGAUAAGAACUGUUGGUGUAUGGUGCCAUUGUUAAAAGAUCUCACGAAUCAACCAUGGCUAAGGGCACCAUUUUUAUUGCCAUUGUUAAUGUAAAACCCGGACAUAACUAUUGAAAUACUUGGCCUUACAGUAUCAAACAUGUAAAUACAGGCAACAUCAAACAAAUGACAAAAGAUACUGUAAACAAAUUUAGAGGAAGAAGAAAAAAGAAGAUACAAUAAUUAGCAUCUAAAUUAAAAGUAAAAUAACAUUGGCUGCCAGAAUGCUAGUGGUUCUGAUUGAUGGUAUUAUCCAAACAAUAUAAUCAACAUAGGUACCAGCUCUCUAAUAAAUCCUAUCAGAUAGUCGAAGCAGAAUCAGAUACGUAAAGAAACAGAGAAAAAAAGGCACUGUAAAUAAGUAUUACUAGAACAAACUAACAUUCAAAGACAUGACAAUGCAACAGCAUAAUCGCCUCUCCUGCCAAUUGUUGAAUCCUCUAAUGACCAUACUUCUGAAAUUCCCACUCACUAUUAUCUGCAGUGUAGGAAAGGAAGUUCCAACAAUUAUAAUACAGUUAUCAAGCCAACUAAACAGUGCCAAAGAUACAGUUGAAUAACUACCUAAUGGACACACUUGACGUGUUUUGAGCCAGCGACUGAUGCAGUGGAAGUGGAAGGCAUGGUUACAUACACCUGCGAUAAUAUAAAUCAAGAUACUUCUAAGCCCCCAAAAUAAAGAAUGCCAGGUUUGGAAGAGCAAAACCAAACAGAAGUGAAGAAUCAACGAGAAGAUAAAAGACUCCAUGAUUAAGUUCAGAUCAAAUUUCUUUCAUAUCUGUAACAAGAGAUAUCUUGUUACACCUUUGGUUUCCUUCAAGACUAUGAUUCAAGGCCUAUUUUUUCCAUUUAUAAUUUAAUUUUAAUAUUUUGACUUCUAUAUUUGUGUUUUAGUUUGUCGCUUGUUUGGAUCUCAUUCAACAAAACAUUGCUUGUGAAUGAAAAUAAACAUUUCAUUUUAGUUGUAGCGAUAAAUUUGACAAAGAAAUUCUCUCUUAAAAGUAUGGUAAUUUUGAAAUCAUAAACAUGAGAAAAGUGGUUUCAAAUCGUGUUGAGCUCGAGUCCCUCAACCAGUCGUAAUAGAAAUAAGAAAGAAGACAUGGUGUAAGGAGUACCAAAGUGGAAUAUUGUGUUUAGAAACAGCAAAAGAAGGUGAACACAUUACAAAAGUUUCAUCAGAUGGAAGGAUAAAGGAGGGAGAAGAUAUAUGUGUGUUCUUUGGCAAUAAGAGUGGGGAGAUUGGGAGUAGGAAGGUGAAAUAAAAAAAAGAUGAGAUGGAUUUACAAACAGAUAUGCUUAAUCCUUAGAAUGUGUGUACCAUAAAUAGAUAUGUCUAAUCAGAGGACGACACAAGACAACGAAUUACUUAUGUUAUUAAGUGAAAAACUAGGCCAGAGCUUUGCGGACAAAGGAUGCUUGGCACCUUCAGAACAGAUGAAAAUAAUUCUGUAGGCAAUAAGAAUCAAGUCUGAUUAUAACUUAUUCACCAUAACAUAUGCAAUAUAUUAGCACCCAAGUGUAUGGCCUAGUGGUCGAUGAAGUGGGUUGAGAACCAUGAGAUCUCAGGUUUAAAUCUCUGCGGAAACAAAAAUACAAUGAUUUUUCCCGUAUGUCAAAGCCUUGGUUGAUAGAGGUACCAACUACAGUACCUACUGCUAGCGGGAGGUGAUAGGUAACAACUGGAUUUAGUCAAGGUGCACACCAACUGACCUACACAUCACCUAGCGCAUACAAAUGACAUAUCCAUGCAUAAUAUCAUAAGACAAGCAGAAAGCUUCUUUCAAGAGACAUAUACUCAUAAGCCAUAAUGGAAAAAUAACCGUCAAUAUUUUUCCAAGGCAUAAAUUACAGCAAAUUAUUUAAUUUAGAUAAACAAACUGCAUACCCCAAGCAACAAUGCACUCCUGGCUCGUAGCACUAGCUUGAUUAGCUUGGCACUCGAUGCCUGUUGAAAAAAGUUUCACAUAAACUCGCAAAUAUACAUAGAAAGGUCUAGUAUCGAAUUUCUAUUUUCUAUUCUAAAUCAAAACAAAGAUUUGAAAACACUCACAGAGAUCCAUAAUAUGAUUCCUGCAAAUAGCACACUUGUCUACAACAAUAUCGGCACAAUUUCACCAAAUCAUAAUAUGAUUUCAGCUUCAAUGAGGACAAGUAAACAAUUGACAAAAUUGGGGGAAACGAACCCCAAGCCCAAAGAGCGACAGCGUUCCACUUUUUUAUCUCAAUUAGCAGCUCUAGGCGUGCAAGGUGUUGAGUUUCUACAUCAACUAUAUAUUAGAGGAAUGUAAUGAUCUCUUUAUACUAUUUUAGACUAUUCUCACCUUAUCAGAUAACUUUUAAGGUUGAAUUAAAUAUAAAAUUGUUGAUUUACUUUAAUUUUAACCAAAUAAUGAGAUAAUUAUAAUGAUAAAAAAAAAUUCCAUGUAACCUAAAGCAAACAAGCUUUACUUACAUUAUUCAACUUGUAGUUUGCAACUCUUUUGUGGAAAUAUACAGAUGUCAAAGUACUUUUAAGUUUUAGCAUGAAAAAUAAUUCUUCAACUGCAAUUUAAUUUGUAAAUAUUUAAAGACAAAUUUGAAAGACAACUCUUUUGGGCCGAUAAUGUAGGUGAUAUUUUAAGAACAUGUUUUCCGAAGUUAGUUUUUUAAAUUUAAUAAUUUAAAUAUUUUAAUUCCUAGACCAAGCUAAGCACUCUUUCAUCCCAUUAUUUAAUUAGAUUAUCUUGAUUCUUGGUAUUGGUCCUUUUCAAGUUAGGGAUAACAUUAUCCGAAAAAAUCUCCUUAUUUAAUUAAAUUCUUCAUUGUACUGGUUCCUUUCAAGUUAGGGGUGUUUUUUUGAUACAGAGGAUAACAUUACUCAGGAGAAUAUAAAUAAAUUGUGGGAAAAAUACAUAAUUAUUGCCAAAUUAUUUUUCAUUUUCUGUGACUACUUGACCAAGAGUGCUGAGUUUCUUGUUAAGAUUCGUAAAUAAUUUGAGUGUAAAAAUGUGAUUCAAACACAGAAAAAUAUGUAUAUUGUAACCCCUAGUAAUACAACCCUAUAUUUAUUUAUUUUUUGGAUAAGCGGAAUGUUUGUUAAAGUAGUUGGGAAGAAAGACCUUAGGGAUAAUUUGGCUUAGAAAAAAUUAUGCGGAGAUUAAUAAUAUUGAAAUUGUUUAUACAGAUAGAAAUUAUUUAUAAUAGACUCUUAUAAUAUUAUCAUUGAUGUGAGGGAUUAUUGCAAUUGACAGUUAAUACCUAGAAAAUCUUAUUGAUAAAUUAAUUAAUUAAUUACUCAUAAAGGGAAUAUUUAUCUCUAAAUUAUUACUUUAUUAUUUAUUUCAUUUUAAUUGGUCUUUUUCAUCUCACCAAAAUCAAUAGUCAUGUUUUUCACUUGCCUUUCAAUGUGACUCCAUCAUCCGCUUAAAUAAAGUCUACUAAAGACUUUUAUUAAGUGAUAAAUAUAUAGAUUAUUACAUGUUGUAUUAUAUACUAUAAUUUAAUGCAAAAAAAUAUUAAUUAGUACCUUAACAUAAUAUUGUAUUAACUUAUGUUGAGAUUAUUUAUUUAUAUAUCUCAAUCAAAUAAUUUUCAUAUCUUGUAUGAUAUAAUUAAAUGAUGCAGCUCAUGUAUUCAACUCUUCUAUCUCUAUGAUCUCCUUUUAUAUAUAUGUUAGUUCAUCAAACAGAAUUAUUUGAACAAAAAGUAGCACUAAUCAUACUUAUAACACAAUAAUGGCUAAUUUGGACCAAAAUAGCGUCAACAAAAGUAAAAGCAUUAAUGCCAAUUCCACAUCCAUAUUCAGUCAGUCCCGCCGCAAAAUGGCAUUCCGAUGGAAGAAGUUACCGGUAGUGCAACCCGAAGCUGGAGGGAAGAAGCAGCGGCGGAAAUUCUCUCCGAUGAAGAUUUUCCGACGAGGUGGUUUGAAGGGACAAAAAUUGCACUACUUAGGUAUGAAAAAAAUAAAAGAUUGUUAUUGGUCGGCUGUAAACGACAUAUUGGAAGGACACGGAGAAGUUGAUACAUUCCGGCGACAGCUUGCAACGGAGACCUCUUUUGCUAUUCCGGUGAUGUGCUUUUCCUUCACUAUGUUUUCACCAAAUCCUCGUGCUAUUUGAAAGCUUAGCUGAAAAUUUUAACACUAUACUAUCCUCUCAAAACUCCAUUUGUGAGAUUACAUUGUUUGUUGUUUAUAAUUAAUUUAUUGGAAUGAAGUAAUCUCUUUUUUUGAUUUGCUUUAAAAAAUAUGAAACAAAUGAAUUAUAUACAUCUUAAGUUAUUUACUAUGGAGUGCCGGCCACUUGAUGAGUUAUUUGUUCUCUUUUAUGAGAUCAUAUAUGCAUAUACUUGAACUAAUUUUUUUUCUUUUAUUUAUUGGGAAUUUAUUCAAUUCAAGCACUACCAACAUCAAGGAGGGUCAAAGAGCCACCUUGGUCUCUUGAUGUGAGAUAGUUUAAAAAUCAACUAAACUUCAAAUUAUAUUUUAACCAAGCCACGUCAAAAGUCAUUUCAUCAAUUUCAAGCUAAGAUAUUACUGUUAUGUUUUAUUUUCAUCAACUCGAGUAUUCAUUGGUCUGAUUAAUUUGUAUUUACAUCAAGCUAGGCUCAUAAAGAGCUAGGAAGCAUUGCUUCUCAGGAGAUAGUUUAAAAAUCAAAACUAAACUUCAAAUUAUAUUUUAACCAAGCCACGUCAAAAGUCAUUUCAUCAAUUUCAAGCUAAGAUAUUACUGUUAUGUUUUAUUUUCAUCAACUCGAGUAUUCAUUGGUCUGAUUAAUUUGUAUUUACAUCAAGCUAGGCUCAUAAAGAGCUAGGAAGCAUUGCUUCUUAGGAACUUUUUCUUCUUUAGUACUCAAAUUCAAGACCUCUCAUUAUAUAUAUUGAGUUUUUGAUCCAUAUAUACCAAUAAUGUAAAACAUUGAUUGAUACUAUAUAUAUAUAUAUAUAUAUAUAUAUAUAUAUGAUCCUGGACAAUCUACAUUUUAUGAGAGAUUUUAAGGUAGAGUUAGACAAGUUAGACUUAAUGUCUAUUUCUUAUCAUGAUAUCAAUCUAUUGUACCACGUCUAAUAUAGUUCUUAUAUUUAUUUCAAAGAUUUUUAUCCUCAAAUAAAAAUAUUUUUCAAGUUGAAUCCAAGCUAAAUAAGUUGUAUGGCUAAUAAAUGGGCUAAUGAAGACUUAAUAGAGUCUAUGGAGCCUAGCGGCCUAAAAAGAGGCAAGAGGUCUACCUUUUCCGUCCAUUAGUAGUUGUAAAUAUGUGUAAAUAAAAAAUAAAAUUAAAGUCCUACUCUAAUGGAGAAGUAUUUACAAAACAAAUCGUGGGGAAAAAAAAGAAUACACGCGACUAUUUGAUCUAAUUUAAUAAAACUGGCCAUGGGCCAAAGUUUAACUUCUUUUUUUUUUUAAAAAAAAAACAAAAUUACCACUAGCGGUCUUUUAUUAAACAUAAAAAAUAUCAAUAGGGACAAGUACAAGCAAGGGAGGCUAGAGGCCUUAUCUUGCUAAUCCUAAUGAAGUACCUAACUUCUGCUACCUAACAAGCAUGAAGAAAAUAAGAGCAAGAGAGAACUAAGUAUAUUCCAUGAUGAUAUUACAAAUGAGGAUGCUUAAAUAAUGUAAAAAUAUGUCAAUCAAGAAGAAAGUUGAGUUACCAGCCUCUCAAACUUUCUAUUACUAAAGCAUGAAUUAAAAAAGAUUGAUUUCCCAUCAAAAGUAACUUGAAGUAUUUUUCUCUUGUCUUCUUCUUCAAACCUAUCCAACAACCCACUUAUCUUUUUAGUGUGACUCAAAUUUUUGACUAAUGGCUGAAUAAUGAAUGUGCUUAACCAUUGAAGAAAGUCUCACUUGUUAUCUUUAAAUGAUUUAUUUCCUUCAUUACAUGUUUUUAUUUCACAUUCUACUACAACAAUAACAUAUAUAAUGUAAUACCACAAGUGAAAUAUGUGAGAAUAGAGUAUCUAUGUAGACCUUAUCCUAUCUCGUAAAGAUAGAGAUGUUCUUCCGAUUGACACUCAACUUAGAUAAAGUCUAAUCUAUCAAUUUUAAAAAAGGGAUACAUAUAUAAGUGACUACACACUAAGUUUUAUUGUGUAUAAUUUAAUGUAAAUAUUGUUUAGUACCAUCCACAAAAUAUAAUAUAAUCUUGUGUUGGAUUGUUUUUUUUAUAUAUCUCAAUCAAAUAAUAUCGUAUCUAAUAUAUAUGAGAUAAUUUUAGGAUUCUCUCUAUCCUCAAACCAAAUCACUUAUUAGUUGAGCUGAAGUAAUAGGUAUUAUGCGUCUCAUGCUCAACUCUUCGCUAUUCGUAUGAUUUCCUUAUAAAUAUAUUAGUUCAACAAACAAAAUUAUUCGAACAAAAAGUAAGUAAUUAAUACUUAUAACGCAAAAAUAGCUUAUUCGAACCAAAAUAGCCUCAACAAAAGUAAAAGCCAUGCCAAAUCCACAUCCAUAUUCAGUCAAGCCCGCUGUAAAAUGUCAUUCCGGCGGAAGAAGUUACCGAUAGUCCAGGUUGAAGCUGGAGGAAAGAAGCACCGGCAGAAAGUCUCUCCAGUGAAGAUUUUCCGGCGAGACGGAUUAAAGGGGAAGAAAUUGCAGUACUUGAGUAUGAAGAAAAUAAAAGAAUGCUAUUGGUUGGCGGUAAAUGAUAUAUUGGAAGCAAGUGAUACAUUCGAGCGACGACUUGUAGUAGAUACCUCUUUUGCUAUUCCAAUGAUGGGACUUUCCUUCACUACUUUUCCUAAUCAUCGUGGUAUUUGAAUGCUAAGUUGAAAAUUUUAUUUAUUUUAUUUCUAGUUUAAGACGACCUACAUACUACUCACUCUUCCCACUCUAUUUGUGGGAUUACACGGUUGUUUAUUUGUUAUUUUUGGUUUUCGCUGAAAUCAAUUGAGAUGUUUUACUUUGAUUUGCUUUAAAAAAUGUAGAAAUUCAUUAAUAUAUAUAUUGCAGUGCCAGUUGAAUUAUUUGCAAUCUUCAUGAGAUCAUGCAUGCACAUACGUACAAUUGAACUAUUUUUUCUUUAAUAUAUUGUAAUUUUAUGGGAAAAUUAUAUAAAAUAGCAAACUAUUAAUUCAAAUUAAAUGUUAUAACCAUUGUUUCAUUUAAUUCUAAUCUGUAGCAAACACUUUGCCAUCGCUAUUCUCCCCAGAUUUCUCGCUCGCCACUCUCCUGGUCUCGCUCGCCAGUCUCUCUCUCACCUCUCUCACUUUAUACAAAUACAAAUGUAUAAAUUAUAUUUGUGUUUGUAUAAAGCGAGAGAAAAUUGUAUAUACAAAUACAAAUACACAUAUUUUCAUUCUAUACACUAAUAAGUAUACAAAGCUGCCAACGAUUUAUACAACUAGAGGCUGCCAGUGAGAAGCUGCCAACGAUUUAUACAAAUGAGAGGCUGCCAACGAUUUAUACAAAUCUGAUGCUCCAUAGCAAACAUAAAGUUUACUAUGGAGCGCAAUUAUACAAAUUAUAACUAUAGCAUACAAAUAUAAUUUUUAUGUUUGCUAAACCUAAAAUUUUUAUCCACCCCAAUUACCUGUACGAACAUCAAGGAUGGUCAAAGUGCCACCUUGAUCUCUCUUGAUGAGAGAUGGUUUAAAAAGUACUAACUUUUAAUUAAAUGUAAAGAGAUUGUGGGUACAAUCACAAAACUCAAAACUCGAUGAAAUGCCACGAUUACAGCCGCAAAUUUGAAAUGCUUCUCGCAAUUUAUCAAGUCUUGUGGUAUAAUUUGCACCCGAUAUCACCGAGAGAUGUGGUGUAGUGGUUGAAACUGCUCUUCUUUUAAUCAGAAGUUUUGAAUUCAAGUUUUGUGUAUCAUUUUUUUUUGAGAAAUCGUACGAUUACAAUUUAAUAAAUCUACAAGACCAACAUUAUGGUAACAUGUAAAGGGAAAAAAUUAAUAACAGGGCAGAAAUUUUCACUGAUUACUUUUAUUUUUUGGAACAAUAAUUUAAAUCUUACUAUUUGAAGUAUUCUUCUUUAACUAUCAAAUGUGCGGUUCGAAUCAGAUAGGAGGCAAGAAUAUAAUUUCAAAAAAGCUAAUGCCAUUCUUUAUAUUUUUCUUGUAAUUUCUGGAUUAUUUUUUUUAAAAAAAAUGGUCUAUGAAUAACAAAAUAAAAAUCUUAUGAGAAAUCAUUAGAUCAUAAUCUAAAAUUUUAUAGUUAUUGCAAAUGUUAGACGACAGUUAUUUAAUUUGUAAGAUUAUAAAAAUAUAUGAACAAAUAUAAAAUCCUACGUUUGAAACUUUUUUUUUUUUUUUUUUUGCAAUUUCAUAAAAAAUAACUACCAUCACAAAACAAAUAUGAUCUACUUGAAAUUUAAUAACUAAAAUAUUUAAUUGCUAGACCAAGUAACUACAAUCACAAAACAAAUAUGAUCUACUUGAAAUUUAAUAACUAAAAUAUUUUAAUUACUAGACCAAGUACUUUCAUCCUAUUAAUUAAUUAGAUUCUCUUGUUAUGGGUCCUUUUCAAGUUGCGAUGUGUUUGAUAGGGAAGAUAACAUUAUCCGGAAAAAUCACAUUAAUUUAUUAGAUUCUCUUGAUACUAUUUCUGUAGAAAUAGAAAGGCUGAUCACGUAGAUCCUUAAUUUAAAUAAAGUCAUGACAAAUAAUUUCAGAAAAAGGAUACAUAUAUAGGUGAUUGUAUGUUAUAUCGUGUAUAAUCUAAUAUAAAUAUUAUUUAUUACCAUCAACAAAAUAUAAUAUAAUCUUGUGUUGGAUUAUUUAUUUCUAUAUAUCAAUCAAAUAAUAUCGUAUCUUAUAUGAGAUAUUCUAUCAAUCCUCAAACCAAAUCAUUUGUUAGUUGAGCAGAAGUAAUUGGGAUAAUGCAGCUCAUGUAUUCAAUUCUUCUAUCUCUAUAUGACGAUCUCCUUAUAUAUAUAUCUUUCUUCAACAAACGGAAUUAUUCGAACAAAAAAAGUAUUGAUACUUAAUUAUAGCACAAUAAAUAAUGGCUUAUUCGAACCAAAAUAGCGUCAACAAAAGUAAAAGGCAUGCGAAUUCCACAUCUAUAUUCAGUCAGGCUCGCCGCAAAAUGUCAUUCCGGCGGAAGAAGUUAUCGGUAGUCCAGCCGGAAGCUGGAGGGAAGAAGAAAUUAUCUAUUUUCCGACGGGAUGGAUUGAAGGGGAAGAAAUUGCAGUACUUAGGUAUGAAGAAAAUAAAAGAAUAUUAUUGGUUGGCAGUAAAUGACAUAUUGGAACGACACCAAGCAAAUGAUACAUUCGAGCAACGACUUGUAAUAGAUACCUCUUUUGCUAUUCCCAUGAUGGGCCUUUCCUUUGCUACUUUUCCUAAUCAGCGUCGUAUCUAAAAGCCAAGCUGGAAAUUAUUCAUUUUAUUUUUUAUUUAAGACUAUGUACAAAUUUCAUUCACGGAUUACAUUGUUAUUUAUUUCUGAUUUUUGUUGAAAUUAAUGAAGAUGUUUUUUAAUUUAUUUAUUAUAGUGCAUGCCACUUGAUGAAUUACUAGUUGCAAUCUUCAUGAACUAUUUUGAAAUUUCAGUACUAGUCCAUUGAAGUUCGAAGUUAUAAUAGUGUUUCCUCAGGCUCUACUUACCUUUCAAUGUGACUCAAGCUCGCAAUCCAUCCCUUGUUAUGGAAUUAUUCAAUCACUUGAGCAAGCUUUAUUUGUCGUCUGAUCUUCAAAUUAUUUAUUUAUGCAUUAAAUAUUUUAUUACACAUUAUUAUACAAUACAUAUCUAGUAUAAUAUACAAAUACCUUAUUCCUAUUUCGUAGGAAAGUUGUUUUCGUUGGCCCACAACUUAAAUAAAGUCUGCCAAACUAUUUUUAAAAGGGAGUACAUAUAUGGAUUAUUACACGUUGUAUCAUGUAUAAUCUAUGUCAAUAUUAUUUAAUACCAUCAACAAAAUAAGUAUCAUAUAUACUAGAUUCGACUUCUCUCCAUUAUACUUUCUCUUUACUUCCUCAUAUACAUGUUUAGAUACGUAACACUUAUCUAAUACUCCCUCCGUCCCAUUUUAUAUGUCAUCCCUUUCUAUAAAUAGUUGGACCACAAUACUUGUUAUUUUAUAAAAUUUAUGCAUAAAUUAUCAUAUUUUGCCUAUUAUACCCUUGAUAGAAUAGUUAAUUAAUCUUGUAAUUUAUUAAUAAAGUUGACUUAAAAAAACAUUAAACAAGGGUAGAAGGGUAAAAUUACAUCAUUUCUUAAUGCAAGUGCAAAAUAAAAAGGUGACACAUAAAAUGAAACGGAAGGAGUAUAACUUUUAAAGGUCAAAAUUAGAUUAAUUUAACAAGCAUCUUAACUAUGAUUAAAAUAUUAAAAUUGAAAAGCACUCUUUAAUUCUAGUAUGAAAUAUCAAUCUUCCCACAUUUUUUGAUACUCGUUAAUUUCAAAUUGUAAAUUUUACAUUGAUAAAACAAAAAAUUCAAAAUUCGUUGAUAUGUUAACUUUUUUAAAACUAAAUUUAAUCAAAAUACUAUCACAAAUAAUUUUAAUACUCUAAUUUGCUUUUCAUACAUCAAUUAAAAAUUUGAACUAUUAUUUCAGUACUAGUUUACACUAUUACCCCCUCAUAUGUUCCUUAAUUCAAUUUUCAGAGUAAUUUUUAAAUCAAUUUUCUAAAUGAUCACAAAAUGAUUUUCGUAUUUAUACGGAUUUACGGAGAGUAAAGGGGAGGGGGUAAGGAAGUUAACCGAUUAAAUUUACAAAUGAAACCAAUAAGUAUCAAAAUAGGCGGGGAGAUUAAUAUUGCAUGCUCUAAUUAAAGAUGUAGUUUUUAAAAUUUUGAUAAUUAAGAUGCGUUGUUAAAUUAAUUUCAUUCUUGAGCUUUAAAAUUAUGUAUUAGACAAGUAGUGAUACUUAUCUAAAUAUGUAGUUGAAGAAAUAUAGAGAAAAUGUAAAGAGAUUAGCCCAAUCCAAUACUCAUUAUAAUAUUACUCUAUUAUCUUGUGGUGAGAUUAUUAUGUUUAUUCAUAUACCUCAAUCAAAUAAUAUCAUAUCUUAUAAUUUUAUGAUUCUCUCUAUCCUCAAACCAAAUCAGUACCCCUUAGUUGAGCAGAAGUAAUUGGGAUAAUGGAGCUCAUGAAUUAAACUCUUCUAUCUCUAUGAUCUCCUUAUAUAUAUUUGUUAGUUCAACAAACAGAAUUAUUCGAACAAAAAAAGUAGUGAUACUUGUAAGACAAAAAUGGCUAAAUCGAACCAAAAUAGUGUCAACAAAAGUAAAAGCAUUAAUGACAAUUCCACAUCCAUAUUCAGUCAGAUCCGCCGCAAAAUGUCAUUCCGGCGGAAGAAGUUACCGGUAGUUCAGGUGGAGGCUAGAAGGAAAAAGCACGGACGGAAAAUCUCAAUUUUCCGACGAGAUGGAUUGAAGGGGCAGAAAUUGCGGUACUUAGCUGUGAAAAAAUUAAAAGAAUGUUAUUGGUCGGCGGUAAAUGACAUAUUGGAAGGAAGUGAUACAUUCGAUCAACGACUGGUAGCAAAUACCUCUUUUGCUAUUCCAGUGAUGGGCUUUUCCAAAGCAUCCUAGUUUUUGAAAGCUAAGAUGAAAAUCUUAUUCAUUUUAUUUAUGGUUUAAGACUACGCACAAAUCACCACUCUCUAAAUUUUAUUUAUGGGAUUACAAUAAUAUUGUUGUUUAUUUAUUACUUCUGGUUUUCCUUGAAAUUUAUCUCUCUCUCUAUAUAUAUAACUUUUAUUUAUUUAUUAUUUUCUGUAGUGCCACUUGAUAAAUUAUUUGUAAUAUAUCUUCAUGCAUGCAUAUACUAUACGUACUUUGAACUAUUUUUUCUUUUAUUUGUUGAGAAUUUAUUCAAGGAUAGAUGGUCAAAGUGCCUCCUUGGUGAUCUCUUUGUGUAAGAGAGUUAAAAGGUCAAAAUUAAAGUUUUUAAUGCAACGACAUAUUUGGUGAAAUCACACAAAGUGAGGUCUACCAUUGACCUAAUUACCAUUACCUCGUAGAUGUAAAAAUGCUGUUUUCGAAAGAUCCUAGGCAAAAAAGUUUAGCUACAAAACUCGAUGAAAUGCUAUAAUUACUACCGCGCGCAGAUUUGAAAUGAUUCUAGCAAUAUUUCUCAAGAUCUAUGGCAAUAAUUUUAACGAUUAUUAUAACUUGAUAAUUCACCAACAUUUUACUUGAAAUUAUAACCAAAAAUAUGAUCAAAUAAGAAAUCAUUGUUGACUCAAAUGGGGUAUUAUCAGCGCACUUUCAUCACAAUUAAUUGAGUCAAGUAAAAUUGUUGAUCUCGAAUAUUUAUCGACCAGAACUUUAUAUUAAUUUUAAUUAGUAUCUCAAUAUACCUAAUAUAUUACUUAGUAUCUAAUGAUCAAUAACUGCUCAAGGACACAAGCUGUUGACACAACAAGAAUAUAAUUUACAAUCAAUUUUGAAAGAUCUUUAGAUCACAAUCUAAUUAGGACCAACAUCAUGGUAACAUGAGCACAAAUAGAGCUUAAUUAUGAUAUAAUGUCAUUUAGGACAAUUAUAAGAAUUAAAUUAUCGGGUUCAUCUUCAAGAAUGCAUUGAUAGGUCCUUCAAUAUAAUAGAACUUAAUUAAGAGUACGUCCACAUAAUGUUUGUACUUUGUAGUUACGAACUGAUAAUUUCUACGGACAUACUCGAAGCUCAAAGCUCAAGUUCAAAAAAUCAAUUCGCAAAUAAAUUUCUUUUGAGUGAGUGAUAUCUCAAAAAAACUGAAACAUCAAAAAGAAUUCGUAUCUAAAAACUGGGGCUAUUUCAGUCCUUGGUUGUUGAAGUUUGAAGUUACAUUUGAAUGGUAUAAAAAUAAACGGAGAGAAUAAAAUAUAAAAUUACUUACUAUAUUUACUUUAAUUUUAACCGGAUAAUGGGAUAUGUAAUGAUAAAAUAAUAUAUAAUUGUCGUGUAACCUAAACCAAACAAGUUUUACCUACAAUGUUCAACUUGAACUUUGUGACUCUUUUGUGAAUAUGUACUAAGGUCCAACUUCCAAGUAUUUUUAGCAUGGAAAUUAUUUCUUCAAAUUGCAACUUAUCACUUGCUAUCUCCCGACCUCAUUCAACAUUAAAUUACAAUAUUAUACCUCAAUCAAAUAAUAUCGUAUAUCUUAUAAGCCUCAAUCAAAUAGUAUCAUAUCUUAUAUGAGAUAUAUAAUUUUAUGAUUCACUCUUAUCCUCAAACCAAGUCUAAUCCCUUAGUUGAGGAGAAGUAAUUGGCAUUAUGCAGACCAUGUUCUACUCUUCUAUCCCUUAUAUAUAUGUUAGUUCAACAAACAGAAUUAUUUGAACAAAAAAGUAGUAAGUACAACUAAAAACACAAUAAUGACUAAUUCUGAUCAAAAUAGCGUCAACAAAAGUAAAAGCAUUAAUGCCAAUUCCACAUCCAUAUUCCGCCGCAAAAUGUCAUUCCAGCGGAAGAAGUUACCGGUUGUCCAGGUCGAAGGCGGAGGGAAGAAGCACCGGCGGAAGUCCUCUCCGGUGAAAAUUUUCCGACAAGAGGGAAUGAAGAAAAUAAAAGAAUGUUAUUGGUCGGCGGUAAAUGACAUAUUGGAAGGAAACAGAGCAACUCAUCAUACCUCUUUUGCUAUGAUCAUCGUACCUACUUUCCCAAAUCAUCGUACUAUUUGAAAGCUAUAACCUAAAAUUAUUUUUUAUUCGUUUUAUUUCUGAUUUAACAAUUUAGACUCUGCAAAUUCAUAUGUGGGAUUACAAUGUUGCUUAUUUAAUUUUAUUUUUUAUUUUUGUUGAAAUUAAUUAAGAUGUUUUUCUUUCAUUUGCUUAAAAAUAUACUCCUAAAUUUUAUUUUCCUUAAUUUAUUCACUUAUUUUUUGUAGUGACAGUUGAUGAAUUAUUUGCAAUCUUCAUGAGAUCAUGCAUGCACAUUACGCACUUGAACUAUUUUAGUCUUUUAUUUAUUGGGAAAAUUAAUGUGUUCAUCCCAAGCACUGUGAGAUAGUUUUGAAAAGUUAAAACUAAAGUUUAACGUAAUGUAAAGAAUUUUUGGCUACAAAACUCGAUGAAAUGAUUCGGGCAAUUAUUCAACAUUUAUUACAAUUCUAAUGAUUAUCAUAACUUGUUAAGAUAAAUCUUAUCCAAUAUAAAAUAAGAAAUUUUAAUAAUUUAUUAGUAUUAUCAUCUCGACUAUAUAUAACAUAAACGAUAUUUUUCCAGACAAUCACCAUAACUUGACGUUGAACCAAGUCUUGCAAUAUGAUUAAAUGAGAAAUUAUGUUUGAAGUGUACUUUCACAUAAUGUUUGUACGUUACAAACUGUUAAUUAUUUCUCCGAACAAAGUUGGAGAACAUGAAAAUCAUACGGGUUUACAAUGAAAGGAACUCCAAGCUUGAGCAAAAUUCAAUUAUUUCAUUUUAUGAACCAUGAGUAUGAAUGUUUCUUAUAGAUGGAGAAAAAUUCAAAUUUGAAAACUAAUACUUUUCCCGUUCUCUUUAAUUUGUUCAUUAUUUUAAAAAUACAUUUUUCAUUUUGGAAAAAUCUUUUUGGCCAGAAUGAUAUUUUUUCUAUGUUAUUUUAACUUUUUAAAUAUUUUUACCCUUUUAAUUUAAAUACAUUUUAACUAAAAAAAUGGAAAAAAGAUCAGUUUUUUUAAAAUAAAAAAAAUAUUAUAGUUUUUUUAAUUUUCUGGCCAGUUAGCACUUCCCUUUCAUUUUUACUUGUCAUUUUUAACAACAUUUUCAGUGAAAUCACACAAAGUAAGGUCCGAAGAUGGAAGAGUGUACACAGAUCUUACCGCUACCUCGUGGAGAUAGAGAGGUUAUUUUUGAAUACUUAUUUGAUCCCUUAGUAACUCGAACCCACAACCUUACUAUCGUGAAUUGUGAUCAACUUGAAAUUUGCGACUCUUUUCGAUCUGGAAAUGUACUGAGGUCCAACUUCCAAGUAUUUUUAACAUGAAAAUUAUUUCUUUAAUGAAACUCACUCCCUCCAUUCCAUUUUACUAGAUAUGUUUUGUUUUGCACGUUCUUAAUUUGAUUAAAUUAUUUUAGGUGAAAUUUUAAGAACAUGUUUUUCGAAGUUAGCACUUUAAAAUUAAUAAUUAAAUGCUUCAAUUGCUAGACCAAGCACUUUCAUCCCAUUAAUUAAUUAGAUUCUCUUGGUAUUGGUCAUUUUCAAGUUGGGGAGUGUUUUGUUAUGGAUGGUAACAUCAUUCAUAAAAUAUUUUUGAAGUUUUUGUGUCAGGUCAGUAAAAAGGUGUUGUAAAUAUUUUAUUAAAAAAAACAAUUUUUCUAAAAUUAAGAAAAAUGACAUCUCUUUAUAAAAUUAGAAAAAAUCAAGUUUCAUAACUGUCAUGUUACUCUCAUUUUCCGUCUCCAACGCAUCCUUCCUCCACCCCAUCCACACCAACCUCGCACUUUACUGCAUACCCUCACUCACAUAAACAAAUAUUUUGGUAUAAUAUUUUUUUUUGUAUAUUUACACAAAAAAAAAAAAAAAAAAAGAAGAAGAAGAAUAAUGACAGAAUAAUUUCUUCUCUAAAAAGAAAAAAAGAAUAAGAAAAUAUUCAAGGAAAUAUCUUUUUAUGGAAAACAUUCUAUUUAUACCAAAUACGCCCUUAAAUUUGAUAUAUUUUCUUUAAAGACGUUUAUGUUCAACUUGCUACAAUUUAAUAAAACGACGUGCUAAUAUUUUAAUUUGAUUCGACAUCUAUUCUACCUACUUUAGAUACUAUUAUCUAUUUUACCACGUCGUCUAAUAUAGUUCUUAUAUUUAUUCAAAACAUUUUAUCCACUAUUAAUAUUAAAGCUUAUUCGAGCUAGCAUAAAACAUAUCUUUUGAAGUUAAUAAUUUUUCAGAGGUGGGAAAUAAUCUGCAUCUUCCUUUUCAAGCACUUAAGUAAUGUAAAAAUCAUCGAAGAUAAUAAUUUUGGGCUUCUUUAAAAAAAGUAUAAUAUUAAAACAAUUUUUGUCAUAGCAAAGCAGUUUGUGGAUAAAAAAUUUGUUGCAAUGAAGUUAAAUCUCUUUAAAGGGAAUGAUUUAUCCACCGUUUAUCCUGAAAAUAUUUAUUUCCUUCAUUUAGUUUUUCAGUUGUAAUUUUAUUUUCAAUUUUUCAUCAACAAAUAAAUUAUAGGUUAGUGAAUGGUCUAGACUUUAGAGCCUAUGGAGCUUAACGGCCUAAAAUGAGGCUAACAAGAGGGCUACCAUUUCCAUCCAUUAAUUAUCAUUAAUUAGUAAUAACUAAUGUGCGUAAAAUAGAGGAAUUUGUGUAGCUCGAAUUGUUGAUUAUAUAAAUUUUCACCUUAUUAAUGAAAUAAAAGUUCGAUUUUCCACCUCGUAAUCUCCUUUUCAAUUUUCCCUACCCCCAAUUUCGAAAAGAAAAAUAAAAUUAUGUGUUUAAAAUAAAAAUUAAAGUUGAUUGAUGAUACAAAAUGAUGUGUUUACAUGAUAAUAAUGUAGGGUUAUGCACAAAUUAAGUUACUUAAUUUGUGCAUUACAUAUUUUUGUGUAUAAUUUAAUGUUAAUAUUGUUCCGUAUCUCCAACAAAAUAUUAUAUUAUCUAAUUCUGAGAUUAAUUGUUUAUAUUUAUCUAUAUACCUCAAUCAAAUAAUAUAUAUUGCAUCUUAUAGUAUGAGAUUUUAUGAUUCUGUCUAUCCUCCAACCAAACACCCCUUAGUUGAGCAGAAGUAAUUUGCAUUACACAGCACUUACUUGGUCAACUCUUCUAUCUCCUUAUAUAUUAGUUCUCAAUUCUCUUAGAAUUAUUCGAUCAAAAACAAAACAAAUAAUGGCUUAUUCUGACCAAAUUAGCCUCAACAAAAGUAUAAGCCAUGCCAAUUCCACAUCCAUAUUCAGUCAGGCCCGCCGUAAAUUAUCAUUUCGACGAAAGAAGUUACCGGUAAUUCAGCUCGGAGCUGGAGGGAAGAAGCACCGGCGAAGAUUCCUUCUAUUGAGGAUUUUCCGACGAGUCCGAAUAUUAAAGGGGCUGAAAUUGCACUACUCAAAUAUGGCGAAGAAAAUAAAAGAAUUUUAUUGGUCAGCGGUAAAUGACAUAUUGGAAGGGAACGAAGCAGUUGAUACAUUUCAUCGAGGGUUUGUAUUGCAGAGCUCUUUUGCUAUUCCAAUGUUGGGCCUUACCCCGAAUGCUUUUUCAAAUCGUAGUGUUAUUUGAUAAAAGUUAAGUAUCUUUCAAAAAUAAUCUAUCUACUUCCGUAAGGUAGGGAUAAGAUCCACAUACAUUUUAUUUUCUAAAUCGCACCUUUGGGGACUAUAUUGGCAAUAUAUGUUGUUGAAAUUAAGAUGUUUUGCUUUGCUUACCAAAUUAUAAAUAUAUUAAUUUGUUUAUAAUUUUUUUAGUGCCAAUUGAUGAAUUAUUUGCAAUGUUCAUGAGAUCAUAUGCAAACAUAUACUUGAACUAUUUUUGCUUUUAUUUAUUGGGUUUGUUAUGAGCGCUUUCGUCACUAUCGAAUGUGUUAAAAUUGAUGAUCUAGAAUAGUUAUCCCUAGAACAAGAAGACAAAUAAUAGUCGAUAAGAAUAUUUCAUAAGAUUUUAAUCAGUAUUUUAAUAUCCAAUAUAUUAAUAUCUAACCAAUAAGAUUAACACCAAAUGGAAUAUGCAAUAAUUAACUAUAAAACGUGACAAGUAUGAAACUGCUCAAGGACAGACGUUAGACGACAAAUCGCAAUAUCCCAAUCUAAAAUGUUAUAGUAAUUGCAAAUGUUAGACGAAAAUCUAAUGAUUAAUUUGUAUGAGUGAGGUUUAUAAGAACAAACAUUAGAUAAAUUUAACAUUUACAGAAAGGUAAUUUGGUAAUAAAGACAAUAUUUGCACGUAAAAAUAAAAAUAAAAUAGCACCUAUGAAGGAACAUUUGCGUAAAUCAGCCCAAAGAAAGUUUGGGAUAUUAGUUGCCGAUGGUCCCAUUUGACAAGGUGUGCACUGGAUUUUAAGGGUUUGGGCUUGAAGCCCACUGUUAAAUUUUGAAAAAACAACUUACAAAAAGGGAAAACUACCUAUCUAGACAUACUUAACUACCACAUAUACAUAAUUUAUCUCUCCUUUAAAAAUAUUACAUAGAUUACCACUUUAAAAAAAAUAUACCAUAUUUUAAAAAAAAUUAAAUCAGAUACACAAUCCCUUUAAAAAUGAUAAUGUAUAAUUAUCUUAAAAUUACAUCUCCUCAAUUAGCAUGACACUAACAAUUCAAAUUAAUUUCUCUCUAUUCUUUUCAGCCGUUUCCCUCCCCAAUUCCAAAACAGAUACCUCACGUAUCCCACCAUUACUACAAUUACAAAAUUACAAUGGUUUAUGAUUUCGUUAUUUUAGAAAAACUUGUUAGAGUUAAUUUGCAAAGGUUCUAUAAAUCCGUUUGGAUUGUUAAUUAUUCAUCAAUUAAUUCUUUAAUUAAGGAGAUUAUUUACACCCCUUUAAUUCAAAGUAAUAAAUCGUGUAUCUCGACUUGUAAAACCGAUGGAUACAUGUAUCUCGCGAGUAAUGAUACAUGUAUCUCAAGGCCGAAAAAUUAGAAAAUUUAAGAUACAAAUGAAGGAAUAAGGAAUUGAUGAAGAAGAUGAAGUUUAUAAUUAUAAAAUUAUUAUGAUUUAUAAAAUUGUUAGAUACGCAAGGAUCCUGUAAAUGGGUUGUUAAUUAUUUAUCAAUUAAUCCUUUAAUUAAGGAAAUAAGUUACACCCCUUUAAUUUAAAGUGAUAAAUUGUGUAUCUCAACUUUUAAAACCGAUGGAUACAUGUAUCUCCCGAGUAAUGAUACUCCUCUAAUUAUGGAAAUCAGUUACAACUAAUUAAUAUAAACAAAUAAAAUAUGUAUCUCAAUUUUAAAUUCGGCGGAUACAUGUAUCUCUCAAUAUGAAAAUAAAUUUGCCAUACUUUUAUAGUGUAUCUCGAACAACUAAACGACCUGAAAAUAAUGUAGAACAUAUACAUGAGAAAAAUGUCUACAGAUUUUAUAUUGUGUAUCUCGUAAAAAUAUCAUGUAUCUCGAAUUUGGGUAGCAUAUAUGAUUAGUAGAUUGUUGUAGUUUGCAUUAUCUCUCAAAAUUAUUCCAUCAAUUCUAUAGUUUUCAUAAUCAAUUUCAGAUACCCAUGAACCGGAAUGCCUCAACAAUACUGUGAUAUUCGCCAUAAUAAAAAAAAAUCGAAAAUUUAAAGGUUGAAAAGAAUCUUAAUUUGAUUAAGAAGAUGAAGAACUUCAGAAAAUAAUUUGAUAUAUAAAUCGUUGAUGAUGAAAUGGAGCCAUGAAUUACGUUAUGGUUGUUAUAUCUCCCAUAACUUACUCCUUCAAUUAAGGGAUUAUCUCCCACGAUUAAUUCAAAUUAAUUAAGGAACGUGUAUCCUAUCUUUUAAAACAUGGAUCCCUCCUUUAAAUUUUAAUAGAGUCAUGUAUCUUAAGAAUUAUUACCCGUGUAUCUUAGGAAUAAAAAGUGGUAUAGGAAGUAAUAUUGAAAACUAACGGAAUUCCUAGUAAUUGGGAUGUAAAGUAGUGGGAUAUACGUAGUUUACCCUUACAAAAAUGGGUCUAUACUAUAAUAAUAAUAUGAAUUUUCCAACUGAUUUCUUUUUGAAAACUAAUUAGUGCAUGAAAAUUCGUUGAAACAUAAUCACUUAUCAUAUACAAUUAAUCAUCCCAUAAUAUAUAGUUUUAUGAAUUUCGAAGUUACACAAAUAAAAAAGGUCAAAAGUACACAAAAUCUGUGAUUGUUUUUCAAUUUUACAAGUCCAAAAAUGGCUAUCUGAGAAUUUUUCUCUUAUGCAUGUCUAUUGCCACGGUCACGUCAAUACAAAAGCAGUUAAUUUAAACAAUUUUCCUUCAAUAGUUGUCCCUCUAGCUACUCCUCUACUAAAUCCUUGAUGAUUUGGUAUGCGAGAUAAGGAUCAUAAUUUUGCAACAAAAUAUGAGAUUAUUUUAUUUCAUAUUUGAUUAUUGACCAUUAAUUAGUCCUGCAAUAUUUAAUCUCACCAUUUGUACUUAUCUAUACCAUAUAUAGAAGUGAAAUAGCUAAAUCCAUGAGAUAUAUAAUUCAAUUCAUAAGAUAUUCUUAUCUAUCUCAUCUCUCAUACCAUAUAACAAAUAGUCACUGAUCAGCAAAAUAUAGUAAAAAAAUGGAUUACGUAAAACCAUUUGUGGUAUUUAAAAUAUCAAACUUUCUCAACAACUACUUUAACAUUAACGAAAUUAGGCCUCUUUAUAUUCCUUUAAUAAUAUCUAGUGGUUUAAAACUACAGAAAAAAAAACGUGGUAGCACUAUCUUUUUGGUGGCUAUCUAUAGAUAAUGUGUCCUCUAGCUAGUCCUAGACUCUGCUUUUUUAAGAAAUACUCCAAAAACUAAUUAUAACUCCCACAAGACACAAGUGCUUUUUUUAUUUCUAUAUUUCUCGAUUUACUGGCAAAUUCUUUAUUUGGUAGUAGCUUUUAUGUUCUGAACUACUGAGUCUAUAGGUAAACUAGUAUUUGAAUAACUCAAAAGCAAGAACUCAACAACUUACGUAUAUGCAUUUUAAAAAAUAUACUAUUCAUUGUUUGUUUGUUUUUCAUUUUAAUUACUUGGAUUUAAUGCACUUUAGCCGAGGGUCUUUCGGAAACAACAUGUCUAUUUCUACGAAGUAGUAAUAACAUAUACGUACACUAUACCCUCUCAAGACGAUAUAUAGUGAGAUUUUAAUGGGUUUUUUUUGUUAUUAUUGUCGUUGUUGUAUACUAUUUAUAUAAUAUGGUUGUUCGGCCUCAGCCCCUAGUCUAGCUAAUAUCUAGACUCUAGUAGAUAUAAGCCUAUGUGACUACAACAUACUAUAUUUUAAAUUUUCAUGACAAGAAGAAAUAAACAAGAGAAAAUUACUGAAAAUUUGCAUAAAUCUGACACUUUGUGGGAUAUUGUUUUAUUUUUUUAUUUUUUUUUAUAAAAGCUUUUGAUGCAGCAAUACUGACACGUGUUAUCAACCUAGUCAGACUUGUAAAUUACUCCACGUGAAACAUAUACUUGUAAUUAAUAGUCCACAAAUGAUGCCAAACUUUUGAACUUCACGCAAAUUUAAGAAAUGUUGACAAAUUAAACACUACCCUAUUUAUGAAUUUGUUUGAAAAUAAAAACCAAACCAGAGGCUUGCAUUGCUGAGAUUCUGUUGGCGAUUAAAUAAGGAACAUGUCUCAUGCGAGAAUGUCAACAUUUUGCUCAUGAAUUAAUCUUAAAAAUCAUCUUACUUAGUGAUCCAAGAUUGUGAUAGUCAUGUGCUAAAAGUCUUGCCAUUUUAACUAAGCAAAAAUGUAUUGCUCAAAUUUAUGUAUUAUUAAACAAAAUAUUAAAACUUAAAUGGUUACACACAAAUAAUUUGUCCGUGCAAGUAUACUUAGAUGAAUGAUUGAUUAAAAAGAUUUUCAUAUGGUGUAGUCAUCUAUCAAAUUUUUUUUUUUUUUUUGUAUAUAAUAUUAUUAUUUAAUAUAUAGAAAAUAGUGUAUUUUGCCGUCCUGCCGGAUGUAACUUUCCCUUGAUUAAAUGGGAAUUGGCCUCGUCCAAAUUUUGUAAUGGGACUGUGCCGUUUUCUUAUGGGCCGUAGAACUGCAAUUCAUAAGGAAGGACAGUGGGCCAUUUUGAAGUUUUAUCAAUUAUUGUCCUUUUUUAUUUUUUUAUUUUUCACUUAUUCAUGUUGGAGCAUAAUUAAAUUUAGAUUCAUAAUUAAAAAAAAAAAAACUUAAAUUAGGGAGUAAAAGAAUCUAUAAUAAAAACAAUUUUAUAUCAACUAGGUUUUGAAUCCAAAAUUUCUAUUAAGAAUAAAAAAAUACUUACUAUUCCAUCGUAAUCAAACUUCGUUAUCAAUCAUGUUUUAAUUCUAGUACUAAUAGCUAUUCCGGCACGUAUAUAGAGAAAGCUGUGAUUCUCACACGUUGCAUAUUCCAUUAAAAAGAAGACAAAUGCAUGUGUGGUCUUUCUUCAUUCCGUUACUGGCCACUAUAUGAUUAUCCAUCUACAGCAAAAACAUAUUUGGUGAUAAUAAAAAUAAAAUUAGUGUUAACAUUUAUUAACACAAAAAUGGAUAGCGAUAAUUGACUUAAUAUCAUUAUAUUUAAAGUUACUAAAACGUACAGACGAUUUAUAUAAAAUGUUGGUGUUAUAAAUACUACUAUUUAAAAGUUUUUCGUUAUCUUAAAUUAGUGAUAUCACUCAGAAAUUUAGAUAAGCGAUUCACAAAGAUGUUCAAAAUAAUAUAUCUAAAAGUUUUUUUUUAUCUUAAAAAGGUUCAACAAUUUAUAUACAUAUCUAUUAAGAAAGAAAUUAUCCUUUUUCUAUUUAGAUGUUAUAGUUUUUCAAUAGGGAAAUUCAAUUGAAACCUCCAUUUCCUCGGUAAUUGGGUAAGGAAAUAAUACAAUAUGAAAUUUGGUACAUAAGAACUAUGUGGAUAUUAAACGGAAGAAUAUGGAAACAAUUCAAAAAGAAAAAAGGUAGUAGUUGCUCUAUGUAGAUAGGUUACCAACUCUAGGAAAACUACGAGUUGUGAGAGUUUAAUUAAUAUAUUCACAAUAUAUGUUCAUUAUAAAAAUAAAUAAAUUGAUACGUACUUUAUUAUAUUGCAUAUGGUUGACAUUUCGUUCAUAGUAUACGCAAUAUUAAUGUAUUUUAUAUUGCAUUUUCAAUACAAUUAAUUCUAGAUUUUCAUAUGGAAUAACUUAUGUGUGAUUAGUAUAUAUAAUAAAUUAUACUUAAUUAUUAGUUUUUGAAUAUGUAAUCCUUUUAUAAUUUUAUAAUUUGUUCUUGCUUUAUCAAGGUAUCAAAACUUUUGGACCAGUGCACUUACCCUCCAUUUCCUUUGGUUCCCAUUUUGUGAUACUCGGAGGGCACCGGAGAGGAACUGCUUCCAAACUUUUGAAGGGUUAACCGUUUUUGACACCCUAUCAUAGAAUAAGAAGUUUUAUAUUUGAAAAAUAUUGAGAAUAUAAGUAAGUUUUAUAAAUUAGUGAAAUGUUCUAAAGUCGUGCGGGUCUAGAUUUAGAGUGGGUAAUUUUUUUAGCGGAUUCGGCUAUUAGAGAUGGUAUUAGAGUCAAUUAUGUGUCAGCCUUGUUGAUGUGGCCAUAGUUCAACUGAAUUUAUGCUAAUCUCGACAAGGAAACCUUAGUGCUGAUUCUAGACAAAUUUCAUGGGGUGAGAUAAACCUUAACAAGGACGUUAAGUUUAGAAGAGGGGUCUAUAUGACACCCCAACUUAGAAUUUAAAGUCCACAUAAGCAAAACACAAGAAAAAAGUUCAAUAUAUAAAUACAUGUCUUACAAAUUAGUAAUGUGUUUUAUAAUCAUACGAGUCUUGACUCAAAAAGAAUAAUAUCACUAACAGACUAGACCAUUACACACGAUUAGAGUGGAGUCAAGAUUUAGUAGUCAAUUUUCAUAAACUCGGAGGACAAAUUUAGCUGCCGAAAUUGCUGCCUCUCACCAACCGUUUUAACUUUCCGACCCAUGCGAAAUGUGAACACAAUAAUCAUCUUUUCCUUAAUUUGUUUUCGCUUGAAAUUCAUCUUCCUUUGAUUUUUCUAAUAUCCCAUGCCCACAGACCACAGGAAAAAUGAAACAAAAUAAUAAUAAUAAUUUAGACUGAUGUUGUAAUUCUUUAGACCUAUCUUUCUACGUGAUAUAAUAUUUCGACUUUAGAGCAUAUAUGUACCUCAAAUAAUAACCUUUUGGGUCAAUCAUCCAAAAUUCAUUUAUUUUGAAAAUUAUUUAUUGAAAAAGUAUUUUAGAAAGCAGUAAACUUGUAUUUGACUAAUUAAUUUUUAAAAAAAAAAUUGGCAAAAUAAUAACUUGACUCUAUCUAAGCAUAUUUAACGAAAGUCACUAAAUUAAUAAGUUGAAUGACUUUUUAAUUACGAAAAAAUUGACUCAAUUAUGUUGCCGACAAACUUUCAUUUGAUAUACUUCCUCCGUCCCUAAUUACUUGUCCACUCGUUCUAAAAUUGCCGUCAUUGUUUGGUCCAAACCCAUCAAAUUAUAAGUGGUUGAAAAUGAUAAUGUAGUCUAUGUCAAAAUUCUGCCUUUUCUAUUCUUUGUUUUAAUUUUCUUAUUUCAACUAUUUUCCCUCUUCGUCAGCUUGUUCAAAUCUUACUAAAAAAAAUUAAUAAUUAUUAUUCAUUUACAUAAAUACCUUCCAACCUAUUUAGUAGGAAAAUGAUUUGAAGGAUAUCAAGGGUAUUUUUGUCUUAAUCAUUGUUUUUACACAUAAUUAAUUCUAGCUUAUACUAUUAAUCCGACAUUAAUUACUAACCCUAUUAUAAUUUUCUCCUUUUUUUCCCUCUCUCUUAAGGGCUGCAUUAUAAGACUCCUAGUCCAUAAAAUAAUAAAAUAUUGAUGUAGGUUUAAUCACUUAGACAAACACCUUAUCCAAUUUUUGCGAUGGAAUUUCUUGUUCAUUAGUUCUUUAAUUAUUUGGCACCUUCGAAGAAAGUGUAAUCGUGUCUUUUUUGAAUAGUUGUAGGAGUAAAUAUGACAUUUUGAUUUGAUUUUUCACUAGUAGACAUAUUACUUGUCAAUGCUUAACAACUACUACGUACUAUGACGGUAUGACCCUAAGUAUGAAAUUAGAGAAUCCAAGUCAAAUUAAAACAAGAGAAAAAUAGUUAUUGUUUUAAACAUUCGUUAGACCAACAUCCCAUAUUUUUCAAUUGGAAAUAUCAAACUUAUUAUUCUAUUUUUCAAAUAUCACUACGAUAAACUUUAAUUUAAUAUUCAUUAAGUUCCUAGCUAAUACAUACUGUAUACAGUAUAUAUAAAAAUUGAAAAAAAAAAACUGAUUUAACGACAGAAACAGUAUACAGUAUUUUUUUUUCCCCUUUGGUUGCUUUUAUAAUGAACAAAAACAGAAUCAGAAGAAGCGAUAUUCUUAGCCAUAUUGUUCUUCAUAACUUUGGGUGAGUAAAUUGAAGUUAAUCGUAUCAUGAUUAUUUAUAAAUCUAGGGCUCUUUCUUCUGGGAGUACUGAAGUUCGAAUCUACAAUCUUGAUAACAAUGAAACGGUUGUUAAUGACAGAUUUACAGAAUUAACGGUGAAGAAUAAGGGUUUUCAGAAUGCUGAUGUGGCAUGCAACCUUUAAUUGGAGAAGAAGAACGGUUUUCAGAAUCCUUAAUUGGCAUGCAACCUUUAAUUGAUAAUUUCAUCUUUUCUAGAUAAUAUCAAUUCCCUAUGACUAGCUAGGCAGAAUCCUUAAUUGGGCAUUCAACCUUUAAUUUAUUUUUUCAUCUUUUCUAGAUAAUAUUAAGUAUAAAUUAUAGGAACCACAUAUACUAAAUAACAUCUUAUCCCUUCUAGUUUUCUAUUUACCAAAAAUCCAUUAAAAAUGAUGGUUGUGGGAUACAUAGCUUUGUGCAUGGGAUACAUUAGGUUUGAUACAUUCACAUAGCGAGAUACAUAGCGUUGUGCACGGGAUACAUGCGGGAUACAUAGGUAAAUAAGAGAUUUUUGAAAAUUUUGAAAUAAGUAGGAAUAAAUGGAUAUUAAAGUAAGUAAAGGAGUGUAGUUAAGUAAUUUCUCCUAAUAUUAAUUCCCUAUGAAUGCACGCUUUAUUUGAUCAUUUAUCUUUUAAAAAAAUAAUUACUAACAUUUAUUUUAUAUUACUAAUUAUGUUAUAUUACUAAUUAUUAAUCCCUAUGUCUCUAAUUACUUGUCCACUUUUGAAUUGUCACACCUAUUAAGAAAGUAAUUAUUGACAUAGUGAGUUUAUCAUUUUACCCCUAUUAAUUAUGAAGCAGGAUGAAUUAAAAUUUUAAGAUUUUCAAAAAUUCUACCUUUUUCAAAGUAAUUAAUUGAGGGUAUAAUAGGUAAAAUUAUUUUGUCUUUUCUUAAUUUGUCAAAAUGGACAAAUAAUUAGGGACAACUAUAAAAAGAAAAGUGAACAAAUAAUUAUGGACAGAGAGGGAGUAAUUAAUAGAAUUAUAGGAUGUACUAUAGUAUCUUAUACAUAUAUAGGGAUUAUUUUUUUCUUAUUGUAUAAAUUUCCAAAUAUGAAAUUUACAACCUUAAAAUUUAACUAUGAUUAAUCAUCUAGUAUUAUAACAGGUCAAGAUUAGUUAAUAGGGAUUAAUUUUUCCUUAUUUUUUCAUUGGGAAAAUUGAGCAUUAUAUAACAAGCUUUUAAUUCAAAAUAAAUGUUAUAGUUACAGUUUCAUUUAAUUCCAAUUCGCAGCAAACUUCUUGCCAUUCGCCUCUUUCCCCCCCUUUCUGGAAUCUCGCUCGCCACUCUCCUCUUUUUCAGUCAUCUCUCCCUCGCCUCUCUUACUUUAUACAAACGCAAAUAUAUAGUUUGUGUUUGUAUAAAGCGAGAGACGUAUAUACAAAUACAAAUACAUAUUUCUCCGUCCUAUACACAUAUAAUCAUACAAAUAGAAAUAUUUCCCUGUCUAGUUCUCUUUUGCCUUUAAUUCUCUCUCUUCGUUAUAUAUAAACACAAAUUAUACAAAUACAAUGUAUAAUUUGUAUUUGUAUAAAACGAGAGAGAGAGAUUUGAUAUACAAAUACAAAUAUUUUAACUCGAUUCAAUUGUAGACGAAUUCAAAUUUUAUGCAAAUAUACAAACACAACCGAUAUACAUAUACAAUUCACCUCUCCCCACUUUCUUCCCUCUCUCGCUCGCCUCUUUCAUCUCUCUCCCAAUCUCGCCCGUCACUCUAGCCUAACACAGAGAACAUAUACAUAUACAUAUACAAACACAAUUUUCAUAGACACAGACGAAUUAGCGCCCAAUUUGUACAAAUCAUCACGAUUUAUACAAAUCAGAUGUUUCAUAGCAAACAUAAUUUGGCUAUAGAACGCAAAUAGCAAAAUUGUAGCUAUAGAGCAUUUUUAUGAUUUUUAUCUUUGUUAUUCCUAUAAUUGACUCAUUAAUUAUCACCUAUAUUCAUAGAUUUUCCGUACUCUAGCAUGGAUAUAGAGUUUGAUUAAGUUAUUCCCGUGUCAUUUAAAGGAUAUCUAUAUGUAAACUUAGUCAAUAUAAGGAAUUUAUAAUCUUAAAAAUAAAAUAAACUUAUUAUCUAGUAUAACAAGUAAAUGAGACGUGUAAAAUAAGAUACAUUUACUAUCUAGUAUAAAUUACAAAAUAUGAAAUUUAUAAUCUUAAAAAUAAGAUUGAUUUUAGCUAUACAAGUAAAAUGAUGUGUAAAAUAAGGUAGGUUCAUUAUCUAGUAUAAAUUUUAAAAUAUGAAGUUUAUAAUAUUGAAAAUAUAAUAGGUUAAUUAUCUAGUAUAAAAGUAAGAAAAAAAAAGAUGUGUAUAAUAAGAUAGGUUCAUUAUUUAGUAUAAAUUUCCAAAUAUGAAAUUUACAACCUUUGAAAAUUAUAUAUUGAGUGUGGAAUUAAGUCCAUUCCGUGUUCGUUAGGAAUUAGAAUGUCAAAAGUGGCACUAUGAGUUAUCGAUUUUGCCUAAAUGGCGGCACACAUUAAGAUAUGUUCUUCAAGAGAAUUCCAGCACGCCAUUAUUUGCUAAAAGAGAAUGUUACUGAUCUACAUGUAUUUAACAUUAAAUAAAUUACGUGUCAUUCUUAUAUAAUUGUCCUCAAUUUUUACUUAUAUAUAUGGUCAAUAAUGUCCCCUUCCUUUUUUGGUCCAUCACGUCAAGUGAGUUGUAAAAGCUUUUGAGUUGAUACUCAUAAAAAAUGCAAAUUAUUAAUUGCAAUAGGGCAGUAAUAUAAUAUACAUUGCCAUUCACAUGCACAUGCACUUGCAGUGUGAUAAAUCAAAUAUGUGUGUCACGGCUUGCAAUAGUUUAACGGACCCAAGAAUUUGAAUCUACGACUUCGAAUAAUAUUGAACGAAUUUUGUGAUUACACAAGAAGUUUCCGUGUAAGGAAUUCAAUAAUAUGACUUAUUUGCGUAUUAUAAUUUUUCUACCAAGACUCUAAAAGAGGCUGGAUUGAAGUUAUCCAACAUUAGUUGUUUUAUGAUUAAAAUGGUACUAUUUCUUGAAACAUAUAAACAUUCUCUUUUGUACAGUGAAUAUAGUUGAAGACUUAGAAAACUUUAUUUGUCUCAACUCUCUGUUUCACUACACUUACCACACUACAUACUACAAUAUUUUCCACAGUUCUCUUCUUUUUUGACAUAUAUACACUUCACAAAGGAAGAAACACUACUAUUUAUAGGUGAAGAAGUCUUCCACAUAAUCAAUGUGUAGAAUGAGGGGUAGUAAUAUAGUGUAGGUAGAUAAAUGUAAUGGAUGUUAAAUGAGUUACAAGAAACAAAUGACUAUGAGAGUUAGCAGAACUAAUGGACAUAUAAGUUACAAGACGCAUAUACACUUAAUAUUUUAUUUUAACAAUAAAAUAUUUAUACACUAACAAAAUAUAAUAGAGAAGUUGAAUAAAGAAAAUUGAAAAAAUAGUAAAAAUAAAAGAUAUAAUAAUUUUACUUUUAAUAUAAUUGAAUAAGUAAUAUAUGAUUGCGGAAUCUGCGGAACUAUAUUCUUUGGGUCUCAUAAGCCCCAAUAAAAUCUAGAGUAUCAUUAAAUAAGAGGACAUUGAAAUUCCUAUUAUUAUUUAUUAUAUUGUUACAAUUUUUCUAUAUUCAAGUAUGAUUUUUGGAAUAUUCCAAUAAUUUCUUGUUAAGAUAUCAAAAUUUGAUUAUAUUAAAGGAAGAAAAACGUUUAAUGGUUUGUUUCAAAUGACAUUAGCUCACAAAUUUCAACUAAAAAUGGAUUACAAAGAAUUGUUAGUAUGUUUUGUCUUUGAAAUUGAAAAAAAAUCAUUAUUAUUUUUGAAAUAUAUGGUGAAUCUAUAUUAAGUUGAUAAUCUAAUUCUAAAUUGAAAGUUGAUAUGAGUUUUUACUACAUAUGUGAAUAAAAUACAAGGCCAUAUUGAGAUCAGAUUAAUCCUACACAUCUAUUUUUGUACUUUUAUGUUUAAUAUGUGACUUUAGAUCAACUUACCUAUAUAUAUUAUGAAAAUAUGAUAUAUUUUACUAAUUAACAAAACAUAUGAUAGCUAAUUUUGUAGAACUUUAAAGUACGUGACAUAUAUAAUCUUUCAAAGAAAAAAAUAAUUAUAUUAUCUAAUAUUUCUUCUAAUAGGUUUACAUUCCUAGUAAAUACACACACGUACAAAUUAUUUUUAUUCUAUUGCCACAAAUUAUAACUUCCGAAUUUAUAUGUAGAAGACUAGAAUAAUGGAAAUUGUUCAUCCACAUGGACAACUUUUCACCCUUGGAAUCAAUUUUUUUUAGUAAUCUUAUUAUGUCCUUCUCGAUAAGAUAGCAGAUCUAUUAGCUUUUUUGAAUACUAUAAUUAUACUAUUAUAUAGUGGAUGGACCCGAAAUACAAUAAAGUAAUAGACUAUUCAAAAUCUCAAUGAAUGACUAACAGACAACCAUGUCAUAAAAACCACAUUCACCAAGAUAAAAAUCUUUGGGACAAACGUUGGUGCAGCAUUUUUUUAAUCACCAACACUUUGACUGUCAUUUUGGAGAAAGAAAUAUACUGAGAAAUAGUCCCCCCAAAAGAAAAAUAAUUAAUUAUUUUAAUUAAAUAAAAAGGAUCAAAUUUGUUCAUGUUUUACAGAAAUGGAGCUACUUUUCUCGCUAGUUGACUUUUUGAUGUAAAAUUAUUCCAAUCUUUAGAAGAAGAAAAAAGGAAAAAUUCUUUUGGUCAAAAUGCUAUUUUAUCUAUAUUUUUUUUAAAAUUUUUUAACAUUUUUAUCAUUUUAACUUUAAUAUGUUUUAACUAAAAAAUGAAAAAAAAAAUCAGUUUAUUUUAAAAUAAAAAAUAUAUUAUAAUUUUUUAAAUUUCUGGCCAUUUAGCACUAUUCGAAAAAAAUAAUUAUUUUUUUGCAUUUGACUCUUAACAAAGCUUCAACAUGGAUUUUAUCGAUUUAUGUAUUGAGUUAAUAUAUAAUAAUAAUUGAUGAAUGGACAGUCAAAUAUUGAUAUACAACAAUAAUUGAGUAGACAAUUAAAUAUUGAUAAAUAUUUAAUAAAAUUCUCAAUAAAUUUUCAAAAUUUGUGAAAAAGUAUUUAAUUUAUGUAAAUCUAAAAUUGAAAUAGAAGUAUUAAUUGACAAAGAAUAUACAAAGGGAGACAAAAUAAAAUACUGUACUUAAUUUACAAACUCAUAAAUUUUGGAUAUUUUCAAAAACAAUAGUGGAGGAAAGAGAAAUUAUGUUUCUUCCCGCUUUCUCGUUGGCUUCAAGUAGCGGCGAGCGCGUCUUUUCCUGUGAAACUCACAACUCGGUCUGACUAAAUUCCACCAUGUGUAAAGUUUGCACUAAAAUGAAACCCACUUUACAUUAUUAUUGUUAAGACCGGACCCCAGCAAAAAAAUAAAAAUAAAUGAAGAAGGUGACAUCAAGGAUUAAAUCCGAAACAACUAAUUAUAUAAAAAUAGUUUCAAUCCACUGCACCAUAUUUUUCUAUGAUAUGAUCAACCACUAUUCAUGUGAAGGAAAUCAAAAACGUGUGGACGGUGAAUCAUAAAUUUUUAUUCAACUUAUAUCUCUUUCUAUAUAUACCAUCUCAUUCUUUUCACUAUGCUCAAAAAAUAAACAUUUCUAACUAAUAAAUCCUUCAUUUUUUUUCCUCUCUCCCAAUUCAUUUGUAAGAGAAAGGAAAAAAAAACCCAGAAGAAGCACCAUAUAUUGCAACGUAAAUUAAAGAAAGAAAAUUAUUAAUGGCACUUGCUAAAGAAAUUAUGGGUAUUUCCCUGCUGGAGAAAUCAUCAUCAUUUAUGAACUCAUCAUCAAUGGCACUUUUUAAUCCCAAUAAUUAUCACAAAGAAAAUCAUCUUUGGUUCAACCAGCAGUUUCAAGGAAGGAGGAAUUUAAGUAGAAGAAAAGCGUUCAGACAGAGUACUAUGGCAGCUAUAAGUGAAAAUUUGAUCAAAGUUGUGCCUGAAAAAGCAGUGAAAUUCAAAGUGAGAGCUGUAGUUACAGUGAGGAACAAGAACAAGGAAGAUCUGAAGGAGACAAUUGUGAAGCAUCUUGAUGCUUUCACCGACAAAAUCGGGAGGAAUGUCACGUUAGAGCUCAUCAGCACUGACAUGGAUCCAAGUAAGUCAAGGUCUUAACUAAUGAUCCGAAAGGCCUCUCAUUAAAAUUUAAUUUCUGACUCUAUUUUCUUCAGAUACAAAAGGACCGAAGAAGAGCAACCAAGCAGUGUUAAAGGACUGGUCUAAGAAAUCGAACUUGAAAACAGAGCGAGUAAAUUACACAGCAGAAUUCAUUGUGGACUCGAAUUUCGGAAAUCCAGGCGCGAUCACAGUGACGAACAAGCACCAGCAAGAGUUCUUUCUGGAGAGUAUUACUAUUGAGGGCUUUGCAUGUGGUCCAGUUCAUUUCCCCUGUAAUUCAUGGGUUCAACCCAAAAAAGAUCAUCCUGGAAAAAGAAUAUUCUUCUCUAAUCAGGUAUACUUCCUUAUUUUCUUUUACUACUUUAAUUUUUAAAUAAAAUUAUCAUCAUAUUAGUGACGACAAAUUAAUCAUCUGAUAUGACUUGCCCAGUAGUAAUUAAUUUAUUCAUUUUAUUCAAUUCAAUGUUUGAAUUUUCAGUUUCGUUGACAUAAUGCUUUCCGUGUGGAAAAUAGGAAAGUAGUCUUAGUUUGAAUUAGUACCGUAUUUGAAAUUUGAAUUGAUCAAAAAGAAUUUUUUAAAUAUUAGAUUUUACCAACAUAAUACGGUAACUAACAACUUUAUGACUAUUUUAGGAAAAUAAAUUUGAUUAUUCUAAACUGGUUAUAUAGUUUAAUUAAUAAAAGGAGCAAAGAGAAUAUUUAGAAAUAAAAUAGAAGACAUUAAAAAAAAAAAAAGAAAAAAAAAAGCAACACCAUCACGAGUUAAAUGCAUUAUACACGUAAUGUCUUUUUAUAUGGCCCCCAAUGUUGAUGUUGCUUAUCUUCAUGUUUCUAUAGAUUUAAAGUUUAUGAAUUAUACAACGACUUUAACUUAAUAUUAU
rnacentral:lncRNA from 1 species